rnacentral:lncRNA from 1 species
CUGUACUCCUUCUUUGGCAUCUUCUAUACAUAAUAGUUAAGACUAUUAAUACUACGACAAUACCAAUUGUUGGUAAACCAUACCUAAAAGCAUGCAAUAUAAUCAUUUGGGAGUUUUUGUGGAUGUCGUUUUUACAAGGUGGGACUAGCAGUCUAGGUGGACCACAAAGUGCAUAAUUCUUUAUGAAUGAUGUGCUAGAAAAGUUUGAAAAACAUCCUUCGCUGGGAAUUUCCCCUUCAAGUCUAUUGAAAGACACAUUAAAAUACUUUAGAUAUAAAAGCUUCUCCAAAGAUUUGGGAAUGACUCCAGAGAGAUUGUUAUUGCAUAAAUCCAAGAAUUCCAAACUAAUCAACCCAUCAAAUGAUUCAGGGAUAUGACCAUGUAGUAUAUUAUUUGAUAAAUCUAAUGAAACCAAAGUUAUAAGACCCCCAAAUGUGGAUAAGAUAUCCCCCGUGAGAAGAUUCCUUGAUAAAUUUAGUUUCAGUAGACUCCUCAAAUUUCCGACAUCAAUAGCAUGUGAAUUGUGAAGAUGGUUUGAUGAUAAAUCUAUUUUUAAGAUAUCUUGAAGAUUCCACAAAGUUGAGGGUAUUGCGGAACUCAGUUUGUUGGAAUCUAAGUAAAGAUAUCCCAAAGAAGUAAUAUUACCCAAACAAGAGGGUAUGGAUCCAUGUAGCUUAUUCAACCCUAAAUACAUCUCGUAUAGUCUCUCCAAAUCACAAAAACUUUCUGAGAUGGGCCCUCCUAAUUUAUUAGAGGAAAGAUCUAGACCUUGGAGAUUUCGCAGUCCUCCUAUUGAUGCUGGAAUGAAUCCACUUAAUUUAUUAUGGCGAAGUUGUAAAAGCAAUAGGUUGGUUAAGUUACCUAUUUCCAUAGGAAUAAUGCCUUGAAGCUCACAAUUAGAGGCAUAAAAGUAUUGAAGGGUUUUUGAAAGGUUCCCGAUAUAAGUAGGAAGAACACCACUCAAUGGAUUUCCUGAAACAUCUAUUGUGCUCAAAUUCCUACAAUUCGUCAAAGAAGAAAGAAAGCUCCACUCAUGAUCGGUAGAAGAUCCUGUGAUCAAAUUAUUGUUUUUGAUUCGGAACCAUUCAAGGUGUCUUAAGUUGCCAAGCGUUUUAGGGAUUGGGCCAGAGAAUAAGUUAUGCGCCAAGUCUAGUUCCUUAAGCAUGGAAGCAUUGGAGAUAGAGUUGGGAAUGUUUCCGCUAAGUUUAUUUCUCCACAAUAAAAGAAUCUCAGGCUUUGGAGCAUUGGUGAUGGGUGGUAAAUUACCUGUAAAAUAUCAUCUUUUAGUAUACAUAUUCAUUGAAUACCAAAUUCACAAAAUAUAUUAUACAUUAAAAUAAAAACUGUAAAACUUUAAAUCAAUUAAGAAUAAAAUUUUGGCAUGGAAAAAUGUGAUGAAAUCAAUUACAAAGUUGAGACAUACUAAGAAGUUUCAAGUAGUAAUUAGUCUUGUGAUUUGUAUAGACAAAACAUAUAGAUUUGGGAAUGUGGCAUCUAAUCAAUCUUAAAAAUGAGACUGGCACUGAAUAAUAAUUAGUUAUGAUUUGGGAAACAAAAAGGUUAAAGCCAUUGUUUUUAAUGUAAACUGAUAUGAUUUUUAUUUAUUGGGUUAAUUAUUUAUUGUUAUUAAAUUAUAGUGUAAAAUUUAACGAUUAUUAUUUGCUCAAAAUUUCUGUAUUUUUCGUAUAUUUGAAAUUUAAUCUUUAUAUUUUUUAUUUUUUGUGAUUUAGUCUCUCUACUUUUUGAAUUGAAAAUUUUAGGUUCAUUUACUAACACUAUUAAAAAGUUUUUGUGUCUAGUAUGGCAUUUUGAAAAAUAAAAUAAACUUGAUAUCUAUGUUUUUAAUUAUUCCAAAUAUUGCUUUACUAUUUCAAGAUAAAUUAUUUGUGUCUAGACUAAUAUCUUAAGAACUAUUGUUGCAUGUUUAAUUAUCUAAAAAAUUAUCGAUUGAGUCUUAGCUUGAUUGGCAUGUGCGUUGUUGCCAAUGUAGGAGAAUGUGGGUUCAAGUAUGUUGAAGUGUAUUAUCUUCUUAUUUAUGAAUUAGGGAGUUGGUAAAGUACUAAAAUUUGAUAUAUUUUAAAAUAUUAAAAUUUAUUAAAAUAUUUUUUAUAAAAAAUGAUUCUACCACAAUAUACAAUUUUAAUAUCAAAUUUUUAAUUUUUUUUAAAAAUGUUAGCGAAUAUAUACUUUAUUUCAAGUUAUGCAAUUUUUACUAGUUUUUAACUUUUUUUCAAAUUUUUAUCGUCUUUUAUAAUUUCUAAUAAUUUUUUAUAAUUUUUUUACAAUAUUUAACAAUUUCUAAAUUUUUUUUAAUAAUUUUAUUAUGUAUUACAAAUUUAAAAAUUAACAAAUUUUUAUAUUUUUAAAAAAAUUAUAUAUUUAUAAUGUAUUUAUUUUUUAUAAUUUUAUUUGAAAUUUUAAAGAUUUUUUUGGUUUGUUUUCUAGAUGAUGAUGCCAUCAUGAUGCUAACAUAUUAUGAUUAGAUAUCUCAAUCUAUUCUUUUAACGCCCAGUGAAUGAAACCAAGAACACCUAAUGUUAAAGUGGGUAAAAACACAUUAAGGACCAAAGUUAAAAAAAGAAAAAGAAAAAGAGCAAUAUGCUGUAGGGAAUAAACUGUGCAUUAAGCCAUUAAAAAUAUAUGUAUAAUAUAUAUAAAUGCAUGGAUUUUGAGAAACUUUUGAACUGAUAAUUAUAUAGUCUUUGUUGUUUACUAUAUUAUUGAAUUUGUUAUUUUAAAUUAAUUUUAUUACUUUUAAGAUUUAUAUAAGAAUUUUGGUUUUACUAAAAUAUUUGCUUAAAUAAGUUCACUUCAUAAGAAAAUUUAGCAUCCUUAUAAAUAACAAUUUUGAUUCUAUUAAAAAACUUAUUUUAAAAAAUUAUAUAAUCAAAAUUUAAAAUUUAUAUUGAAUUACUUUAUACUUAAAUUAUUAUUAGAAACUUUAUCAUACACAUACGUGUAUGAGAACCACGUAUUUAGAACAUAAAUUUGUGUUUUAAAAUAACUUAUGAUAAAUAAUGAAAUGUAUAAUUUGAAACUAUUUAAUAAUAACACAUAGCAUAUCUACCAUAUUAAAAUAAAAAUAGAUUAAAUUGUAAGUAAAACAUAAUUUAAACAUAUGAACACAUCAAAUUAAGAAUACUAAAUGAAUAAAGUUAUUUAUAAUGAUAUUGUUGUCAAUUCCUAAAUUGGUGUCGAGUUAAUCUGUGACAUCAUAAAUUUAAGUGAUAAAUUUAAGGAUUUAUGUAUUGAUGUGGAUUCAAAUAUCACCAUAAGUUUUUUAAAAAUAAAAAACUAAAAUACCUUAAAAUACUAUAACUUAUAUUAAAUACGAAAGAGUAUUUUUGUAAUUUUCCUAACCGAGUUGGUGCCCGGUUGACUCAUGACACCAACUCAAUUAAAAGAUUUAAUAAUAAUAUAGAUAUUCACGUUAAAAAAACAAAAAAAAAGUACUUUAGUUCCAAAUAAUUAUAUAACAAGUAAAUUUAUAAUUGAUGAAUAAAUUUAUAGAUAAUAUAUUUAUAUGAUCUAAUAUAUUAUAUUAAUAUUAAUUAUAUAUCAUCUACAAUCUUUGAAGAUCAAUUUAUUAAGUAUCAAGAAAAGAAAAAAAUGAAAUUGAGUUAACACUAAAUCAAUUUUUAGAUUUUGUACAGAUGAUUUAAUGAUGAUAAAAAAAUUAUUAGCACUAUUUUUGAAUUAACAAAAAAUUAGUGAUAUAUUUUAAUUAUAUUUAUUAUUUAUUAUUUUUAAUAAUAUUUUUUAAAAUUAUAUGAAGUAAAAUUAUACUGUAUACUAAAUAUGGUACAUAUACUUUAAUUGUAACUUGAAAAUUUAUUAUAUAAAUUAAUAUAUUUUAAUUAUAUUCAACCAUUUGAAUAACAAAAUAAAAAAAAACUAAUUAGAAUAAUUUUUAGAAAAAAGAAAAAACAUUAUUUAAAGGCUAGUUAAAAAUCACGUGCAACAGGUGAUAUGAGAAUCUAUGUAUAUAAAUGUGUAUAUAUAUAUCGUUGUUUCAUUUUUUUUUUAAAUAAAUAUAUUUUCCACAUUGGUUUCUUUUCUUGUACAGACAAAGGAUUUCUAAUGAUUUUAAAAAAAAAAAUUUACUUAUAUAAAAUAGAUCAGUUUAUUCAGUAAAAUAAAUCAAUUCAUAUAAAUGUUAUUGUUUAUUAUCAGAUUGAAAUGAUAAAAGUAUAUGACAUAAAUAGAAGAAACAAAUUCAACACAAUGUUUUCCGAGUUUGGAAAAAAUUAAAGUGAAAAACAUACCUUCUAAUUUGUUGCCAUAUAGAGCUAUUACUUCGACCAUAGUUGAAUUAAAAAUACUUGAUGGAAUCUGACCUGCAAACAUAGUUGAAAAUUGAAGUAAAAAACAUACCUUCUAAACUCUUCAACUAAAAAUACUUUAAGCAUAUUUUUUUUCCCAUCAAAUUAACUAUUUUGCCUUGAAUGAAAUAAAAUGCUCUUACUUUUGUUAUCUAUUACAAAUCAAAUUCUUCUAUGAAAAAAUAUUUUAAAUUAAAGAAACAAAGAAAAUUCAAUAUCUUCUAAGUAAAGCACUUCAAGCUUGGGAAGAUCAUUAGGCAAACUACCUGAUAUGCCAGUGUUGGAGAGAUCAAUGAUCUUCAGAGAAGAAAUGUUGAAGAUCGAAGUUGGAAUCUGACCUGUGAGGCCUUUAAUUUCUUUAAUACUAAGCAGCUCCAAACCAAGAAGAUUACCGAUUUCCUCAGGAAUUUGACCUGCACACAUAUUUAGUCGAAAAAUCAAGAUGUCAAACUGCCUAUAUUGUUAGCAUAAGUCAAAGAGGUUUUCGUUUCUGCUCUACAGUAAUUUGGAGAUGUUAGAUUUAAUAUAUUUCAGCAUAUGUUUUUCAUCAAAUGAAAUAAAAAAGUUUUUCCUUUUGUUAUCUAUUAAAAAUCAAACUCUUUUAUAAAAAAAUACUUUAAAUUUAAGAAAUCAAGGAAAUUGAUUACCUUCUAGAUUAUUAAACCCCAAAUAUAAUUUCUGGAGUUGUGUUAGAUUUCCAAUACUUCUUGGAAUGAUCCCCAUAAAUUGAUUAUAGGACAACGACAAACUUUUAAGGUUGCUGCAUUUGCCCAUGCCAAAUGGAAUGUUACCAGAUAAUUCAUUCCAACUCAGGUAAAGCUCUUCAAGCUUGGGAAGAUGUUGACACAUAUCAUUAGGCAAACUACCUGAUAGGCUAUUGCUGGUGAGACUAAUAGAUUUCAAAGAAGAAAUCUUGAAGAUGGAAGAUGGAACCUGGCCAGAUAAUUGAUUCAAUUCCAAGUUCAAGAUCUCUAGGUUAGACAUGUUAACAAGUGUUUCAGGGAUUGUGCCUGUAAAGUUAUUAUUUUUCAUUUUCAGCGUUCGAACUCUCUGUAAGUUCCCAAGCCAUGAUGGAAUUUCUCCAUUAAGACGGUUGUAGCUUAAUCGAAGGAUCCUCAAACGAUGCAAUUGGCCCAAUUCUUUAGGGAGAUAGCCAUAGAAAUGGUUGCUACUCAAGUCGAGUGAGAGUAGAAGUGAAAGAUUUCCAAGGUGUGGAGGGAUAGUACCCCUAAGAUUCAUGCUUGUAAGAUUCAAAGCUAUAACUCUUUUAUGGAGGAUGCCACAAGUAACACCAAUCCAAUUGCAAACAGAGGUUGAGGCCGUCCAAUUGUUUGCCAAGACAUUUUGAGGACCGGCAAUGUGAUCCUUAAACUCGAGAAGUGCAAACUGAUCGGAGUUGAGAUUCUUGACUGUCAUAGCCAAGCAAAGUACGGAACAUGGUAUGAAUAAAGCUAAGAGAAGAUGAAAGCCAGCGUUGUAGUUCAUGAUUGCAAGACGGAAUAAGGCAAGAAAAUAAAAAAAAGUAGGAAAAGGGAAGUUGAGCUGAUAAAAUAGUUUGGAUGAUGAAGAAAAGCCCAGAGAGCAUGCUUUAAUAUGUUUCAACCCUCGUACACUUGAUAAACUUGAUAAAUUUAAGACUACCCUAAAAAUUAAAAAGGAAAGCAAAGUUUUGAAGAAAUUUCAAAAUAAAUGUCAAGUCUUCUUCUUUAGAAAAUACGUACAAAGAAUCGAAUUUUCAAAAUUUCUCCUAAAUUUUCUUCACGUUACUCCACAUAAUCCAUUAAAAAUACUUAAAAAUAUAUUUUAAUAAUUACUAUAUAUUCUUUUAUUUAAUAAAUUGUUUAAAAAUGCUAUUAGUCCCUGUAAUUUAAAAGUUAAAAAAAAAAUCCAAUCCUCCUAUUUUUCUAAUUUGAAAAUUCUAGUCCAAUAAUUCUUAAUUCCAUUAAAAAAUUUCAGCUUAAUAGGUUUUUUAUUAUCAAUCAUAUGCAACAGUAUAUGAAUGCAGUCUACUCAGCAUAUAUCCAAGUUUACAGAUUUUAAUAGAAAAUACUUACAAUCCUAAUGGUAGGACUAAGUUUUUUAAACUAGAAAAGUGAGAAGACUUAAUUUUUAACUUUUUAAGCACAAGGAUUAAAUUUUAAAUGUUGUCAAAGUACAAGCACUAACAAAAUAUUUUGAUCUAAUAAAUGUAAAAAACUUUUUAAACAAAAUAAGGUUGAAAUAAUCUAUUUGUCCUUGUACUUUGAUAAAAUUUGAGAUUUAGUCCUUAUAUUUAAAAACUUAAAAAUUAAGUCUUAUUGUUUUUAUUUAAAAAUCUUAGUCCUAUCCUUAAUUUUAUUUUAUCAAAAUUGGUCAACUUUACAUAUUAAUUAGGUUUCCCUUAUAUGUCGCGGUAUCAAUCAAAACUUAAUUAAUAUCCAUCAAUAUCCAUCAAUACGUCAUACAUAAAAAAAGCAAGCAUAAAAUACAGUUAAAAGUCCUCCUUUUAUUAUUAAAUGUUUUAUUUUAGUUAUUUUAAUCAAAUAUAUCCAAAUUACAAUAGAGUUAACAUUUAUUGUGUAAAAAAUAUUUUAAAUUUUUUUUUCAAUUUUAGUUUAAUUCUAGAAGAAAUAUUUCAUUUAUAAAAUCAUAAAACUUUAAAAAUAUUAACUCUGUUAAAUAAAAAUUAUUUUUUUAAAUAGUAAAUGUUAACUUUAUUAACACAAAUGGGCCUCAGUAAUUGACAAGCUCUUCCACAAACUGUGGAAGAUUUGGGGAUAAAAGCUUCAAUAAUUAUGGAGUUAUAGUGUAAAUUUGCCACUAUAUUAUAAGUGUAUUGAAAUUUAUCACUAUAUUUUAUUUGAUGUUUAUCAUUACACUUUGAAAAUAUAAGUAAAUUUACCAUUUAACUCAGAUUUACCUUUGCAAGUAAACUUAAAAUUUUAUUUAAUUUUGUCACUAAAUUUGAUUUGUUCAAUAUAGAUUUUGGUGACUUAAAACUCACUAAAUUUGAUUUUUUCAAUAUACAUUUUGGUGACUUAAAACAAAAUUAAUAAAUAAUUAUUCUUUUGGAUAUCUUUUUAAUGUUUAAUAAUAAGUUAAUUUAUAAAAUAUACUGUCAUUGGACACAAGCCUCUAAGGCGGUGAACCACUAAUCAAAUUAAUUUGGAGAUAUCUUUUUUUCUAAAUAAAGUGAAUUUACGAGUUUUGUUUUCUUUUAAAAACAUUUUUAAUAUUUUUGUGGAUAUCAAAAAAUUUUUCAAUAAGAAAUUUUAAUUCACUCGAAAAGUUAGUGUUUUAUUUCAAGGGGUCAUAAUUAAUCAUUAGAUUUCCCAAUUUUAAAUUUUAAAUUUUUCGACAAUUGCGUAAUUAAUAAGUACCAAUUUUGAGUGUUGUAGGGCUAGUACAAUCUUCCUUACACAUAACCGACUCUUAAACCUACUCUUUUCUCUAGAAUUCAAUGCAAACAUCGAAUUUAUCUUUUGAAAAGAAUUUUAAAAUAAUAUAAAAGGUGUUUUUUUAUGACUGAUCACACUUAACAAAAAUUUAAAAAUUAUUAAAAAAAUUUCAUUUUGAAAUUUAAAGUGAUCUAAAAACAUAUUUUUAAGUGCUUUGGACCAUCUGUUGCUGAUUUCCUUAUUAUAUUAAAUGUUUGCAAUCACUCCUAAUAUAUUGUGCUUGAGUUGUGACAGAGCAAAUCGCCAACGUGCCAUAUUGAUCUAUUGAUGCUGAAACUGAAGUUUUUGUUAUAUUGAUAGAGCUUGUCCUUCAACGCAUACAACGUGUUUGUUAUUUUUCUCCCUUCAAAUUGUAUGAUCUUAUUUAUUUAAUGAAUUAAUGAAUUUCCCUUUUAAAAAGAUAUAUUUUUAAAAUUAAAUACUUUAUAAAAUAUUUAAAACUACUUAAAAAAUUGUAAGCCUUAAAACAAUCAACAAAAUAUAUUUUUCUCUAAAAAAAUCAAUAAAAAUAUGUUUAAAAUUUUAUAUGAAAUUAAAUUUUUUUUAACAAUAAUAUAUUUUAAAAUUAUAGUAACGCUAUAAAAUAUAUAUAUACAUAUAUAUAUAUAUUUACUAAUUAUAUACACCUUUCCAUACAUCCUUUUUCUACAUAGAAUUUCAAAAGUAAAUGUGAAUUAAUGUAGGCGUAAGAAGACUUACAGGUAAGUCACCCAACGAAAGUGUCCUAAACCGACUUAUGGAAGAAUCAAACAAUAAUUUUGUAUCGUAUAAUAUAUUUAAUUACAUUUAUUAGUUUAUCAAUCAAAACUUAAGUAGAAUCCAUCAAUAUUUCACACAUCAAAACCCAAACAUAAAAUUCACUUUUAAAUUAUUCGGGGAAUAUUUGUAUUAUAGGAAAUGGAUUAAAUUAGACUUUUAUUAUUAAAUGUAUUAUCUUAAUCUUUGUAUUAGGUAUGAAUGAUAUCUCUUAGAUUGAAGCUAGAGCUAUUCUUGAAUGAUUGAAAUUAAGAUUAAGAUGUGUUGAGAUGGAAAGUGGCAACACAAUGCUGAUUGAUGCUAUUUGUAAUGGGUUGGCUACAAUAAGUAGUGCUGCUGAAGUAAGACAAAUUUAUGAUUGGUGUUCCAAAAUUUUGGGAAGUCAAAUUUUGACAUUUUCAGCGGAAUGCCAAUAAAGUUGUUGAUUGCAUAGCUAUGGCAGAUGGAGGCAUAAUUGAGCAGCUGGUUAUCUUGAAAGAUCCUCUGCAUUAUGUGAGAUACUAGCUUGAAGAAGAUAUUAGACGGUCACUGGUGACUGAUGAUAAUUUUCAUUUGGACUGAUGAGCGCUUAAUUUUCUAAGCUUAUGGUCAACCAAAAAAAAUAAAUAAAUGCGUCUAAAUUGUAAUAGAGUUAACAUUUAGUGUUUAAAAAAAUCUUAAAAUUUUUUUUUCAAUUGCAGUUCAAUUCCAAAAAUAUCGAUGAUGAACCCGAACAUAAAAAUUACCAAAAAAAAAAACACAUCUAUUAUCAAACCAACAAUCCAUGUCUAAACUUAAAUUAACAAAAUUCGCCACCCAACCCAAUACACUAUUUUAUAUAUAUAUUAGAUUUAUUCUAGAUGCGCAUGUUUUAUUAUAUUUAAAAAUUAAAAUAUAUGGUUGACUGAGUUUUAGCUGAGUUGAUAUUGGUAUUAUUGUUAGUGUAAGAAAAUUUGAGUUUAAUCGUGUUCAAAUGUGUUUUAUCCUCCAAUUUAAAGGUUAGGAAAAUAUUAUUGAUAAUUAAAUUAUACCAACUUGAUGAUAUUAAAAAAAGGAUGUAUAAAAAAUAUAAGGGAGAAAAAAAAAAGGAGAAACAUAUUCAUAUUGAUGGGCUCUUUCAAUAUUAGACUUUUUUUCUCUCACAAGUAAAAGUAGUUAUGGAGAGGAUCAUGUAAAAUAAUAGCCUGAAUAAUUUUAAACGUCUCAUCAUUGCAAAAAUGAAAUAGUAGAAAAGAAAGAGUAGACAUUCUAUGAAAUUUAUAAUUCCAACCGUGAAUAAAAUAUAAAUUUUAUGAAUGUGGACAAGCAAUUUUAUUUAACUUUUUUUAAAGUCAUUUUGUUUGUUUCCUAAUCACCAUGAAAUUACUUGUCACAAUUCAUCUUUUUAAAUGAGAAACAUUUUCCACAAUUUGCCAUCACUUUAACAUACACUAACUUUUCUAUGAUUAGUCCUUUGUUUGCUUUGGGUGCAAUCUUCCAACUAGCCUCAUCCUUGGUUUUACUUUCCAACAUUUAGUGUAUUACGAGUUUUGUUUUCUUUAAAAAAUAUUUUUGUGGAUAUUAGGAGAUAAUGAAAUUAUUUUACUAUGAAAUUUUAAUAAAACUGGAAAAUAAGUCAUUUAUUUUAAGAGAUCACAAUUAAACAUUAGAUUUCCAAUUUUUUAAUUUUAAUUUUUUUUGACAAUUGCAUAAUAUUUUGAGCGUUGUAGGAAUGCCAUAACCUUCCCUACGCAUAAUCGACUCUUAAGUAUGAUGGAUCCUAGACCUUCUCCUCUAUUCUUGUACCACAAAUUGCUUCGAGUGUGGGUUCGGAAAAUCACAAAUUAAGCACAAAACCAAAAAUGAUUUUGUAACACCCCAAACCCAGCCUAGUCAUUAUGGAUUAAUGUAGACCUGAGAAGACUUAAUUACAUUUAUUAGUUUAUCAAUCAAAACUUAAUUAGAAUCCAUCAAUAUUUCACACAUAAAAAACCCAAACAUAAAAUUCACUUUUAAAUUAUUUGAAGAUAUAUUUGUAUUAUAGGAAAUGGAUUAAAUUAGUCUUUUUAUUAGUAAAUGUAUUAUUUUAAUCUUUUUAUUAGGUAUGAAUGAUAUCUCCUAGAUUGAAGGCAGAGCUAUUCUUAAAAGACUAAAGUUAGGAUUCAGAUGUGUUGAGAUGGAAAGUGACAACGCAAUGUUGAUUGAAACUAUUUGUAACGGGUUGACUACAAUAAGUAGUGCUACCGAAGUAAGACAGAUUCACGAUUGGUGUUCCAAAAAUUGGAAAGUCAAAUUUCGACAUAUUCAGCGGAAUGCCAAUAAAGUUGUUGAUUGCAUAGCUAAGGCAAAUGGAGGCAUAAUUGAGCAGCUGGUUAUCUUGGAAGAUCCUCCGCAUUAUGUGAGAUGCUAGCUUGAAGAAGAUAUUAGACAGUCACUGGUGGCUGAUGAUAAUUUUCAUUUGGACUGAUGAGCGCUUAAUUUUUUAAGCUUAUAUUCAACAAAAAAAAAAUUAAAUACGUCUCAAUUGUAAUAGAGUUAACAUUUAGUGUUUAAAAAAUAUCUUAAAAAUUAUUUUUUCCAAUUGCAAUUCAAUUCCACAAAUAUCAACGAUGAACCUGGACAUAAAAAUUACAAAAAAAAAAAAACACAUCUAUUAUCAAACCAGCAAUCCAUGUCUAAACUUAAAUUAACAAAAUUUGCCACGCAACCCGAUACACUAUUUUAUAUAUAUACUAGAUUUAUUCUAGAUGCACAUGUUUUAUUAUAUUUAAAAAUUAAAAUAUAUGGUUGACUAAGUUUUAGUUGAGUUAGUAUUGGUAUUAUUGUCAGUGUAGGAAAAUGUGAGUCUAAUUGUGCUCAAAUUUGUUUUAUACUCCAAUUCAAGGGUUAGGAAAAGGUUAUUGAUAAUUAAAUUAUACCAACUUUUAUGAUAUUAAAAAAAGGAUUUAUAAAUAAUAUAAGGAAAAGAAAAAAAGAGAGAAACAUAUUCAUAUUGAUGGGCUCUUUCAAUAUUAGACUUUUUUUCUAUCACAAGUAAAAAUAUCAAAGGUGAUAAUAAUUAAAUUAUAAAAUUUAAAUUGAGAAAAUAGGGGAUUGAAUUUAUAACUUUUAAAGUAUAAAGAAUGAAUUUAUAACUAACAACAUAUUUUAACCACACAAUAAAAGUAGUUAUGGAGAGGAUCAUGUAAAAUAAUGACCUGAAUAAUUUUAAACGUCUCAUCCUUGCAAAAAUGAAAUAAUAGAAAAGAAAUAAGUGUUGGGUGUAGUGGCAAUGUACAUUAUACUUCUAAGGGGAGAUCAGGGUUUUAUACAAGGGAAGAAUUUUAAACCUGCUUUUUUCUCUAGAACUCAACGCAAACCUCAAAUUUAUCUUUUUAUAAGAAUUUUAAUAUAUCUAUAUAAAAGGUGAUUUUUUUGCCGAUCACACUUAACAAAAUUUUAAAUUUUUUUUUUUGAAAUUUAAAGUGAUCUAAAAACAUAUUUUUAAGUGCUUUAGACCAUCCUGUGUUGAUUUCUUUAGUAAUUUGAUUUGUUCAAUAUAGAUUUUGGUGACUUAACACAAAAUUAAUAAAAAAUAUUUUUUCAGAUAUCUUUUUAAUGUUUAAUAAUAAGUUAAUUUAUAAAAUAUACUUUCAUAGGACACAGGCCUCCAAGGCGGUGAACCACUAAUGAAAUUAAUUUUGAGAUACUUAAAUUUGUUUUCAUCAAUUAAGAAAUUUGAAAAAUUGUUGAGACCUCAUGAUUAUCUUUUAUAAUUUCAGGCUUAUCACCAAAAAACUAAAAAACAAAAUCGUCGACAUUAAAUUUGUUGGCAUGCAAUCAAUUUUAAGAUGGUUUUUGGAGUUAUAUAUCACUUUAGCAUGGACUUACUUUUCUACAGUUAGUCUUCUCCAACAAGUUAAAUAUUUCAAUUUUAACAACAUUGACAGGUCUUUGGGGUAGGGUCGAGCAAAACUCAAUAGAAAUAGAUGAUAUAGAUUGAGUUAGCUCGGCCAAGUCGAGUCGACUUGUUCAAAUUAGUUAAAUUAGUAAAUUUUAGGGUGCAGUUAGAAUUUUUUUUUGUUUUGAGAUGCUAAGAUUAAAAAAUUUCAGUUGCUAAAACAAAAAAAUUGUAUUUAAAAAAAGGCAUAAAGAAAGGCUGAAUGACAAAUUGCCCAAAGCCCAUGCCCCUAGCUAUACGCCCCUGGUAAAAUCAAUUUUAAAAUUAGUUAUAAUAGUUGAAGCGAUUGAUUAUUGAGGAAUGAAAUACAUAGUUCAACAAAAUAAAUAAGUUGACAAAUUUUGACAAAAAAAAUCAAAAAUAAAAUAAUAGAAAAGAAAGAGUAGCCAUUUUAUGAAUUUAUAAUUCCAACCGUGAAUAAAAUAUAAAUUUUAUGAAUGUGGACAAGCCAUUUUAUUUAUAAUUUUCUGUGUUUUUCUUCUUUUCCUGACUUUUUUUUAAAGUCAUUUUCUUUGUUUCCUAAUCACCAUGAAAUUACUUGUCACAAUUCAUCUUUUUAAAUGAGAAACAUUUUCCACAAUUUGCCAUCACUUUAACAUACACUAACUUUUCUAUGAUUAGUCCUUGGUUUGCUUUGGGUGGAAUCUUCCAACAAUUAGUGUAUCACGAGUUUCGUUUUCUUUAAAAAAUAUUUUUGUGGAUAUUAGGAGAUAAUGAAAAUUAUUUUACUAUGAAAUUUUAAUAAAACUUUAAAAUAAGUAAUUUAUUUUAAGAGAUCACAAUUAAACAUUAGAUUUCCAAUUUUUUAAUUUUACAAUUUUUUGACAAUUACAUAAUUAAUAAGGUACCAAUGUUGAGCGUUGUAGGAAUGCUAUAACCUUCCCUAAACAUAAUCGACUCUUGAGCAUGAUGGAUCCUAGACCUUCUCCUCUAUUCUCGUACCACAAAUUGCUUUGAGUGUGGGUACGAACAAUCACAAAUUAAACACAAAACCAGAAAUGAUUUAUUACUUUUAAUAGCAAAGUAAUUCUCUCUCAAUAGAAACCAAUAGAAUUGUAAUUCCCAUAAAAUAAAAUUUAUUUUCUGAAAUAUAUUCUCACUACUUUCUAGCAGAGUAACAAUAUUUAAAACUUAUGUCUUGUGUUAAUAGCUUUACUAGCACUAUCUAUUUAUAGGGAGAGAGAUGAGAGUCCUGGUUGAAUUAGUAAAACACGAAUAAUAUUUAUUUCAUAGAAGACAAUUUCAUAGAAAACUUAUGUCUUGUGUUAAUAAUGUUGAAUUUGUAUGUACAAGUUUCUAAUACACUUGUUGGGACAUUCUUUGACUUUUAUCUAUUCUCUCAAAAAGUUAAAGUUCAAAGUUGCAUUAAACUCAAAUAAGAUAACCAUUAGCAAACCAGCUCACAAGCCUGCUCAAGCUAAUCCUACAAGUCAUUCCACUUCAUCAUCAAGCACCAAUGUUCUUGCUUAUCCUUAUGGAAUUAAACAAAAGAAAAAAGCUCUUUAAGAGUUAUUUCAAUAGACUUCUUUAAUGGUAAAUGACAAUCCACUCUAUUGAUGCUUCUUCGCCCAACUCAUGAUUUAAAAGAAGUUUAUACUCAUGGAUCAAGUGUAGCUCACCAGUUAUCAUUAAGGAGAAAAAAGAGUCAAUCAAGUGAAAAUUAUAUUCCAACAUCCCCCCUGAACCAAAUUUUAGAGUGAUGAAUGUCAUGACAACUGACACUACAUUCUUAGAAGAAUAAGUAGAUCUCUAGCAAAAACGAUGGAGAGUCUUACUACAAGCAUAAAAGGAAUGGAUGAUCAAAUUGAACAUCUUAGAGGAAGUAACCAAACCUUUUCCUACGAAACUCAACAUCCUCUUCACAAAGUUGUUGGAAUCAAAAUUGUUGAAGGACUUUAAAGUGUUUCUUUAGAUCAAGUUAAGGAGCUCAUUAAAGAAACCAUUAAAGAUCAAGUCAAAAGUGUUGCUCUACCUUCAUAUACAUACUUGAAGCCAUACAUUUGAAGGGCUUAUCAUUUGAAUAUGCCUGAACAUUAUCCACCUCCAAAAUUGCAAUAGUUUGAUGGUAAAGGAAAUCUAUGUAAACAUGUCGCUCACUUCGUGGAAACUUGUGAUUGCGUCGAUGUAACACCCCACUCGCGACCUAAUCGCUGGAUUCGAGAAGAGAGAUACCGAAAUCAUGUUGGAAAAAUCUAGUUUGAAAAUGGUUUUAUUUAUAGAGGAAAAUAAAAAUUUUGAAAACUGACUCGGUUUGUGAUAUUUAUGGCAAUAAAUGUUAAACUGAAAUCAUAAAUGUGCUUUUGAAUAAGCAAAUCCUUGAUGUUUUCUAGCUUUAAACCAAAUUAUCUUCUUCACUAUUCUCAUACCACAAAAUGCUUUGAAGUGUGGACUUGAACCAAUUGAAUCAAAACACAAAACUUGAAAAAGCUUUUUAUUCUUUUCGGGGUGAAACCUAAAAUUUUCUCUUAUUUAAUAGAAACCAGUAGAAAUGUUUAUUUUGGAAAAAUAUAUUUAAUAGUUAAGAAUAAAUUCUCCUUAUUUUUCAAUAGAGUAACAAUCUCUCAAAGUUGUAUAUAAAUCCCUACUGAUGCCAGAUAUUUUUAAGAAGAGAAGAUAGAACCCUUGUGGAAUUGUAGAAGCUUAUUUCAACUAGAAAAAUAACUUCCUACUUAGAGUAGGAGCAGGUUGGAUGGCAUCCCCUGUCGCCCCUUCGUUUUCCAUGAAGGGAUUUUGGAUCUCUCUCACAUUAGAUCCAACUAUGAGUGCUUUUCGAGCAUUUAGACUCAGUACUUUGUAAUUUGACCCAACUCAAUUCUAUUUUUUUAUUUCCCAAAAUAAACUUCAAUAUUUUAUAUUAAAUAAUUUUCUCAUCCAAAUUUUACCCUCAAUAGAAUUUUUGAGAAAAUAUAUUUAAUAUUUCACAAUUCAACUUGUUCAUUAUGAUCGAAUGAUUUAUUUUCAUUUUCUAGAUUUUAUAUAGCUGAAAAACAUAAACUCAUUCUCCUGAUCAUUUUUAAGUAUAUUCAUCUACAUUUGAAAAUGAAUCAUUUCUCAUUUUCGUUUCCAAAUGAUUUCAUUUCUCCAUUUCGAAGAAAUGUAUAAUCAUUCCUGAAUGUUUGUCAUUUCUUUAUUUCUAUUCAUUUCGAUUCAAACAUGCAAUUCAUUUAUGGUUUCAACGAGCUAGUGAAGGGACUAAUUGGACAUAUACAAUUAGGGCUCAAAUGAUUUAUAUUUGAAGUUUCAACUUUUCAUCUAUUAAUUAUAAACUCAUUUAGUCAUGAAGUCAUUCCACUAUAGUAUCAUGGCUGAGCUUGUGGUUCCCCAAACUUGGACGAGACAGUCUGACCCAAAAUUUGAAACUUACAUUAGCCACCAAAAUGAUUCUCUGUUAAAAUACUACAAAACAGACCAACCAACCAUGCAGGCCACACAUUUUCAACAUAAAUCAUAAUACAAUUAAUCCUAAUUGCAUGCCUUUCUAAACAUACCAUAAAAAAUGAAGAAAAAAAAUUCAUAUUUAGGUCACCUGUGAACCCACCCACUUAGAAACCUAGUAGCACGCAUCAACUUGGCGAGCACCAGCUGAAGACCUCCUCGCGACCCCCAGCUCAUUGCUAGCCCUACGAACCACUAGUUUGCUACUACCCUGUGAUCCCUAAAUAUUGGCAAACCUAGACACACAACUCCCCUUUUAUUUUAAUAGACUACUCAAGUCGUUGGCUCACUUGCGAACUCCUCUAUUUAGUGAACCUACCUAAUAAGGCAAACUCACUAUCCUGACGUACGCAUUAACUAUGGAGAACCUUCUAUUGCUUGGCGUACUCCCUCCUAAUGGCAAACACUAGGUUAUAUAGGGCUAGUCUAUACUAGCGGACUCCCUAUACUUUGGCGAACACUCUAUUAGGGAACUUAUGGUUUUUGGUGAACACACUUUUGUUUGGCGAAACCUACCUUUGGUGAACUCACCCCUAUUGUUGAACACUGUGUUAUGGUAAGGUCCUAUUCCCUUAUGACCCCUGUCUCACACUAUGCUAGGUUGGCUCGUAAGUAUUCUUUCAAUGCGUUAUUACUUCUAUAACAUGCAUUCUAUGUUAUCACUUUAUCUCAACCAAAAAAUUGGUUCAAGGGCGUACCUCAAAAUUCGGCGAACUCCUUGUUUUACAUAAGUAUGUUAGUUCAUCAAUUUACCUAGCAAAAUCAUGUAUUAUAAUCCAAACAAUCAAGCAUUCAAUCAAGCACUUAUAAAGUCUAAAAAUCCAAAAUUUAAAUAGUUCGUAAUAUCUGUUUACAACUUGUCAAAGUUUAUUUAAAAAUUCUAGGUCUACAUCUGAUUCCUUAGGAUAGUCCCACAUUGCCUUCAACUAUAGGGUUUGUAAAAACAAAUCACGUACUCGAAUGGAUUUGCCUUAUGUUGCAUCACUAGAUUGCCAUGCUUCACAACUAGUCACGUGAACUACUUAUCUGCAAGAUAUAUGCAAGGAGUGUGAGCUUAUUGAAGCUCAGAGAAUGCUUAAGCACACAACACAUAAAACACAUCAGUCAUGCUAAAAUUUAGACAUGUUGUAACAAUUCACAUAAAAUAUAAUAAUCAUGCUCGUCAUAGUAAAAUAAUGGCAAUUUGUGAAUAUGAAACAUAAUCAUAUUAUAUAUGCAUUGGAUAAGUAGAUCUUUAGAAUACUCCAAAUGACAUAGAGAGUCAUGCGCUAUCUUUGAUAAGUGUAGUAUGAAUGCUCACACUCUCCAAACACUCCAUACUAUCCUCAAAAUUGGAGCUAAGCUCGACAUUCCCUUAUCUCUCCAAUGCUAUCUUCAGGCCAUAAUGCCCCAUCAUAUAGUAAAAAUGGUGAGUACUCACAAUCCUAUGACAUGCCAAUGAUAUCUAACGGUUUCAAGUGUUCACAAUGCCAACAUAUGAUUUUUAUUUCAUUCACUUUACACAAUUUAAAAGGCCCACAAUAUAGUAGAUCUCACAUAUAAUAGUUCUUAAUAACACAACUCACAUUUUUGUAGGGCUCGCAUGAUACAUAAGUUCGUAAUAACAUAGAUUCGCAUAACACUUAUGGCUCACAUAUAUUUAGGGCUCGAAUGCAACAUUUGGGUUUCCAUAUAUUUAAACUAGCAUAAUACAGGGGCUCGCGUAACAUGUUUUGGCUUGCAUGUAAUAUAGGGCUUGAUCACAUAUAUAGGUUUGCAUGAUCUUAGGGUUCGCAUCACAUAUAUAAGUACGCAUGAUACAUGGGUUCACUCAACAUGUAUAUAUAAACUUGCACAUCAAAGUAUAGGCUCGCAUGCAUUAAGGUAAUAGAUUUUGCAAACAAUUUAGAGCUAGCACACAUCUUAGGCUUGCAUACAUACAUGUUAGCAAGGUCUGCAGGUCACAAAUCGGGGCUCGAAUAACUAUAGAGGCUUGCAUAGAAAUAUAACAGUGUUCGCAUAUCAUUUUAAUCAGCUUCACACAUUAAAUCAGAUAGUUUGUAUGCCUUACUUGGCUUUCAUUAGCAUGCGAACUCUUGUUUUUGACGUAGUGUGUAAGGACACUCACUAGUUGUUUGUUGAUACUGUCAAACCUAUACCACAUUUUGCUUGACUUUUUCCUUGCUUGUAGAUGCACCUUUAUAUUGAGAGGCUUUGCAUAAAACAAGAAAAUAUACAGAUUGCUACUUUCACAAACAUAUUAACCUUCUUAACUAACAUAGCAGCUCACCACUUCUAAAUUUACCGAACUCACCUCAUGUGACCUUAAACUUUUAGUUACUUUAUUUUAGUUCAAUUAAAUCCCCAAUUAUUACUUCCUAAUCUCAUAAGUAAGGUUUAAUUAUAGAUCUAGGCCAUUAAUUUUAGUCAAUUCUUAAAAUCAACAUUUUUCAAAAAAUCAUGCUCAUUUUCUAUCUCAAGAAGAAAAAUCACUUGAUUCAUGCAAUUCCUUUAAGGAUUUGUUAAAUCAAGUUUAUAAACCUCUUAAUUAUGCCAAAAUGAGUUAAAAAUUAUUUUAAAAUCAUGACUUAGCUCACUAUUAUGAGAUUCACCAUUUUUUUAUAUAAACCAAGCUUUAAAGCCAUAGAUCCAAUGAUUUCUCUUGAAACUUCAGGUGCAGUGCACUAACUAUGAAUAAUGUGGACUGAAUAUGUUUUUGGUACUCCAUGGAACUCCUCCUUCAACCACAAAAUCCCAACCCAAUUUAUAUGCAAUAUGUCACACAAUCUCAUACAUAAUCCUAUCUUAAUACUUUUCACAUUCAUUUGACAUGCUCAGCAUGUCCUCAAUAAUCACAUACUUUCAUACUUUUAGAAAAUGGAAACAGUGUUCCAAAGUUUCAAUUACCAUUGUGUUGGUAUCAAUCAAUAUCAUUCAAUUACACAUACUUUAUAGAUUUCCAUUGUGUUUAAAUAGCACCCUUUUCAAUACACAAUAUAAAAAAUAUCUCAUGCAUUUAAUCAUACAUAAGCUUUAUAUCUCAACACAUUAUAUCAUUCAGUCAAACAUUCUCAUAUCUUAUAAUUCAAAUAUGCAAUUACAAACUCAAUCAAACAUUCAUACUAUCAAACUAGCAAUUUUGCCAACAUGUUAAUCUUUUAAGGCUCAAAACAUAAUUGGUUCAGCCACUCACAAAAUCAAUAAUUUGGCUAUUAAGCCAAUCCAAUCAACAAGCUAAUUUAUCACAUAUAACAUGAUAUUUAACAUUUUCAAAAAAAAUUAUAAGUUUAGGACCCACGCAUUAUUUUUUGCUUCCUCGCAACAUACUAGCGAAUCUUCCAAUCUUCCUUAAUAAUUCCUUAAACGAACCUAAACCAAAAUGAAGCAUAAAUUCAAUCAAUUUACCAUUAAGCCAACCCCCAAACACCCACUUGUGAGUUCAAACUGAUCAUUGAAAUUAAAACUACUUUAUGAAUCCAAACUAGUUAGAUUCCUUAAACUGUAUCGAUGCAAAUCGUACGUACAAUCGUUCUUCACCUUUAUGGAUGAUUGGGGGUGUUUGGGUCAGCACCUAAUUCAAUAAUAUACUGGAAAAUCAGUAGUUAAUCAAUGAUUAACUUUCUUUAUUUAACCAAUUCAUAACCUUUACCCAACAACUAUGCCAAAAUAACAAACUAGUUUACAAUUAAUCGUACUUAUACUUCUCAAAUUAUAAGAUUCGAAUGGCUAAUUGAUCAAGAAUGUCUUUUGUAACAUCCCAAAAAUUAGGUUAGAAGAAAUGAGAUUUUGAAACCAAGAGUGGUCAUCCCUCGAUUAUGAGUUUAUAUCUUGGAAAAUUUGACAAGUAAAUUGAUCUGGCUUAAUGGUUAAUUGCUAUGGUUAUAUGUGUUAGGUUCUGGGUUCAAAUCUUGUUUUUGGAAAAUUUGUUACUUUUCUUAAACCCUUACCUUGAAUGUUUGGCUUUUAAGUUAAAUUUAGUCAAUUGAGGUCAAGAAUGAGCCUGUUGGUUUAAUGGUUAAGUUUCUGCAUAAUCCUUGGUCUUGUGUUCGAAUCUCAGCGAAAGCAACAGGGAAUGUUUUGUUUUUGAAUUUUUUAUAAGGUAGUUAGUUUCGAUUGGUUAUUUAAAGCCUUCUAGAAACCUCCGUUGCUUUUACUUUUAUUUUGUUCUUUCUUUUUCUACAAUGUUUUCUAUCAUUUUGUUUUCGAUCUUCAGUUUCCUCAUUUUGGUUUUUUAUUUUCAAGCAACCUUCUUUUUGUUAUGUUACGUUACACUAAUUGUGUAUAAGGUUUAACUUCUCCUUCUAGUUAAUUUGCUGGUUGGUAAGUUCAAUUUAAAGUUUUGGUGUCGAAAGUUCUUUAACAUAACUUCAAUUUUGGAAUGUUAGUUUCUAGUGGUUUGACUGCGAAUUAAUCGUUUGUUAGGGAAUUGCUUGUCGUUUAGGGACCUGAAUUUAUCCUUGUUACUCCUACAUCGAGUUCGUAUCAAGUGGGUAUCAAAAAUAUCUUCUUCUUCAAAUUUUAGUCGUCGAAGAAUAGGACUAUCAAUGCCACAUGGUCAUGCGCAAACUAUCUAGGUACAAUCUGUAUUCUAUUAAGUUUGUUGGUAUGCCUCUGCAUUACUCUAUUGAUAAAGAAUAUGUGACAUUUGAUUAUGUUAGAUUGGUUGUUACUGAUUCUAAUUUAUAACCCUCUGUUUUACUUUAUAGAUGUGGAAUACACAAUAUCUGAAAAUGUUAGACUAAUUGUUACUGAUUCUGAUUUAUUGUCGUGCAUGUGACUUCAUGGCAAAUAUGAUAUGAUCUGUUGAGGUUUGAUAGGUCUAUUUUCCAAAACAUGGACUCUCAUGUCUCCUAAUUCUGUUAUUGAAAGAUAUCAUAACUUACAUGCUCAUCACUCUGAUUCUGCAUAUGUAUGUCAUGACACGUUGCAUGGGAUUUGGGUUGAUGUGAAAGGUAAAAGUUACUGGCAGUUAAUGAUCCGCAUUAUCUGAGGUUUAUCCUCAAUUCUGUUUCGGCAGCUUAGUUGUACUAUAUUAACUUGACCACAUGUAACCGAUAUGGCAGUCUUAACUACAAAAUUCUAGUGGCACCAUCCACAGUUAUCUGUUGGUGUGAUUUGGCUAGACGAGUUCUGAGGGAACUCUAUUUUGGAUUGUAGUGGAGUUUUGGUAGGAUGUUUUCUGAUAAUUCUGCAUUCUGAUCUAUUUGAGAAAUACAACAUCUUCAUAACACAUUUUCUACUUUGCUCUAUUCUGUUCUAUUCUGUUCUGCUCUCUUCGGUUCUAUUCUAUUUGAUUUGUUAUGUUCUGCUUCAUUCUGUUGUGCUUGGUUCUAUUGUACUAUCGUUAUGGAAAUUUUCAUGAUAUUCUCGAUCUAUUCCAUACUAGCUAUAAAACUAUUAUUAAGUUCUUUGAGUUACUUUGAUUUAUAUAAUAAAAUCUAUUUAUUUGUAUCUAAGUUUGGUUAUACGCGACGCUUGGUAGUUCUCCCUUUGUCUUAUCUUAAUCUAUUUAGGUGGAUGUUUUACAUUGAUAUAACUAUGAUUUGAUCUUUUAGGUUGUAAUUUGUUUUUGGACUUGCAUUGCUUUUCUUUUGAUAAUCUCAUCAAUAUUUGUCAUUUUCUUACACAAAAAUAAAAAAACCACCUAAGUCGACUAAAAUGAAUUUCUGGUUUUCAAUGUUAAAAUUUUGAAAAGAAAUUAGUUUUCUACAUGUUGGUGUAGCUCGUCCAAAUUUGACUUAAACUUCUAGGUUGGGUUUGGGGUGUUGUAUCUUUCCAUAAUUAACAUGUGAUUAAUCUUUUAUUAGGAGGAUUCAAGAACUCAACUUAAUGAUGGAAAAAUAUAGGUAAGAACCAAGAAACAAAACAACCCCCUUUCUUGCACACAGGCGUACGCACCACCACCCAUGGUGGCCAAAAUUGGGGAAGAAUUUUAAAAUGGUUUGAAAUCUCAUUAAAAUCUAGAAAAAUACAAUUGAAUUCAUUUAAAAUCCCCCAAAUUCCAGAUCUAAAAAUUUUUCUUUUUAAUUGACAAAAUUAAUUAAGAAUUUGAAGAGAAAAGAGAUCUUCCCAAGCUAGUUAAAAGAAACGACAAUGACACUUUCUUGGCAAUGUUCAAGAUUGAUCUUGGGUUCAAGAUUUUAGAAUUGGGGAUGAUUUAGAUGAGAAAAAAUGGUAGGAAUAGAGUAAAGGAGAUGGUGUACAAUCUUGAUGCAAAAAGAAGAAGAAAGAGUUGGUAAAUGGGAGGUGUAGGCGACGACAACAAUAGGAGAAAGAAAGAAAAUUAAAGAGAAAAGUGGAGAGGAAGAUGGUGAACGGAUAGAGUAGGGAAAAUUUGAAUUAAAGGCUGAAAAAUACAAUAAAAAUUUCUAUUUAUACUUAGGGUUCAAGGGUAUGGAUCGCACAUACAUUUAAAAAAAUAAAGGAUUUUACGAAAUUUAAAAUUUCGUAAAGGAAAGGAUUCGAAAUUGGGACCUCAUUUAAUUUUCAUGUGUUCUCAUAUUUCUUUUAACCAUUAUGAUAUUUUCUCAUUCUUAAAAUCAUUUUACAAGAUUUAGUUUAAAAAUAAGGCAUGCCACAUUCUAGGGUUUAAGGCAAAAUUAGCAAAAUAAUAAAAAUAGUGAGAGAGAAGGGAUUUGAACUUGGGUUUCAUGGAAUGUUUGACUAACACUUAUCCAACAAACCAACACCUUAUUGAUUUCCUAAAAAUGCAUAGAUAAUCUCAAAAAUUAAGGCAUGACCACUCUUUCUCGAUUCACAAACCCGAUUAUGCUAAACCCUAAUUUUUGGAAUGUUACAAGGUAAGUUUGUAGUGUAACAAUAUAUAUGUGUGUGUUUUAGGGAUACGAUUGGCAUGCCAAUAGGGUUAGUAUGCAUGCUUGUACUGGAUCACACUUUGGUUCUUCUCUUUACACUUUGGUGCCUCUCUUUGCACUUCAGUGCCACUGUAUUUGCACUACAGUGCCUCUAUUAGCAUUUCGAUGUUUGGGGGAAACCCAAGUAUCGAAGUCAUUUUGCUGUAGUUCAACAUGCUGUGAAAUUUUAUGUUUAAAUGUUAAAUUACUCUUGAAUUUGAUUUAUAUACAAUGAUAUAUUUGUGUAUCUAUGUACAUAAGCAUUGAUUGCUUUGGUUUGAGCCAUUGUUUAUAUUGAAUCAUAUGAGAUGAAUGUUUUGAUUACUAUAGUUUGAGAAUAAAUAUUAAUUCCUUGGUGUAAUUAUAUGAUUCAUAUGUCUUUAAACAUGUUAUCUAAUUAUGUUUAUGGUGUGUUUAGAGAAUUAAAUUAUUAUAUGAGUAUUUUCCAGGUAUUCAAUGUUGUUUCAUUUGGUUUAAUGGGUAAAUAAAGCUUUAAAGGGUAUGUGAUUACACGAAAUGCACUACGAUAUUUGAGCAAUGAUAUGGAUCAUGAUGAAAUGUUUAAUUGAAAAGGAAAUAUGGUUUAGUAUAUAUAUAUGAGUGGUGAAUUAUGAAAGUGAAAUAUAGAUAUGUUAUAUACCAUGUUUUAUUCAAAUUAUAUAUGAUAUGUUACACCAACUAACCUUGUGAGGUGGUGGGUAUAGGAAAGGAAAGUUGGCUUAAAACAUAAUGAAAUUAUGCCUGCCUUUUUAACAUAAAAUAUUCAGUAAAUUAAGUUUCCUUUAUAUGAACUUACUCAACAUUAGUUGCUUGCAUAGUUAUUUUUCUUUAUUUUAUAGUUCAUCAGAAGCUCGACCGGUUGGAAUCAUGUCAAAGCACGAUCACACUAUCCAUUCAACAUUUUGAUAGCUUUUUUUAUUUUGGUAAAUGGUUAUAAAUGACAUGUAAUAGGGUUUAAAUGUCAUUCUAGUGAUUUGACUUGUUUUGAGUUGUGUCAAACUUCUUGUGAUUGAUGUUGUUAGUUGUUGGCAUGUAAAUAAUGGUGUAAAUAUGUGACAGCCCAAAAUUGACCCUAGUCGGGAAGUGGUUUCGGGACCGCUAAACCGAGUCACCGAAAGGUUUGAAUGUGAUGUUUAUUAUCUAGAAUAUGUAAUAAUGAAUGUGUGAAAAUUUCAAGCUUCGAUUUAGUCGAUUGCAUGCGAGUUUAGUCAAUAGGACUUAUAUGAGAAAAACUUUAAAAUGUGAUAGGUCAAUGCAUGAGGACCUAUUAGUGCAUGUGGAAGAAAAAGGGGACUUGCAUGUCAAAUUCCCCCUCCCUAAUAUGUAGUGGCCGGCCAUGCUAUGGGUGGAAACAUGUCACCAACAUGUUGUGUUAGUGAUGUAUGGUAAGGAAAAUAAAAUAUUAAGCAUGAUAAUUAAAAUAAAUUAAAGAAAGGAAUUAAACAAUGAAAAGGAAGGGUGAUGAAAAAAAUGGUCUCAUCCAUACCCCCCCCCCUUGUUGCCGUGAGUUGAGGAAAGAAAACAAAAAAAAAUGUGUGUUCAUUCUUGAACACCUUUGGCCGAAUAGAGGAAAGAAAGGAAGGGGAAGAGCUUGAGAAAAUCGGCUAUGGUGGUUUGCUAGACUAAGGUAUGUUUGAUGUUGUUCUUGAGAUGCAUGCAUGUUUUAGUAGUUGACUUGAGUUCUAAAAACCCAUGGUUCAAUUUUGUGGAUUGAUGAAGAUUUUGUGUUUUGCCAUUGAUGAGUGCUUGAGCUUUUUGAUAGUUGUUGAUGAAAAGUGAAAGAUAUGUUAAAGAUUAAUAUGUUUUGUGUUGAAGUUUUUGGUGAUUUUGAGUAGUUAGGGCUAUAUUACAAAAACAAAUUUUUGAAGGACUCAAAGGUGAAAUAAAUGAGAUGUAUGGACUUAUAUGGGCACUAGGAAGAUUCGGCCCUUAAGGAGUGUGACCAAACUUUGUGUAUUUUGUGUUUUGUGGAAUAAAGACUAAAUUGUGAAAGUGCGAAAUAUUAGGGGUAAAAAUGUAAUUUACCCAUUUAUGCGUUAUUAGACUAAAUUGAAUGAAAAUAUGUUAAAUUAAGGCUUGGCAAGCUAGCUAUUAAGGUGAAAUGCUAAUGUUAGUAUUUGAUUCGGUAAUAAUCUGUUUGGGGACAGCAGCAGUAAGGUGAUUUUGGAAAAUCGCCAUAAUUUGUAGGAGUUGAAUUAGAAGCUGAGUGAAUUAUGCCAUUAAAGCUUGAAGAGUCUAUUUUCUUACAAAAGAAACUAUGAAAACAAAAGAGUUACCGAUCUUGAGAUAUUUGAAGUAUUGUGGGGCUGAGUCAAAAUGACUACUAGAUUCCCUGUUCUGUUUUUAGAAAAUCAUUAUAAAUUGUACAAAAAUUAUUAUAAGAUAAAAUUUAUAUGCUUAGACUCCUUAAUGAGUCUAGUUUCAAAUGAGAUCAAAUACAACACAUUUUGAAUUCUGUAAAAUGAGAAAUUUGAUUCGUAGUGAAGAGUGGUCAGAAUAGUCAAACAGUGAAACAGGGGAAACUUUAAGAAAAAUCUGGUAUUGAUUGGCCAAGCCAAAAAUUCUGAAAAUUUUAUGGAUGGAAGAUAUAUGAGUCUAUAUUCAGGGAAAAUUAACAGCUAGUGAUUUGGAGUUUUGUAGCUCCAGUUAUAAACAAUUUAGCGACUACUGCUCAGGAAAACAGCUCGUAGUGAAUAUGUGAUUUUGUUGUAAACAUUAAUGAAAAUUUGCCAAUGAGUUAUUUAUUGACUAUUACAAAGCUUACUAUAAUCUAUGUGUGUGAAAGUCAAAUCAAUAUAUAUAUUAUUCUGAAAGUAAUACUUGAAUAGUCGAUUAAUGACUAUUUUAAGUUAUUGAUUUGGCUCAAGGAGUUAAAGGAGGUGAAUCGAGCAAAGGCAAAGAAAAGGUUAUCGAGUAGCCGAGUUGGAACCGUCUUACCCAACACGAGGUAAGUCAUUAAGCAUGUAGUUGGUAUUAUUUCAAUGGUCAUAAUGUUUAUGUAUUGAUGCUGAAUGGAAUGAAUAAAUAUACAUAUAUAUAUAUAUAUGUGCAUGUACGUAUGUGAUGAUGAGAUUGUUGAAUGAAAGAAAAGAGGUAAGAUGUACUGAGUUGUUGAUCUCGGCACUAAACGUGCGGGAUAACCAUUUAUGACCAUGAGAUUGGCGCUAAGUGCGCGGGAUUAAAUUGUACAGCACUAAGUGUGCGAUUUGACUAUGUUGCACUAAGUGUGCGAAAUGAAUAUGAUGCACUAAGUGUGCGAAUUGACCAUGCGGCACUAAGUGUGCGAGUUUGACUAUGUAGCACUAAGUGUGCGAUUUGAUUAUGUAGCACUAAGUGUGCGAGUUGAUUAUAUAGCACUGAGUGUGCGGACUCGAUAUACAUUCGUGAAUCAUUAUGGACACUAUGUGUGCGACACUAUUGAGUCGAUCGCGGACAGCGGAUCGGGUAAGUGUCUUGAGUACAUGGCUAAUAGGUGCUAUGCUUAUACUUGGUGUUGAGCUCGGUAAGUUUGAACCUAUGUGACAAAUAUACUUGAAGUCACGUACAUAAAAUUUAUCGUAGGAUUGGUGAAAGGCCGUUUAGUCGUUUGAUUGUAACGAAAAUAAAUUGAUUUAUGAAAAUGCUUCAAUGUCCUAUUGAUGAGUAUAUGGAAUGUGAAUGCAUGAAUUGAUAUGAAAUUGAAUUGAUAGGUUGGAGGAACUAUGGUAUGGUUCGGAAUGGAUGGAGUAAUUAGCCUCGUUCCAUUUUGUUUUCUCUUGUGAUAAUGUUAUUGAUGGAUGGUAGUGCAUAGCUUAUGACUUACUGAGUUAUAAACUCACUCGGUGUUUCCUUGUCACCCAUUAUAGGUUGCUUGGACUCAUCUAUUUUUUUGCGUGGUCGGGCCGUCAUCGAAGUCAUCACACCGGAUAGCAAGUUUUGGUACUUUCUUCUUAGUUGGCUUAGAAGAACAUUUUGGCAUGUAUAAGCUAUUACGUUGUGUUUGAACUUUGGCAUGUAAACUUUAAGCCAUGUGAAAAUGGCACGAAUGUUCGAUUGAGUUGGAUCAAGGGUAGGCAUGAAAUGGACCUAGUUACUUUCGUAACAGAUGCUGGCAGCAGCAGUGUCAUGAGAUUGAAAAAUCAUUAAAAAUAGUAGGAGUGGAAUUAAUUGAUGAAUAAAUUAUGUAAUCGAAGCUCGAUGAGUCUGUUUUCAUGAGGAAGUAACGAAAAGAUCAUAUGGGCAGUAUAUUAAGAGAUAAUCAGAUUUUUGUGGGACAGGGCCAGAACGGUUUCUGGAUUCCCUUCUCCGACUUUGGAAAUUCAUUACAAAUUAACCAGAGAUAAUUAGGGGUCGUACCAUAUAUGUACAGAUUCCUCUCUGAGUCUAGUUUUCAUAGAAAUAAACGGCAUCAGUAUUGGAGCCCCGUGCAGGGAGAUAUCCAAGUCGGAAUGGGAAAAGGUCAGUGUAGUCGACCCCUGCAACUGGGGAGACUUUGACUAAUAAACUGUACUAAUUGGCCCGACCAAAAAUUCUAGAAAAAAAUACAUAGAUGGGCACAUGAGUCUAGUUUCUGGGAAAAAUUACGAAACUGAUUUUCGAGUUAGGAAACUCAAGAUAUGAUUUUUAAAACGACUAGUACACGGAUUGGGCAGUGUCUGGAAAAUAAAUUUUGUAAGGGGUUAAAGCCAGUUAACACCUCGUGUUCGACUCCGGUGUCGGUUUCGGGUUCGGGGUGUUACAAAAUAUGUGUGGUUGGACCCUUAUGCAUGCUUUAUUGAUUAAAGAUAUCAUAUGGUAAAAUGGCAUGUUUUUGGAAUGGUUAUUUGGCAUGAUUAAAAUAGGUUUAAGUUUUGAUCUUGAGACGUUGAAUUGAAUUAAGUUUAAGAUGUAUAUUGUGAUACCUUCAUUGGCAUAUUUGUUAGAUAUUAAAGGAUGGUUGAUUUGGUAUGUUUUUGAAAUGGUUGUUGGUAUGUUUGAUCUAAGUUGAUUAAAUGAACUUGUAAUGUUCAACGGUAUAAUACUUGUUGGUACAUUAGUUAGUCUUAUAGGUUGAUGGAAUUGGUAUGUUUUAAAUGUGUUUAAAAUAUGUUUUGGUUAUUUCAAUGUUUGUGGAAAUGGUGUGUCUUGGUGUACAAGAUUUGUAAUUGAAAUGGCUCUAUUUAGAAGCAACUUCUGCUGCACACUACCUGGGACACGAGUUGUCACAUGGUUGUGCAUCAUUAAUGUUUUAGGUGCAGGUUUCACACAAUCUAAGACUCGGCUCACGACACGGUCUGGGCUAUGUCACACAGCUUGGCCGCAUGGCCAUGUGACCCUUGUUUUCAAGUUUUCAAAAUUUUCUAUUUUAUUUCAAAUUGAUCAUAGAAUAUUCUCAAACUAUUUUUAAGGCCCCGUAGGUUCGGAUUAUGGCCCGUAAGUGUAUGUUUGCUAUAAUUAAGUUGUGUUAUUGAAUGUUAUUAAUUAAAUCACAUGAAUAUUUUAUUGUAAGUUAAAUGUUUUAAUUUGUACCAUAAUGCUUUGUAACCCUAAUCUGGCGAUGAAGACUAGUUUGGGGUGUUAUAAUUUUGGACUGUAAAUUUGUUUUGGGGGCUUUGUUCUUUGGUUAUUGCGAUGUUGGUUAGAUUUUGGUGUUUUAACAUUAAACUGCAAAAUUGUAUGAUUUAACAAACUAAAAAUUAGUUUUUCAAAAUUAAAACUCUUGAAAUUUCAGUUGCAAAGAUUAAGUAAUCACUUCAGUGUUUUUCCAUAAAUAAUUAAAUUUUUUUUAACAAAUGUUUUCCUUAGUUUGGGAAAUGAUUUGCCAACAUAUGUACUUUUAAAACACAUGAUUUCAAAUUCAAAUUCUCAAUUUUAAAUAAGGGUUUUCAAACUUUAGUUUUUUUUAACAGUUGUGAGAGGUUUUUGCCAAAUUUUAUGUUUUCAGAACAUAUUAGUAAGUUGAUUUUUAAUUUGUUUUUUAAACGAGUCGAUGUAAUUCCUCAAAAAUCCAUUCAUAGCGUCUUAGUCUAGAUCUAAACAUUAAUAUUCUCUUCCAAGAAAAAUCAAGAUUAUCAAAUUGUUACAACUUGGUAGGUAGACAAUCAUAUUAAAUAAGCAUAAAACUUAAUAAAUAAUUAGCGAAGAUUGAAACAAUCAAAGAAAAAAUAAAUUAAUUAACUAAGAAAUAGGAUCCAUUAUUGUUUCAAGAAAACAGAGUUUAGUUCAUAUUGAGUUGAGAAAUCCAAAAGGGAGAUUCAAAACAAACUUGUGAAAAGGGGAACAAUGUCAAUAGAUCGUAUUCAAGUUGUUCAACUCGAGAAGGAAAGAUUCAGAUCUAACCUAAAAAGAAGAAACCAAACAGAUUUAGAAAAACAAGAAAAACAAAGAAAAUAACUAAAAUGAGAAAUUUAAGAGUAAUUAAUAAAUAUUAAAACUAAUAAAGAAAUAAAGAAAUUAUAGAAUAAAUAGUGGAAGAUGGAAUGAAUAAACGAUGGAUAUGACAUAUAGAUGGAUAAGUGUCUGAUAAUUCUUGAAAAGAGUUAUUUUUCAUGCCUUUAGACCUAACUUGUAAUGCCCCAAAAAUCCCUUAUAUAUUUAUUUUCGUAAGUUUGUAACAGAAAUAUCUGUUAGCUUUAGUGGUUAUAUGCUUUGGGAGUGUUUAGGAGGUCCCAAGUUGAAACCUUAGCUUGGGCAAUUUUUUUUUGUUUUAAAUGAAUAAAACUCUAUCUUUGAUUAGUAGGCUUAUAAAUAGAUGUUGGUAAAAAAUGUCAGAAUGGUUUUACUGGUUUAGUGGUUAAGUGGGGUGUAAAUAUGCAGGAGCUCUUAUGUUCGAAUCUUUGUGCGAUCAAGAGCAUUUAUUUUAUUACUUGUGUCGUGUAGGUAUUUUGGUCCAGCCAAAAUACUGAAGAGGUUGACUAAGGGUUGGUUUCGGUUGUUGAGAGGUUUAUGGUGGGUUAGUAGAGAGGAUUUUAAGGAGAAAUUUUAGAGAUAUGAAGAGAGAGUUAGUGCCGAAUUGAAUUUCUUUUGCUUUCUCAAAUUUCAGCUGGGGUUUGAUUUUUCUUUUCAAUUUGUUUCUAUUGACUGUUUUCCAUUCUAGAGGGUCAAAUAUUGCUGAGGGUUCCUACUAGUUUCUUUUUUUUCUUUUUCUCUCUUCUCUCUUUCGACUUUGUUCUUCCCAACUGCAAAAGUGCUCUUCCCUAAACUGUUACUACCGUCUACUUUCUCUUUUCCUCCCUUGCUUUUUUUAUUGUCGAAUUUUGGGUUCUUUAUGCAUUUAAUUCUAAUGUCAAUUUAUCACUUCUCUACCAAAAGAUUAUUAUUUUCUCUCAUUGAUUUUCGUUUGGUUCAUCCUUGCUACCAGAAGUGUGGUUGCCCUUCUUUCUUGGUUUCGUUUGUCAUCAUCUGCUACAUGUUCUUUAACACUCUUUUGGUAAGUGUUCGUUUCUUCACCGCUCAGUUACUUGAAGUUAGUUUUUAAAUGGUUGUGUAUUGUUUUGAAUAAGAAUCUGAUAAAUCGUGUGUUCCAACCCUAUUUAGAUCAGUUCAUGGUGGUGUUUAUUGAUGAUAUACUGGUGUAUUCGAGAACUAAGGAUGAGCACGAUGAACACCUCAGAGUGGUUCUACAGAUUCUACGAGAAAAAGAACUGUACGCCAAGUUUAGUAAAUGUGAGUUCUAGUUAAGUGAAGUAACGUUUCUGGGACAUGUGGUUUCUACUGAGGGGAUUAGAGUUGAUCAUCGAAAGAUUGAGGCUGUCUUGGAUUGGAAGCAGCCUAAGACUGUAUAUGAGAUCUACAGUUUUCUCAGAUUGGCAGGGUAUCGACAAUUUGUGUAAAGGGUUUUCUCUAAUUGCCGUACCCUUGACUAAGCUGCUACGUAAAGGCUUACCGUUUAACUGGACUGAUUCAUAAUAAGAGAGCUUUGAGAAGCUCAAGACUGUACUGACUGAGGCCCCUGUUCUAAUAUAGCCAGAGUCUGGAAAAGAGUUUACUAUUUACACUGAUGCAUCACAUGUCUGUUUAGGAUGUGUGUUGAUGUAAGAAGGUAAGGUGGUAGUGUACACGUCUCAUCAGCUUAAGAAUCAUGAGGUGAAUUAUCUUACGCAUGACUUGGAGUUGAAGUGAUUGAGUAUAAUAACAUUUAACAUAUUAGAGCCAAUUGGUUGUCCAUAAACAUAAAAAGGUGACCUUAAUGAGAUACGCCAUAGACUCAAAAGUGUAUCAUUUACACUGAUCACAAGAGCCUCAACUACCUCCUCACUCAUAAGGAGCUGAAUCUUAGGCAACAUAGAUGGAUUGAGAUGCUUAAGGACUACGACUGUACUAUUGAAUACCACCCUGGUGAGGCUAAUGUGGUGGCUGACGCACUAAGCCGUAAAACUAUGACUGAACUGAGGGUGAUGUUUUCUCGCCUUAUUUUAUUUGAUAAUGGUAGUCUGUUGGCCAAACUUCAGGUUAAACCGAUUUGGAUAGAGUAGAUUAAGUGUAUACAAGUAGAGAAUGAGUUGUUGGGUCUUCGUUUUUGACAGGUUGAGAGUGGGAAUACCAAGGAUUUUAGACUGAAUAGUGAAGGGGUGCUCUAUAUCUGUGGGAGAAUCUAUGUAAAGACCUUCGUGAGUUAUACUAGUGGCCAGGUCUUAAAUGAGAAUUUACUAAAUUUUUGGCUAAGUGUCUGACAUGCUAGCAGGUUAAGGCUGAACAGCAGUUACCUUCGGGAUUGUUGCAGCCAGUCAAGAUUUCAGUUUGGAAGUGGGAGCAUGUAACUAUGGAUUUCAUUAGUGGGUUACCCCUCACACCCACUAAAAAGGAUUCGAUGUAGGUCAUCGUGGAUUGAUUGACCAAAUCCGCCCACUUCAUACCAAUUUGUACUGAUUACUCUCUGUAGAAGCUGGCUAAAUUGUAUGUGUCUGAAAUAGUGAGAUUACAUGGGGUACCGAUUUUAAUAAUAUCUUAUAGGGAUCCUCAUUUCACAUCUCGGUUCUGGAAGAAGCUAUAUGAAGCUUUGGGUACAAGAUUGGAGUUUAGUACUGCGUUUUAUCCUCAGACUGACGGUCAGUCAGAGAGGGUGAUUCAGAUACUAGAGGAUAUGUUGAGAAGUUGUGUGAUUGACUUUCGAGGUAGUUAGGAGGAUUACUUACCGCUAGUAGAAUUUGCAUAUAACAACAACUAUCAGUCUAGCAUUCAAAUGACACCCUAUGAGGCAUUAUAUGGUCGUAGGUGUCGCACACCUUCAUGUUAGACUGAGUUAGGCGAGCAGCGUAUUUUGGGGCCUGAACCAGUUUCUGAUACAGAGGAUAAAGUUAGACUAAUUCAGGACCAACUGAAAGCGAUAUCUAAUAGGCAUAAGUCCUACACCGAUCUAAAGAGUCGAGGGAUUGAGUAUUCUGUGGGGGACUUCAUUUUUCUCAAGGUCUCACCAUGGAAGAAGGUAUUAAGGUUUGGUCGUAAGGGCAAGUUGAGCCCUAGUUUAUUGGGCCCUAUCGCAUACUAAAACGUGUGAGAUGAGUUGCCUACCAGUUGGAGUUACCUCUAGAGUUAGAUCGGAUUUAUGACGUGUUCCAUGUCUCUAUGUUGAGGUUACCGCUCUAAUCCUACGCAUAUUAUUCCUAUUAAGGAAAUCAAGGUUAGGCUAGAUCUAACCUUUGAGGAGGAGUCAAUUCAGAUAUUGGAGUGAGAUAUAAAGGUUCUAAGAAGAAAAUUCAUCCCACUAGUUAAGGUUAUUUGGCGUAACCAUAGCACUGAGGAGGCCAUAUGGGAGUCUAAGGAUGUAAUGCUUUAGCAGUAUCCUCACCUAUUCUGAUCAGGUAAAUUUUCAAGGCCAAAAUUUUCUUUUAGGGGGUAGAGUUGUAGCGCCCCAAAAAUCCCUUAUAUAUUUAUUUUCGUAUUUUUUAUACAAAUAUCUGUCAGCUUUAGAGGCUAUGUGCUCUGGUAGUGUUUGGGAGGUCCCAAGUUCAAGCCUUAGCUUGGGCAAUUUUUUAGUUUUAAAUGAAUAAAAUCAUAUCUUUGAUCAAUAGGCUUAUAAAUAGAUGUUGGUAAAAUAUGUCAGAAUGGGCAUGCUGGUCUAGUGGUUAAGUGGGGUGCAAAUAUGCUGCAGGUCUUGUGCUUGAAUCUCUAUGUAUAGAGCAUGUUGUUAAACUGUACUACAUGCAUAUAUGAUACCAUGAUAUGACAUGACAUGAUUGUGUGGUGCAUGGCAUGGGGAUAGGUUAUUAUUGAUCGAAGGAAGUGUACUGGAAGGCUUUGAGCCUAACUUACUGGCAGCUCAGCUGCAUAUUACUGUAUAGUGUCGCCAUUGGUACUACUUAGAGUGUAGGGAUGGGUGGGUUGAUUAUAUCCCCACAUGAAGUGUAGGGUUGGUCGGAGUUGGUGUGUAGAGGUUGGCUAGGUAGGACUUGUAUACUGCAUAAUCUGUUAAUGUACUGAUUGCUAAUAUUGUAAUGGGCCAAGGCCCAAAUGCAUGAUUACUUUUGUACUAAGAUGGGCUAAAGCCCAAACCAAUACUGUCACUGAUACUGGAAAGGGCUUAGGCCGGACUGAGUUUAUUCUGUUUUCUGUCUGAUUAUUUUGUGUACUGUCUAUUUGUUUGCACUAGGAAUAUCACACUGAGUUUUGAAAACUCACCCUUUCUGUUAAUCUGUGUAGGUAAUCCCCAGUCGUAGGUAGAUCGGUGUGGCGGAGGAUUCAGCGGUGGCCACACGACUCCUUUUUAUUGUUUCGUAUCUAAUGAUAUUUAUUUUUAAGUCUUUAUUUGGGGUUUUUAUCUGUAAUAAUUGCUGCUAUGGAUUUUUUAUUUAAAUUUGGAUUUAACACUACUUCAUGUUUACAUCUGCUAGAGGUAGAUAUAGCACGGAUUUUUGAAAAGAAAUGCAUGUGUUUUAGCAAAAUACCCCAAUGUCACAAACUGUUUUAAAAAGCUUCCGCAACGUAUAAUGAUUUGCAAACUAACAAUUGAAUAAAAAUCACUAUUUUGGGAUUAACAAAAGAUAACGACGACCUCUAAUCGAAAAAUGUUUUAAGCAAAGUUACCAUUUUUCAACAUGAGCUUCGGUUUUGAAAAAUACCACCAUGUGACAUCGCCAAAUUCGCCCGUAACAUCCAGGCUGGGUUUGGGGUGUUAGAUAACUAAUUGCUUGAACUUAAGUACAUUUUGUUGCAUUUUAAGACAUUUUAGUUAGCAUUUCUAAUAUUGCAUUAGGACUUAGAUUGUGUUGGACUUAUGUGUUUUUAAUAUGGUGGAGUUUUUUUGUGUGUUGGUAUGGCAAGAACAUAUUUUAGAACGAGGAAAUAAAUGAGUGAAGUUUUGUCAGGGAAAAAGUGCAGACAGUUUGCCAGCACGGAUGCCGUGACAAUGCCAGGAAGACCAAGUAAACAUUUUUUUGCGCAACAGUCUCAAUUGAAAUUAAAACUUGUACCAGAUAAAUCUUCAAAAAAGAGGAGAAGAUAAUCACAAGUUGUUACUUGACACUAGCCUAAUCUACCUAUAAAAGCCAAUAAAGGGGAUCUCACAAAUGGCAGAAAAAAGUGGGAGGGAUCCUUAGGUGUGAAUAAGGUUUUAGUUGCGCAAAGGAAAGGAAGUCGAAGGCAGUGCUUUUUAGCCAUCACAGGAUGUUGUGCUACCGAAGUGUAAACUAGGCAAGUGAAAGUUGUUUCCCAAAGUUCUUUCGUUAUUUCCAUCAGCGUUCCUUCAAAAUAUUGAAGUAGUUGAACACAAUGUCAGAUAAUAUUUUGCUUUUGAAUUUUAUUUCUCAGCCCAUGAGCUAAAUCUCGUAGGGUUGGGAUUACUUUUGAUGAAACCUUAAACUAUUUUUAUGGAUGCAGUAUAUAUCUAAUUUACUUUACUGUUUCAUUUGAUUGUUCUUAUUUCUUAAUUAAAAUGCAAAUGAUUUCUAAACAUAGAAGACUGUUCGCAUACUUAUAAACUCAUUCUAAUUCUGAAAGGGUUGGAUUGGUUGGAUUAAAAUUAAAUGAAAUGAGCAAGUAUUCGAUGGACACUUGUAGUAGACUCUAUACAUAGAGUGACGAUCAUACAGAAGGAACCCAUGCAAGGUAUCUAAAAAGUCUUUAGACAUAGGCAAGGUAACUUGAUGUUUUCCUCUCAUGAGAGGAGAGCCAUUUUAGUACUCUUCUGUGCUUUAUAGUAGAUACGAUUUUCCCAAGGCAUUAUUGACAAUAAGGGUCAAUAUUCGGUAAUCCUGACCUUCGAAAUCCACAUCGUAUAUCCUUUAUUCUUUUCCACAUCAUUAUUAGUUAUUUAUUUGUUCAUUUACAUAAUAUUCCCAUAGUAAUUCUCAUCAUUGUCAUUACAUUUCUACUCUUGGUUUGACACAACAUUACCACUUAUUUAUUAAUUCUAUGUAUUGCUUACAUCAUUACUCUACUAAUUGCCACUGUAUAUUCAUCAUUGACUCUCCCAUAGCAUUAAUCGUAUUUUAUUAUAAUAAUUUGACCAAUUGUGUGCCUCAAUCCGAUCUUUAUGGGAACGAUACACACUCAUCACUUUAUUACGUGAUUCAACUGUAUACUUGCACAAAUCGCAUAUCAUUUCACACACGAUAGUGUUCAAUUGAACCCUUUGAGAUAUAAACCUAGACAAACUCAAUUAAUGGCUUUAAUUAACCCACCAAGAAAUAAUGAUUGGCAAAUUGAACGAUGAAGAAUGAAUUCCCAUGACUCCUUAAAAAAUUGAGAAGAAAAAUACUUCUAAAAAUCACAAGAAACAAAUCUUGGACAAAGAAACUAACUUUCAGAGUUGGAAAUUUUAGUAAUAAACAAAAACAAUUGCAUCUCUAAUGAACAUGAAGGGCCUUUACAUAGGCUAGAUAAGUACAUCCAGAUAAAAUAUUCAAGUAUCUUGAAACUUUAAUUAAUAUAAGUAAUAAGUAAUUUUAAACUAAAAUAGUCAUAAUUUUCGUCAUAAUCCCGUCCAAAAAUUCUGCUCACAUAAUCAUCAUUAAAAUAGUCAUAAUUUAAGCUCUUGAACUCAAAAUUGAGUGAAUAAAAGUGUGUUUCGAAGUUAAGUGCUAGAUCUUAGAACUUUAUGAAGACAUAUCAAUCGAAAAUUGUCCGGAUCCCAUCCAAAGAGUCACAGCAAGUUAACUAAUUUUUCAAACUUGAAAAUUGGCAACUUCGGGGAAUGGAAUUUAAUACAGUUCACCCCAUCUAUUCAUGUAUCAACUCGCAUUGGUAAAAAGUAAAAAGAAAUAAUCUAUAGAGAAAAUAGUUGAAGAAUUUAUGAAAAUUUAUUCAAAUCUCUUUUUUUUCUAGUCUUUGCAAGCUUGAAUUUUCCCUUGGUGUGUGAGAGUUGUUCCUUACCCUCUAAGUGAUUUUUUUUCUUUUUCUUUCUCUUCGAUCUCGUCACCUAAGGGUGUUCAAACAAUUGAUUCAGUUAGUACCCGUGCAAAACUAUCAUUAACUGAAAUUUUGAAACCCUUAAUCAUUAAUCAAACCAUUUUCUUUUUUGAAACCUACUAACCAGCUUGAUUGAUUUGGGUUAAUUUGAGUGGUUAACCAAAAUUUAAACAUUGUUUGUUUUUGUUCAAACAAUUUUAAAACAAAGAACAAUCCAUGACAAUUUUUCCUUGUUUUUUAUUCAAAAAAAUUAAAAGAAUUAAAAAAAUAACAUAAUAACAACACUAAAUUAAAAACAUAAUAGCAUUCAUUACAUUACAAAGCAUAUAUAUAUAUUUACUUUUUCUUGACUUUUUAGUUUAAUUUUCGUUUUAUUUUCCUAAUAUUUUUAGUUUUCAUAUUUUUGUUAAGCUUAUUAUAAGAACACUUAUAAAUCCAUUAGUUCUUAUAUAUUGGGUUUGUAUAAUGUAUUCGACCUAUCUCUAAUAUAUUGGGCCUAUAAUAUAUUUUUAUUGAUUUCGGUUAAUCAAUUCAUUCGAUUAAUUAGUCGAUUUCAAACUAAAAUAAUUGGUAAACAAAAUCUUCAAAAACCUUUAACCAACUCCAACCAAAUUAGAUUCAUUGAUCAACUUCUUAAUCAAAUUAAUUAGGUUUGAUAAAUUAAUUCGUUAAAACUGAAAAAUGCACACCCCUAUCAUCACCGUUGUUUUUAGGGAUUUUAAUCAUGUUGCUCCACCUGAUGCAGAAGUUGAGGUGGAAUGAACUACUUGCUACCAAAAUUUUUGAAUUAUAGAGCAUGCUCUACCGCAGUGAAUCAAAUUCGGUGGAGUGGAAGACUUUUCUUUACUACUUUAUGCUCUAUGCUCCAAGUCUUCUAUUCUUCUUCUGAGACCUAAAAUGGGAAAAAAAAAGAAGAAACAAGUCUAAACUAACUUUGAAAAUUAGAAAUUCUCAACAAAAUUGAAAUAAAAUAUAAUUAAUCCAUAAAAACUAUAAAAAAUACAAUAAAAACGAACCUAAAUACUAAAAUUACCUCCUAAAAAGCUAUGGAAACUAUACUAAAAUAAUUCUAAAUAUGAUAGUUAUCAAAAAUGACAUGAGGAAGCCAAUCGAGUAGAUGCUUUCAACUAUUGCAAAUACCAUUAGUCGAUUAGCCAUCAUCUUGAGAACAUCAUAGAGUUGAAAGAAAAAAUCAUACAACUCCAUAAAGAAGAAAAAAUCAUUUUUGAAAAAGAAUUGGCAUUAUCAAACUUGACAUCAAUGCUUUGGUUUCUCAAUACAAUAUUAUGGACAAAUUCAUCAAAUUUGGCUCUUUCAAUCCUAUUACACUAGCUCUAAGUAGAAGUAAGAUGGUGAGUUUCGAAGGGAUUGAGGGCAAUCAUCUAUUUUUGGAAUAUCAGAAUGGUCAUGAUUGGACUCUAGCCACAUGUCAAAGAAGCCAAUGAAAAGCAUCUCUCCUAGGUAUAAGCUUAUAUUAUCACAUUGCUCCUAAGCAUGAGCAUAAAUCGUUCAUCCAGAAUGAUGAUGAUCCUAAGCAUAAGCUUAAACUAUUCAUCUAAUGCUCCUAAGAUGGAGCUUAAUCUAUUCAACCUAAACGAUCAUGCUUUAAGCACAAUCUUAAACUAUUCACAAAAAAUAAAUGAUGAUCCAAUGAAGCAUGAGCUUAAACUAUUCAUACAAAAUAAGCGAUGACCUUCUAAGCAUGAAUUUAAAUUGUUCAUACAUAAUAAAUGAUGAUAUUACUAAGAACAAGCUUAAACUGUAGUCUAAAAAAUAUUGAACUAUAUUAUAACUUGAUCUUUUAAAAAUGAAGGUACGUAGAUAGCUUGGUUUCAUUGCCAAGUUCAGUCUAAUUAAAUAUGUUUAUGGUGUGUUUAGAGAAUUAAAUGAUUAUAUGAUUAUUUUCCAGGUAUUCGAGGUUGUUUCAUUUGGUUUAAUGGGUAAAUAAAGCUUUAAGGGGUAUGUGAUUACAUGAAAUGAACUAUCAUAUUUGAGUAAUGAUAUGGAUGAUGAUGAAAUGUUUAAUUGAAAAGGAAAUAUGGUUUAGUAUAUAUGUAUGAGUGGUGAAUUAUGAAAGUGAAAUGUAGAUAUGUUUUAUACCAUGUUUUGAUUCGAAUUAUAUAUGAUAUUUAAACCAACUAACCUUGUGAGGUGGUGUGUAUAGGAAAGGAAAGUUGGCUUAAAACAUAAUGAAAUUAUGCUUGGUUUUUUAACUUAAAAUAUUCAAUAAGUUAAGUUUCCUUUAUAUGAACUUACUAAACAUUAGUUGCUUACAUAGUUAUUUUUCUUUAUUUUGUAGUUCAUCAGAAGCUCGACCGAUUGGAAUCAUGUUAGAGCAUGAUCACACUAUCCAUUCAACAUUUUAAUAGUUCUUCGUUAUUUUGGUAAAUAGUUGUAAAUGACAUGUAAUGGGGUUUAACGGUCAUUCCAGUAAUUUGACUUGUUUUGAGUUGUGUCAAGCUUAUUGUGAUUAAUGUUGUUAGUUGCUGGCAUGUAAAUAAUGGUGUAAAUAUGUGUGAUCGGACCCUUAUGCAUGCUUUAUUGAUUAAAGAUAUCAUAUGUUAAAAUGGCAUGUUUUUGGAAUGGUUAUUUGGCAUGAUUGGUAUUUAUGAUCUUGAGAUGUUGAAUUGAAUUAAGUUUGAUAUGUAUAUUGUGAUACCUUCAUUGACAUAUUGGUUAGAUAUUAAAGGAUGGUUGAUUUGGUAUGUUUUUGAAAUGGUUGUUGGUAUGUUUUCUCUAAGUUAAUUAAAUGAAUUUGUAAUGUUGAAUGGUAUAAUAUUUGUUGGUACAUUAGUUAGUCUUAUAGGUUGAUGGAAUUGGUAUGUUUUAAAUGUGUUUUGGUUAUUUCAAUGUUUGUGGAAAUGGUGUGUCUUGGUGUACAAGAUUUGAAAUUGAAACGGCUUGAUUUAGAAGCAACUUAUGCUACACACCGCCUGGGACAUGGAUUGUCACAUGGCUGUGUCAUUAUUAUUUUAGGUAUAGGUUUCACACAAUCUAAGACUCAGCUCACGACACAGCUGUGUAUCACAAGUCAGUAUGUAACACGGUUUUGUACAUGGCCUGCGACACGAUCGUGUGUCCAGACUUCGAAUGUCCACAUGGUCUAGGCUAUGUCACAUGGCUUGGCCACAUGGCCGUGUGACUUUUGUUUUCAAGUUUUCCAAAAUUUUCUAUUUUAUUUCAAAUUGAUCCUAGAAUAUUCUCAAACUAUUUUUAAGGCCCCGUAGGUUCGGAUUAAGGCCCGUAAGUGUAUGUUUGCUAUAAUUAAGUUGUGUUAUUGAAUGUUAUUAAUUCAAACACAUGAAUACUUUGUUGUAAGUUAAAUGUUUUAAUUUGUACUAUAAUGCUUCGUAACCCUAAUCUGGCGAUGGAAACAAGUUUGGCGUGUUACAAUUUUGUAUUGUAAAUUUGUUUUGGGGCUUUGUUCUUUGGUUCUUGUGAUGUUGGUUGGAUUUUGGUGUUUUAACAUUAAACUGCAAAAUUGUAGGAUUUAACAAACUAAAAUUAGGUUUUCAAAAUUAAAACUCUGGAAAUUUUUGUUGCAAAGUUUAAGUAAUCACUUAAGUGUUUUUCUAUAGAUAAUUAAAUGGUUUUUAACAAAUGUUUUCCUUACUUUUGGAAAUGAUCUGCCAACAUUAGUACUUCUAAAACACAUGAUUUCAAAUUCAAAUUCUCAGUUUUAAAUAAGGGUUUUCACACUUCGAUUUUUUUUAAACAUUUUUGAGAGGUUUUUGCCAAAUUUUAUGUUUUCAGAACGUGUAACCAAGUUGAUUUUUAAUUAGUUUUUCAAAGUAGUCGAUGUAAUUCCUCAAAAAUCCAGUCAUAGCGUCUAGGCCGGGUUUGGGAUAUUAUACUGACGUUACUAAAGUUAAUCUUCAUCUAUUUAGUCUUGAUCUAAACAUUAAUAUUCUCUUCAAAAAAAAUCAAGAUUAUCAAAUUGUUAAAACUUGGUAGGCAGACAAUCAUAUUAAAUAAGCAUAAAACUUAAUAAAUAAUUACCGAAGAUUGAAAUAAUCAAAGAAAAAAUAAAUUAAUUAACUAAGAAAUAGGAUCCAUUAUUGUUUCAAGAAAAUAGAGUUUAGUUCACAUUGAGUUGAGAAAACCAAAAGGGAGAUUCAAAACAAACUUGUGAUAAGGGGAAUAAUGUCAAUAGAUCAUAUUCAAGUUGUUCGGCUUGAGAAAGAAAGAUUCAGAUCUAACUUGAAAACAAGAAACCAAAAAGAUUUAGAAAAACAAGAAAAAACAAAGAAAAUAACUAAAAUGAUAAAUUUAAGAAUAAAUAAUCAAUAUUAAAAAUAAUAAAGAAAUAAAGAAAUUAUAGAAUAAAUAGUGGAAGAUGGAAUGAAUAAACGAUGGAUAUGACAUAUAGAUGGAUAAGUGUCUUAUAAUUCAUGAAAAGAGUUAUAUUUCAUGCCUUUAGACCUAACUAAUUGUUUGUACUUAAGUACAUUUUGUUGCAUUUUAAGACAUUUUAGUUAGCAUUUCUAAUAUUGCAUUAGGACUUAGAUUGUGUUGGAAUUAUGUGUUUUUAAUAUGGUGGAGUUCUUUUGUGUGUUGGUAUGGCAAGAACAUAUUUUAGAACGAGGAAAUAAAUGAGUGAAGUUUUUUCAAGGAAAAAGUGCAGACAGUUUGCCAGAACAGAUGCCGUGACAAUGCCAGGAAGACAAAGUUAACAUUUCUUUGCGCAACAGUCUCAGUUGAAAUUAAAACUUGUACCAGAUAAAUCUCCCUAAAAGAGGAGAAGAUAAUCACAAGUUGUUACUUGACACUAGCCUAAUCUAUCUAUAAAAGCCAAUAAAGGGGAUCUCGCAAAUGGCAGAAAAAAAUGGGAGGGAUCCUUAGGUGUGAAUAAGGUUUUAGCUGCGCAAAGGAAAGGAAGUCGAAGGAAGUGCUUUUUAGCCAUCACAGGAUGUUGUGCUACCGAAGUGUGGACUAGGCAAGUGAAAGUUGUUUCCCAAAGUUCUUUCGUUAUUUCCAUCAGCGUUCCUUCAAAAUAUUGAAGUAGUUGAACACAAUGUCGGAUAAUAUUUUGCUUUUGAAUUUUAUUUCUCAGCCCAUGAGCUAAAUCUCGUAGGGUUGGGAUUACUUUUGAUGAAACCUUAAACUAUUUUUGUGGAUGCAGUAUAUAUCUAAUUUACUUUACUGUUUCAUUUGGUUGUUCUUAUUUCUUAAUUAAAAUGCAAAUGAUUUCUAAACAUAGAAGACUGUUCGCAUACUUAUAAACUCAUUCUAAUUCUGAAAGGGUUGGAUUGGUUGGAUUAAAAUUAAAUGAAAUGAGCAAGUAUUCGAUGGACACUUGUAGUAGACUCUAUACAUAGAGUGACGAUCAUACAGAAGGAACCCAUGCAAGGUAUCUAAAAAGUCUUUAGACACAGGCAAGGUAACUUGAUGUUUUGCUCUCACGAGAGUCAGGCCAUUUUAGUACUCUUUUGUGCUUUAAAGUAGAUACGAUUUUGCCAAGGCAUUAUUGACAGUAAGGGUCGAUUUUGGGUAAUCAACUUUCCAAAUCCACAUCGUAUAUCCUUUAUACCUUACCAUAGUAUAUUUGCCACAUCAUUAUUAGUUAUUUAUUUGUUCAUUUACAUAAUAUUCCCAUAGUAAUUCUCAUAAUUAUCAUUAGAUUUCUACUCUCAGUUUGCCACAACAUUACCAAUUAUUUAUUACCUCCACGUAUUGCUUACACCAUUACUCUACUAAUUUCAACUAUAUAUUUAUCAUUGAGUUUGCCAUGGCAUUAAUCGUAUUUUAUUAUAAUAACUUGACCAAUUGUGUGCCUCAAUCUGAUCCCCAUGGGAACGAUACUCACUCAUCACUUUAUUACGUGAUUCAACUGUAUACUUGCACAAAUCGCAUAUCAUUUCACACACGACAGUGUUCAAUUGAAACCUUUAAGAUAUAAACUCGGACAAACUCAAUUAAUGGCUUUAAUCAACCCACCAAGAAAUAAUGAUUGGCAAAUUGAACGAUGAAGAAUGAAUUCCCAUGACUCCUUAAAAAAUUGAGAAGAAAAAUACUUCUAAAAAUCACAAGAAACAAAUCUUGCACAAAGAAACUAACUUUUAGAGUUGGAAAUUUUAGUAAUAAACAAAAACAAUUGCAUCUCUAAUGAACAUGAAGGGCCUUUACAUAGGCUAGAUAAGUACAUCCAGAUAAAAUAUUCAAGUAUCAAGUACAUCCAGAUAAAAUAUUCAAGUAUCUUGAAACUUUAAUUAGUAUAAGUAAGAAGUAAUUUUAAACUAAAAUAGUUAUAAUUUCCGUCAUAAUCCCAUCCAAAAAUUCUGCUCACAUAAUCAUCAUUAAAAUAGUCAUAAUUUGAGCUCUUGAACUCAAAAUUGAGUGAAUAAAAGUGUGUUUCGAAGUUAAGUGCUAGAUCUUAGAACUUUAUGAAGACAUAUCAAUCGAAAAAUGUCUGGAUCCCAUCCAAAAAGUCACCACAAGUUAACUAAUUUUUCAAACUUGAAAAUUGGCAGCUUUGGUGAAUGGAAUUUAAUAAAGUUCACCCCAUCUAUUCAUGUAUCAACUCGCAUUGGUAAAAAGUAAAAAGAAAUAAUCUAUAGAGAAAAUAGUUGAAGAAUUUAUGAAAAUUUAUUCAAAUCUCUUUUUUUUCUAGUCUUUGCAAGCUUGAAGUUUCCCUUGGUGUGUGAGAGUUGUUCCUUACCCUCUAAGUGAUUUUUUUUCUUCUUCUUUCUCUUCGAUCUCGUCACCUAAGGGUGUUCAAACAAUUGAUUCAGUUAAUACCCGUACAAAACUAUCAUUAACUGAAAUUUUGAAACCCUUAAUCAUUAAUCAAACCAAUUUUUUUGAAACCUACUAACUAGCUUCAUUGUUUUCGGUUAAUUUGAGCGGUUAACCAAAAUUUACACAUUGUUUGUUUUUUUUCAAACAAUUUUAAAACAAAGAACAAUCCACGACAAUUUUUCCUUGUUUUUUAUUCAAAAAAAUUAAAAGAAUUAAAAAAAACAUAAUAACAACACUAAAUUAAAAACAUAAUAGCAUUCAUUAUAUAUAUAUUUACUUUUUCUUGACUUUUUAGUUUAAUUUUAGUUUUUUUUUUCCAAAUAUUUUUAGUUUUCAUAUUUUUGUUAAGCUUAUUAUAAGAAAACUUAUAAAUCCAUUAGUUUUUAUAUAUUGGGUUUGUAUAAUGCAUUGGACCUAUCUCACAUAGUCAUCAUUAAAAUAGUCAUAAUUUGAUCUCUUGAACUCAAAAUCGAGUGAAUAAAAGUGAGUUUCUAAGUUAAGUGAUAGAUCUUAGAACUCUAUGAAGACAUAUCAAUUGAAAAAUGUCUGAACUCCAUCCAAAAAUUCACGCAAGUUAACUAAUUUUUCAAACUUGAAAAUUGGUAGCUUCGGUGAAUGGAAUUUAGUAAAGUUCACCCCAUAUAUUGAUGUAUCAACUUUCAUUGUAAAAAGUAAAAAGAAAUAAUCUAUAGUGGUUAGUGUUUUAAUGGGGGUUUUGUGUUUACUCUCGGUUAGGGGAAGGGCAAGAAGAGUUGGUACUCCUGCAGCAAUUUGAGCGUUAAGGGUGUCUGUUCGUCGGCGGUAAGGUUUCAAAUUCUUUGUUGGUUAUUGUAAGGCUCCGUUUGUGGAAUGGUUUUGGAUUGAGUUUCGUAAGUGUACUGAAUUUGGGCUUCUGGAUGCUAUUUCUUAGGUUCGAUGGUCUCGGGGGUGCUUGUGCAUCAAAACGAUAUCAGGUGUGUACCCGAAAUGCAGAAAAUCGAGCUUCGAUGAAAUCUAAAACACCUUACUAUCGACACCACAAGGGCAUGUGCCUGGCCGUGUGGUUGGCUGUGUGUAGGACACGGUCAUGUGUUUGACGAGGGUAGGGUCGUGAGGAAGACAUGGCCGUGUGACGAUGUGGGCCCGCAGGCUAGGCCAAGUUAGGCUUGUGGGUUUUGGGCCACAUGUGCAUGUGGGUUUUGGGCCAAGCCAUGUGAACCACAUGGACAGGGCUAAUCUGGGUGUGUUGACCACAUGGGCAUGUGGGCCCGAAAUUCUAAAAUUUUUCGUAGGGUCUCACAGGUCAUUUUGGUCGACUUUGUGCCUACCGUAGGGUCAGUAAGGGCUAACCAAACCCUAAAACUAUGUGAUCUGUUAGUUUGAUAUUUGUUCUAAAUAUGAUACUACUAUGCAUGUCUGAUUAGUCUGGUGUAUAUAUAUAUAUCUGAUAUAUAUGUAUGAGCAUGUGAGCAUGAUAACUCUGAUUAUAUAUAUCUGAUUGAGGUGGGAUUUCUAUAUGUGGAGGAAGUGUUCUAUAUGGCGGUCAUCGCCUAUGUUCUGGCAGCUUGGCUAUACAUUAUCUGACAUGUAUCGUAAUGGCACGAUAUGGUGUGUAGGGAUUGGUGGGUGUUUUUAACCCCACAUGAUGUGAUGGGAUGGUCAGAGUUGGUUUGUAGAGGAUGGAGUUAGGAUUCUGUAUUUCUAAUAUGCAUAUAUGUUCUAUUAUUUGAAUCUAUAAAGGACUUAGGUCUGAAUCUGAAUCUGAAAUUGUAUCUGAUCGUGUAUGAGUUUAUUGCACGUAUUGCAUGUAUUUUUCUGUUGGGUUACACACUGAGUUUACGAAAACUCACAUUUGUUUGUCGGUUUUGUUUAGGUAAUCCACAGACUUAGACGGGUCAGUGUUACGGAGGCUCAGUGGUGACCACUUGAUUGAGAACUAUUUUACUUAGUAAAUUAUGUUUUAUUUAUAAUUUCGAUUUCAUUUGAGAGUUUGUAAUUUUUGGGACUCUCCGGACUGCUGGUUUUUAUUUUGGUUUUGGAUGCGAUUUUAGACUCUUUUGUUGCGAUGCAUAAUGGAAAACACGGUUUUAUGAAAACAAAGGUUAUUCUGAAAAUACGAACUGGAUUUCUAAAAUAUAACGGUUCAAAAACUUCUGCUAAAAAUCAUGUUUUGGUAAAUAAAUGAAUUAAGUAACACUUUCAAAAAUGGUUAUAAAGAAAUAUGAACUAUGAAUCUUUAAUGAUUUGACAAAAAGACCUUAUUUUCAAAACCAUACAUUGUGACCACUCCAGAUUCAGCUAUAACGUCUAGACCGAUUUGGGGUGUUACAGUAAGGAUGAAAAUUUAAGGGGGAGUGAGCUAUGGCGCUUAGUAUGAGUUCAUUCACAAUAAAUUCAAUGCAAACGGUUGGUAGGACACAUUAAAUAAUAUCACAUAAAAUAAUCACAGUCAGAUAAUAGUUUAGAAUGUCGGUUUUACAAUUUAACCACCAAUAUUAUCACAGUAUUCACAGUUGUAAUUUCAGAAUAUCAAAUUUUCACACCAUUCACAAUAUUUAGAUAUAUAUAAAUAUAUCAUAACAGAAUUCCAGAUUUGUAUGCACAUGAUUUAGAAGAUGCCAUACAAUUUCGGGUUUUAACAGAAUAAAUCCUACCCCACGUUACAUACCAUAAUGGGAGUUCCCCUAAACUCCCUUCUCCAACACACUGGGUACCACUACUGGUUUACAAAUAAUAACUAUCAUUUGGCUGUGGACACACAGCAAUCCCCCACAAUUGGAUUCUAGAUUUGGUUGUGGGUUCACAGCAAAAAAAUCUACAAAUGAAGCAUGCUUUUGCCUGUAGAUUAUACAACAUAUACCCAUAGUUGGAAUCUGCCUUCGGCUGUGGACACACUGUAACACCUCAAACCUGACCUGGACGUUAUGGCCGAAUCUUGAGGAAUUACUUUAACUCGCUAGAAAACCCAAGAGUUUACUUUGAAAUCAUGUGGUUAAACUAGUGUUCACUUUGAUAAAUCGUUUUCCAGUUUUAGGGAAAAUUAUUAUUAAAACUACUACUUUAUUACAAUAAAAAAUUAAAGUGAUUGUAUCAUUUUGUAACGGAAUCUACUGAGCUAUAAGGUUUUGAAAAUCGUGGUUUAAUUUGCAACAAAUCAUUUUGCAAAUAGAAAUUUAAUACUACUUAAUUUGGAAAAGCAUGCUAAAACGAAAGCAAAGUCCAAACUAAUUUACGAUUUAAAUUCUUAAAAGUCCAAAUUAAACAUAAAGUCAAUUUAAACCAGUUUAUCGAAAGUGUAACACCCCAAACCCGGCCUAGACAUUAUGGCCAAAUCUGGAUGUGUUACAAAAAAAAAGUUUAUAAAACGACUUCCUUGUUAUUGGCAAAUCAUCGCAACCAUUAUUACAUAGUAUGUCUGAUUUGUUUGGAGAACUUUUUGAUAUACUUAUUUGAUUUAAGAUCGUUGCUUGCUUAUGCCUUUCUAUUAAACCGAAUGUUUUGCAGUGGAGUUUCUUUAAAAUGUCAUAUUUUGGCAAAUCAAAUUGUUUCUUGAAAAUCGUUAUUUCAGAAAAGUUGUCAUUUUCAGGAAAACUAUUUUAUCGGUUGUUACGCUUAGAAAACCAAAAUAAAAUCCAAAACCAAAAAUAGUCCCAAAAAGUCCAAAGAGUCCCGAAAUUACAAAACUCUCAAAACCAGAAAAGUUUGAACUAAUUUUAAAAGAAUGAAAAUUUAUAGAAAUAUGGUCAACAUUGAGCUUCCGUCACACCGACCCACAUAAAUGUAAGGGUUACUUGAACAGAACAAACAAAUAGAGAGUGAGUUUUGAAACUCAGUGCGUAACGCGAAUAUAAACAAAAAUUUAGAAUCAAUCUAAUGCAUAACAGAUACAAAUGUAAACCUUUUAUAGAAUAAGAAUUAUACAGAUACAAAUGUGCAAAAUCCUACCCUCGUCCUCUACACACCAAUUCUGACCAGCCCAUCACACCACGUGGGGUAUAAAACACCCACCUAGCCAUACACACGGUAUAGUGUUUAUACGACACUUUUCAGAAUAAUCGCAGUAGAGUUGCCAGUAUAUAGGUGAGAUAUUUCCUCACACAGAACACUUCCUCCUCAUAAUACAAAUCCCGCUCCAUAGCCAGAUACAGACAGAAUAUUAGGUAAAACAAAUUAACAGAUACCAGAGUUAACAUAUCAUGCAUGAGCGUAUAACAAAUAUUACACAUGCUUGUACAUAACAGAACAAACCAUACAUACCGUAUUCCAUAAUACUCAUAUAAAUGUUAUUUUUUAAAUUGUAACAAAUAUUAUUAUUAAGAUGUUUUUCUUUUUAUAUUUUUAUAAAAAUAUAUUAAAAAACAAUUAGAAUAAUUUUAAGAGAAAAAACACUCAUAAAUAGUAGAAUUUAAUCUAAAAAUAUCAAAGUUUUAAAGCCUCAACUUUAACAUUUCAACCAAAAUUCCAUUAGUAUAUAAAUAUUUCAUAAAUAUAGAUUUUAUAUAAAAAAUUUAUGUUAACUUUUUUUUAACCCGCAUCACAAGUAUACCAUAUUUAGAGAUAUUCAUAGCUAGGCAGCCCACUUUGGGUCAAGCUUGAGCUUAGGUUUUAUCUCAAGUUGGCCCAAUUUAACCUAUUUUACUAUUUAAAAAUAUAAAUAUAUGUUAUAUUGAUAUUUAUAUAUUUCUAUAAUUAAAUUUUAAAUAAAUUUAUUGUUAACUUCUAAACAUAAAACAAAGAGAACUUUCACCCAAGUUAUAAGUUUGUGGUUAGACAGCCGACUUUCGGGGCAGGAUUCAGCUUACGUUUUUAAUCUUGGGAUUUAACAAUAAUAAAAAAUUUAAAAAUAAUAUUCUAUUAAUAUUUAUAAAUUUUAUAAAUUUAAAUUUAAUUAUAUUUUUUAAACAGUAAAAUGAACCAUUUAUAUGGGCUAAUUAGAGUUAAGUUUGGUUUGAAUCAAGGCUUAACUUUGACCAAAUCCAACUAAAAACACCUCUAACAAUUAUCUAGUAUUGUUUUUAUGAAUUGAAUUUUAACUUCUAAUUUUCAAUUUUAUUACAAAAUUUCUUUGCGGACGAUAAGAAAAUAACAUAUUUGUAACUUCUUCACUCCGACGUAAAGGUUAAGUCUGAAUUUGGAUUACAUCGGCCAUAAAUAUGGCCUAGCAGGAUUAUCGGAGUUUUUAAAAAUAGACAUCUUUAAAACGUUUGUUUAAUUUAUAAAAAAGCUUAUUUAAUUUCCAAAUUAUUUAUUACUUGAAAUCUUAAUUACAUUUUAAAAGCAGGAAGUGGUAACUAUUUAUUUUUAAUAAAAAUCGGGGUUCAUGUAUAAUUCAUUAAUAACCGUAAUUCGAAAACAUUAAAACUUAAAUUAAAUGUCAUGCAAAACAAAACAAACUUAAAUCUAAAUCUCAUGCCACAGUGCAAAACAAUUUAUUGUAGUCUUAGAAAAUAAAAAAAAAUCAUAUAAUGAACCUAAAAUAAUUUUUUUUACUUUAAUAAUGUGUCAAGACCUUACAAAUGUCACGCCCACGUUCAAUCCUGGUGGGUUAUCUAUAAGGAUGAAAAUUUAAGGGGGGUGAGCUUUGACGCUUAGUGUGAGUUCAUUCACAAUAAAUUCAAUGCAAACGGUUGGUAAGACACAUUAAAUAAUAUUGCAUAAAAUAAUCACAGUCACAUAACAGUUCAGAAUGUCGAUAUUACAGUUUAACUACCAAUAUUAUCACAAUAUUCAUAGUUGUAAUUUCAGAAUAUCAAAUUUCCACAUCAUUCACAAUAUUAACAUAUAUAUAAAUAUAUCAUAAUAGAAUUCUAGAUUUGUAUGCACAUGAUUUAGAAGAUGCCAUACAAUUUUGGGUUUUAACAGAAUAAACCCUACCCCACGUUACAUAUCAUAAUGGGAGUUCGCCUAAAAUCCCUUCUCCAACACACUAGGUUGUGGAUAAACCAAUACUCAUCCGCAGAUAAUAACUAUCAUUUGGCUGUGGACACACAGCAAAUCCCCACAGUUGGAUUCUAGGUUUGGCUAUGGGUUCACAGCAAAAAGUCCUGCAAAUGAAGCCUAUUUUUGCAUGUAGAUUAUACAACCUAUACCUGCAGUUGGAAUCUGCCUUUGGCUAUGGAUGCACUAUAACGCCCCAAACCUGACCUGGACGUUAUGGCUGAAUCUUGAUGUAACGCCCUAAAAUUUCUAAUUCUAUUAUUGUAAAAAUAUGACACAAAAUAUUUGUCUGCUUUAGUGGUUAUGUGUUCUGGGAGUGUUUGGGAGGUCCCAAGUUCACGUCUUUGCUUGGGCAAAUUUUGGUAUUUUGAAUGAAUUAGGCUUUACUCUUGUUCAGUAGGAUUUUAUUUGAUUGUUGGGAAAAUUAUAUCAGAAUGGGCUUGCUGGUCUAGUGGUUAAAUUGUGUGUUAUUAUGGUGAAGGUCUUGUGUUCAAAUCCUUAUGUAGGCAAAGGUAUUAUUAUUAUUAUUUUUGCUCAGAUUUCGGGAUAUAGUUGUGUAAUAGGGGGAUUCUGAGUAGUGGAUGUGUAGUGGGAAUUAGGGGAGAAGAUUAAGGGGUUUCGGGAUUUUAUUUUAUUUUUUCCCAGAACGGAAUUUUGACUCUCUUUUCCAAAAAAAUUCUGUCGUCUAUUCUUCUCCCUCUCCUCUUGUCGAUAUUCUCUAAGUUUUUUCAUCUUUCUCUUCUUUUUCUUCUUCUUGAUUUUUCCCUAAUCCAUUUAUUUUUCCUUCAUUUUCGCACGCGAUUAGUGCUCGCUUAGUUUCGGUAAGCGUUUCUCUUUGUUUUUAUCAUGAAUCUCCUAGGGACUAAAGUGGUAAUUUUUUUCUCUGCGAUUUGGGCAUAAGGGAAGGCUCGGACUGGUGAAUUCAGUAUUCUCAUCUUAUCAAUAGUUAAAUGGGGGGUUAUCGUUGGUGGUAUGUUGGGUUUCUGUUCGUUCUUGGUUGUCAAUUCGCUUGUAAAUCCAUUAAAUUGAUGUUUAGUAUCUUGAUUAUAGGCUUUGGAGUGCUUGGGGACUGUUUUAGCAUCAAACAAAACCAGGUGUGUACCCGAAACGCAAAAAAAAAGGGAUUCGGUGAAAAGUUAAAAUUGCUUGCUAUUUGGACAGCAGCAGUAGACUAAUUUUGAAAAAUCACCAUAAAUUGUGGAAAUCGAAUUAGAGGAUGAAAAAAAUAUGAAAUUAAAUCUUAUUGAGUCUAGUUUCUCAUAGAAGAAACGGUGUAAGUAAUGGAAUUGUAAAUCGUGAGAUAUAAUAAACUUUGUGAGACAAGGUUAGAAUAAAUUCGGGUUCCCCUGUUCUGAUUUUGGAAAAUCAUCAAAAAUUGGAGAAAAGUAAUUAGGAAUUAAAAUUUACAUGUUUAAAUUAUUAAUGAGUCUUUUUUUUCAAUAGAAACAAAUGGGAACUUCAUCCAAAUUUUGUACUAAAAGAUAAUUAAUUUUUAGCAAAGAAGGGUCAAAGCUGUCAGACAGCAGAACAAGGGUAAGUUUGAAGAUUUUACUGUACUUAUUAGCUGAACCAAAAAUUCUAAAAAUUUUAUGGUAGAAAGGUAUUUGAGUCUAUUUUUAAAGACAUCAAGCGAAUUUUAAUUAGAAAUUCUGUAGCACAAGAUAUAAAUAAUUUAGUAACAGUGACUCAAGUAGAAAGCUUUGAAGGAACACAUAAGUAAAUUGUGAUAACAUAUAUGAAUAUUUAGCUAACACAGGUUACACUGAAAAUGGAUCACGUGGCCAAGGCCAAUUUGGGCCGAGUGGGCCACGUGGGCGUGUGAGCCCAUUUUUUUGAAAAAUUCUGUAAGGUUGCACGGGUCACCCAAGUCGACUAUGGACCUACUGUAGGGUCAGUAACCUUUACUUAGACGCCUAUAUGUGUGAUCUGUCUAGCUGAUUUCUAUAACGAGCAUGACUUAUAAUAUCUAAAUGUAUGUACUAUUAAUUGCAUAAUGGCAUGGCAUAUUUUGUAUGUUGCAUUGCAUCGGGGUGGGUUGAUGAUAUUUGGAGGAAGUGUCUAAAGGGAUAUUAAGCCAGUUAUCUGGCAGCUCAGCUGCAACCUUCUGAUUAUGUGUCGAUUUCAGUAUAGCAUGGUGUGUAAGGAUGGGUGGGUUAAUUUAAUCCCUACAUGGUGUGUAGGGUUGGACGGAGAUGGUGUAUAGAGGCUGGUGGGUAGGAUUCUAAUUUACUAUAUCUACAUUCUGAAUCUGAUAUGGGCCAAGGCCCUAAUGUAUUUCUGAGACUGUAUCUGAACGGGCUAAGGCCCAAACUGAUUGUGUGAUGGGCCUAGGACGCAGACUGUAUCUAACUGAAUUCUGUUGAUUAUUUGUAUGCAUGUUUUCUAUGGGGAUUACACACUGAGUUUGAGAAAACUCACCCUUUCUCUGUUUAAUCUAUACAGGUAAUCCCCAAACUUGAUGGGUAGGUGCAGCGGAGGAUUCGACGGUGGCCACACGUAAAUUUCAGACUGUUUUCUGUUAAUGCCUAGAAUUUAUUAAUUAUUUGGGGUUUUUGAUGUAUCUUCUGGACUAUGGACUAGUAGGCUUUAAAUUUUAGACUUUAUACUAUUUUUUAUGUUUUUUUUAAAACUGCAACUCCACAAAACACGGUUUUUUUCUAAAAAAUAAGGAUUUUCGUAAAUAGAAAUGAUUUUCCCUAAAUUAAUUGGUUACAAAAGUUUUCUCUAAGAGACAAGUUUUAAAGCAAAUCAACUAGUUUUUUUUCAUAAUUAAAUAAAAGUUAACUUACUAUAACGAUUUUUCUUAAACUCGACAAUCUUGUCUUCAAAUCCCUUUUCAUGUGACAUCACCAGAUUCGGCCAUAACGUCUAGGCCGGGUUUGGGGUGUUACACCUGAUGAGUUACUUUAAAUCGCUUGAAAACCUAGAAAUUUACUUUGAAAUCAUAUGGUUAAACUAGUGUUCACUUUGAUAAAUCGUGAAAGUAUGUGAUUAUUGAGGACAUGCUGAGCAUGUCAAAUGAAUGUGAAAAGUAUUGUGAUAUGACUAUGUAUGAGAUUGUGUAACAUAUUGCAUAUGCAUUGGGUUGGGAUUUUUUGGUUGACGGAGUAGUUCUGUGGAGUACCGUCGGCAUAUUAAGCCCGCAUUAUUCGUAGUUAGUGCACUGCACCUGGAGUACUGAGGGGAUUGGUAAUUUUAUCGCAUAUUAUAUGUUAUUGGUGAUUGUAUAGCACUAUUUGAUAUCCGACAGAUUUUUUGCAUUAUUGAUUAUUCGGUGGUUUUACCACAUUGAGCUAUGCUCAGAAUGUUUUAGAGUUUGGUAGACGGGUUCUAGGGAACACGUGGUGUGUAGCGGAUGGUAUGGGUAGGAACCUUUUUGCAUUGCAUCAUGUGCACGACAUAUUCGAAUGUUAUUGGUUUAUGCUACGUAUUGUAUUUUUUUGUAUUGAAUGGUAUCAAAAUUAAUGAUUGUCACUCGAAUGAAUUAUGAACUAUGCUCAUACACUGUUUGACAUCAAUUUAAUAAUGGCUAUGUAACGAUAUGAAAUUCCUAUAAUGGUUUUAUUUUCUUCUAUUAAAGCUAAUAUGUUUCACUGUAUUUGAUAUUUAUGUUUGUUUAAAUAAUUGUUCGACUCACACUGAGCUUUUCAUAAGCUCACCCCUAAUAGUGUUAAACUUUUCACGUAAACCUCGAAAUUAAGACCAGACUUGGCAUUCGAAGAAUCACCUUGGACCUUGAAUUAUUUUUCUAAUAAGUAUUAAUCAAUCUCUAAUGGUUUUGGUUUGUAAUUUUUAAUUAUAUCUAGUCUGUGGCUUGAUAACUUUUCUUUUGGGAUUUUUGCAUGCAUGGAUUACUCAAGCAUAAUAACCGGAUAAUGCAUGAUAUCAGGCUUAAGUAAAAUUUGAUAUUGUUCCCUAGAUUCUGCUACAUUGCAAAGGAUUUGUUUUUGAAAAACAAAUUGAUAAGGUAACUAAGUUUUUAAAAUGACUUGAAAAAUGGUUUUUCCCCUAGAUUAGUUUAACAUCAAAUUUUUUUUAAAGGAGAGCAACAAGCAAAUGGUUUUUCUAAAACAACACUAUCAACAAUAAAAUGAAUUCUAAGUAUACACAACCUAAUGAAUGAAUGCUUUUAAGCUAACUUAAAGUACAAUUAUGGUUUUCUCUAAAAUGAGUUUAUUUAAGGUUUUCAUAAGUAAUGUAAGUUAGCUUAGCCAUUUCGGUGGCUAAUGUAGCCUUCUCAUUCUAGCCAUAACGUCUAGGCCAGGUUUGGGAGGUUACAGUAUUGAUAGGAACUGUGGUAUAAAUUUUAUUUUGGACAUUCUUAAAGUGUUAUUUGGACUAAACUUUAGAAACUAUGGAUUUUAUACUGAGCCUAAAUUUACGAAGUUCAUGCGUGGUUUUUACGAAAAUGAAACUAAUAUGAAUUUUUAAAACCAUGAUUUUUUUUAAAGCUCCAAUUUGAAAUUGUACAAGAAAUGUCAAUUUGAAUUAUUUUUGAAUGUUUUUUUAUGCCAAUAAAAUAUUGUUUCAAAACAUAGCUAAGUAUUAUUUAAUUUCGUAAAGACGAAGCAAACUCCAAACAAUCUAAAACUUUAAGGACUAGUUUGUAAUUUUUGUUUUUCCUCAAUUGUCUCUGGUUUGAUUCAAUUCUUGAUCUAUACAAUUAUUCCAUUCAAUUCAUCAAUAUUAAACAUUUAUACAUUAUGUCAUGUCAUGAAUGAACCUAGAUAAAUUCAUUUUUUGAUACCCUUAAAGUUUUACAUUUAUUUCAAUUUAGUCUCUAAAAUCGAAAUAGUCAUAACUUUAAAUUCUGAACUUCAGUUUGAAAAUCGACCUCAAUUUCAUUUUAGACUGUCUGUUAAAAAUUAGUGCAUCUUACUGGAUUUUUUAAUUUACUUGUUUUCUUUAUCAAAUAAGUUGGUUCCUAUUAUAUAGGGAUAUGAUCAGAUUAUGUUUUGUUAGUUGAGGUUUUAGUGGGCUAUUAGUUGCAGGUUUUUUAACUUUAACGUUACAUGUAGUUAAGCUAUUUAUAUGUCAUUUUAUCUAAUGUAAUUUUGUGUGUUUUUUUUAGUAAUCAAAAACGUUCUUUAAUACUUUAAGCUUUUCUUGUUAUUAUUUCUUUCAUUACCUCGGUCAUUCUUUUUUGUUUUAUGGUGUCAGUGCCAGGUUAUUCAUUGGUUAAUUGUGUGAAAGGGUGUUUUGCUAGUUGCUGCAAUGGAGGUUUCAAAUGGAGGAAAUAAUCAGAUUGGUAUGGAGAAGCUUGUAGGCACUAACUACAAGUAUUGGAGGAUGUGUAUGGAGGCAUUUCUUCAAGGCUAGGACUUGUGGGGAUUGGUUGUUGACCUGAUGCAACAAUCCCUCCCAAUAUUCUCGAGAAUGCCAAGUCACGAAGGAGGUGGAAGGUCAAAUGCGGUAAAGCUUCAUUGAUCAUGUUCAUGAUGUUAACUCUCCAAAAGAAGUUUGGGAAACGCUUGAAAGGUUGUUUACCAAGAAGAAUACUGCAAGGUUGCAAUUGUUGGAGAACGAAUUGGCCGGGUUAAAACAAUGAGGUAUGUCAGUUUUAGAAUAUUUUUUACGAGUUAAAAAUAUUUGUGCUGAAAUUUCAGAGAUAGAUACGGAUGAGAAAGUUAGUGAAGCUCGUUUGCGUCGUUAUCUUAUCCGCAGUUUGAAGAAGGAGUAUGGGCCUUUUGUCACUUCUAUUCAAGGGUGGUCGACACAGCCUUCGGUGGAGGAGUUAGAGAAUUUUCUCUCUAAUUAAGAAGCUUUGGCAAAGAAGAUGGUGAAAAGUUUCGAAUCUGAUGCCAGUCUCUUCUCAAAAGGGAAGCCAAACAAGAAGAAUGAGUCUGGAAAUAAAGGCAGAUCUGAAGACUCUAGUUCGAAAAAAGAUGGCAACUCACAAAGCAAAAAGUCUUUCAAAUGCUUCAGAUGCAGAAAGACUGGACAUAUCAAGAGAAAUUGCCGUGUGUAGAUUUCCAAGGCCAAUAUCGUGUCCACGGAAGAAACCGAUGAUCGACUCAAAUGGGAGCAUUGCUUUACUGUUGAAGCUAUUGAACAAAAGUCAUCAAAAGCUUUUGUCAAUUAUGCUGAUAACAAGAAGGAGGAGUGGAUCAUUGAUUCUGGUUGUUCUCACCAUGUAACCGGAAAUGAUACUUUGUUCUUAGAGAUGCAUGAACACCAUGGAGAUCGAGUUAUUGUGACUGCAGAUAACUCCACUCAUCCGGUAGCAAAAGAGGGCAUUGUGGUGAUCGAUGUUGUCGACGAUACGAGAACCGAAAGUGUCAAAUUGACUGAUGUGUAUCAUGUUCUAGAUGAAGCUUAUGUGAAGAAAACAAGCCAAACCGAUAACGCUGCUAUUUGGCAUGCUCGAUUGGGUCAUGUGGGGUACCAAAUGCUGCAACAAAUUUAUUCGAAAAGGUUGUUAGAUGGGAUGCCGAUCUUGAAGAGUGUACGUGAAGAUGUGAUUUGUCAAAGCUGUCAAUAUGGUAAAUCUCAUCGUCUUCCUUUCAAAAGCUCAUCAAAUCGGAGAUCUUCUUUGCUCGAAUUGGUUCAUACAGACUUGACGGGACCAACGAGAACACUGAGUUGUAGCAGCCACUGUUAUGUUAUGGUUUUGGUGGAUGAUUACUCAAGGUUCUCUUGGGUGAAAUUUUUGAAAGAGAAGAGUGAAGCAUUAUCCAAGUUUGUGGAGUUCAAAGCUGCUGUUAAAAAAGAGUUUGGAAAGAAGAUUAAGUGUCUUCGAAGUGACAAUGGCGGAGAAUACAUGUCCAAUAAUUUUUUUCAGUAUUGUGUUGACAACGGCAUCUGUCGUCAAAUGACUUGUCCAGAUACUCCAUAGCAGAACAGAGUUGCAGAAAGAAAGCUUGGUUAUCUUGCUUCGAUUUGCCUUUCAUGGCUGCAUGACAAGAAUCUUCCUCGAGAGCUUUGGGCGGAAGCUGUUCUUUGUGCAUGUCAUGUGACAAAUAGGCUGCCUCCUUGGCCAGGUACACAGAAAUCUCCUUUUGAGAUUUUAUAUGGUGAAAAGCCAAAUGUGAAUUAUUUUCGAGUCUUCGAUUCUAUUUGUUAUGUACAUGUUCCGAAAUCGAAAAGAACUAAACUUGAUCCGAAAGCAAAAAAGUGUGUAUUUGUUGGCUAUGAUUCUUAUAGGAAGGGAUGGAGGUGUAUGGAUCCGGAUACAAAGAAGUUUACUACUUCGAGAGAUGUCGUGUUCGAUGAAGUAUCAUCUUUCUACUCCACUCAAAGAUUUGCUGCAGAAAAUAUUAUUCUUGAAGAUGAUGAUGAAAACUUGGAUGAGCUAUUUCCAAGAGUUAAUUUGCAACCAUUCAUUGAUGAUGAGUUGGAAAAUGAAUCUCCAACACCAACUCCAAGUCAAAAUGUUCAAUGACAUGAAGGUGGUUAGCAACAGAGUGAGGAGGUCUACUAGAGAAACGAGACAACCUGAGUAUCUCAGAGACUAUGAGGUGCAGCUUAAUCAUUGUAGUAUCACUUCUUGUUUCUUUGUUUGAGCGUUUGAUGAAGAACCAGUAAGUUAUGAGAAGCCAAAAGCCAUUCAAAAUGGGAGGCAGCCAUGAAAGAAGAAAUUGAAGCUUUAGACAAAAAUGAGACGUGGGAGUUGGUUCUUAAACCAGAAAAUUGUAAGCCGAUCACUUGUAAAUGGGUUUUUUGCGUGAAGAAAAAAUUAGAUGGCACCAUUGAUAGAUUUAAAGCUCGUCUGGUGGCUCGUGGUUUUUCUCAAAAUUAUGGAUUGGACUACGAGGAGACGUUUAGCCUAGUAGCAAAGAUGGUGACGGUGAGAUCGAUUAUUUUGCUUGCUGCGUUUAAAGGUUGGAGACUAUGGCAACUUGAUGUAAAGAAUGCUUUCUUUACGGAGAUUUAGAUCGUGAAGUAUUUAUGGAGCAACCUAUUGGCUUUGUCUCUAAGGAAUUUCAAAAUCGUGUUUGCCGUUUGAAGAAAGCGUUAUAUGGCCUUAAGCAAGCGCCACGAGCAUGGUAUGGUAAAGCUGCUCAAUAUCUCAUUUUUUGUGGCUUUAGAGUUUCUGAAUCAGAUUCUAGUUUAUUUAUAAAAUUGGAAUCAGGUGCACAUCUCUUGGUAUUAUUAUAUGUUGAUGAUAUGAUAAUAACUGGAGAUAAUGAAUCAGAAAUUUGUAAUUUGAGGAAUGACUUGUCUGUUCGUCUUGAGAUGAAAAUUUUGGGGGAGAUUGGAUGUUUUCUUGGUCUAGAAGUGGAAAAAUCAGAUCAAAGUUGUUAUAGCCCGAUUUUGGGUCUAGUCAGAACAGUGGUUUUGGGACCACAAAUUCAACAAAAAGAAAAUGGGUAAAAAAUAUUAUUAAUUUAGUAAGUAUAAGUUAAAUGUGAAGUUAGGAAAAUUUUUUAAAUACUGAAUAGUGCACUAGAAAUAAAUAUUAAAAUAAUUAGAAUCGAAAUGAGGUAUCAAGACCUCGGGGAUUUUAAACCGAGCCAUAAAUAUUUUUAUAAAUAUUUAUGGAGUGUUAAAAAGUUAGUAUUAAAGUUUCGUUAGGAAAUUUUAAAGUUCCGAUAAUUAAUUGAACAAAAAGGACUAAAUUGUAACAAAUGCAAAAUUUUGGGAAAUGAUUAAGUAGCUUAAAUGAUAAAAGGAAGAGGGCUUAAAAGGCAAAUAGACCCAAGGUUUAUUUGGGCUGGACGGCAAAGGCAUGAAAUCAGCAAGAAAGUAAGGAGAAUUAAGGGCAAAAUUGGAAUAUUGCAAAAUUUGCUUAAUAAAGUUAGGACCCAAGUGGAAUUAUCUAGAUUUCUCUUCAUUUUUCUGAAUUCUCAUCAGCAAAAACACCAUGGAAGGGCUUCUUCAAGCUGGUUCUUCAUAUUUUUACUACAAGUAAGUUCAAUUCUUGACUAUUUCUUGAAAUUUUUGUAUUUUUAUGACUUUUACAAUUAGGCUCACUUGUUAAAUUCAUUAGUUUUUGAUUUUAUGAAAGAAGUUGAAAGUUGAUAUGAAUAUGUGCUGGAAUUAUAUGAUGAUUUAGCAUGGAAUUAGAGCUUUAAAUUGUUCAUAUGCUGAUUUUAUUGAAAGAAUUGAAUAGAAAGUGAAUGUUUGGGACCUAAUAGUAAAAGAGUUUGAAGAUAGAAUUAUAUGUGGAAAUUCUGAAUUUCAAUAGUUGUGUAACAACUUAUAAUGUCUAGGUAAAGUAUUAAUUCAGAAAAUUGGAUUAAUUGAGGGGUUAAUUGAGAAAGGACCGAAUUGUAUAAACUGUAAAAUUUGGGGCAAAAUGGAAAUCAACAUUUUGCACUAAAGCAGUUUUGGACAGCAGCAGUAGUGUAACUUUGAAAAAUCACAAAAAAUUGUAGAGAUUGAAUUAGAGGAUGAAUAAAAUAUGAAAUUAAAUCUUAUUGAGUCUAGUUUCUUAUAAAAGAAACGGUGUGAGCAAUGAAAUUGUAAAUCAUGAGAUAUAAUAGAUUUUGUGAGACAAGGUCAGAAUGAAUUCGGGUUCCCCUGUUCUGACUUUGGAAAAUCAUUAAAAAUUUUACAAAAAUUAUUAUGAGUUAUAAUUUAUAUGGUUAGAAUCCUUAAUGAGUCUAUUUUUAUAAGAAACAAACAAAAACAGCAUCCGAAUUCUGUACAAUGAGAUAAUUAAUUUUUAGUGAAGAGUGGUCGGAACUGUCAGACAGCAAAACAGGGAAAAAUUUAAAGAAUAAACUGUACUAUUUGGCUAAACAAAAAAUUCUGAAAAUUUUAUGGAAAUAAUAUAUGUGAGUCUAGUUCCAGGUAAAAUUAACGGAUCUUAAUUUGGAGCUUUUUAGCUCCGGAUAAAAAUAAUUUAGUGACUCUAACUCAGACAGACAGCCUAAAUUUUUCAUACAAGAAAAUAGUGAAAGUAUGAAUAAUGUUGUUUAAAUGUGUUAUACACAUUAAGGAUGAGGAAUGGAGAGGAGGUGGAGGAAAAUUGGGAAAUAUAUGAAUGGUUUAUCAUGUUGUUAGUUCCAAAAAGAGUUAUGUUUCAAUACACUAGCUUGCAACUAUGGUUGAAUGAUAUGUUUAUAUCUUGUGUGAUGUGCAUAGGAAACAAGUGUGGAAAGAUAAUGAAAUAGUAAGUUCAUAUGGCUGAAAUUUAAUGGUUAAAUGUUAAUUCCAUGAAUUAUAUGAUGUAUGAUGAGAUAUUUUUAUUGUUGAAAUAAGAAUAAAAUAAAAGUGCGAAAGCUGAAUAAAUGAUCAAAUUGAGCGGAACGCCGGAUUUGAGUACUUCUGAUCAAGUGACAAAGUGAUAAGUGAUAGCUUUAGCUACACUUAUUUGAUCAAGAACAAGUGAUAAGCGGUGACAAAGUGAUAAGUGGUAGCAUUAGCUACACUUAUCUGAUCAAGUGAGAAAGUGAUAAGUGGUAGCAUUAGCUACACUUAUCUAAUCAAGUGAGAAAGUGAUAAGUGGUAGCCUUAGCUACACUUAUCUGAUCAAGUGACAAAGUGAUAAGUGGUAGCCUAGCUACACUUAUCUGAUCAGGGACAGGUGAUAAGUGAUCAUACGUAAGACCAUAGUUAUACUAUGGCAAAGUGAAAGUGAAGUACUCAAUUUUCCGUGACCGUUCCCUAAUUUGAUUAAGGAUGGUAAGUGACAAAUGAGCCCAAAAGAAUUAAAGUAAAUGGAUAAGUGGUAGUAUAUUUAUAUCAGGACGAUGUUGUUAUUCAAGCUAAAGUGAUAUUUUCAUUGCAAAAUUGAGAAUUUCAUAAAUGUGUUAUUGAAUGGUAUAAUCAAUAAACAUUGAGUUAAAUGGUAAAUACGUAAUAGUGUUGAACUUGAUGUCAUUGAAUUGUAUGUGAAUUAAAUGGAAAUUGCUAGUGAUAUGAUGUAAAUUGUGAGCAUGAGAAAUUGCGACUUGAAUGAAAUGGAAAUGAAGCAUUGAAUUGCAUGAGUAUGUAUCGGGUCUCAUAGGCCCUAAUUAUUAUGAUUAUAAUAUUUCGAGGAUAUAUUGUGAAAAGUUAUAGAAGCAUGUUAAUUAUUUUGAAAGUUUAAAUUUAUAUGAAAUUUUAUAACUCGGUUAAAUAUGCUUACAAGUGCAUAUGUUUUGGUGAUACCUCGUACCCUAUUUCGGCGUUGGAUACGGGUAAGGGGUGUUACAAGGUUACUUUGUUUCUCAAAAAGGCUAUGCAAGGAAUCUCUUGGAGCUUUUCGGUAUGGGGGAGUCGAAAGAAAAAGCUACUCCGAUGGAGCCGAAUUUGAAGUUGAAGAAAGAUGAUGGGAGGCCGUUGGAAGAUGCAAGGAAGUUUCGACAACUUGUUGGAAGCUUAAUCUAUUUGACCAUUACAAGGCCUGAAAUUUCAUACUCUGUUAGUGUUGUUUCUCAAUUUAUGCAAAAUCCAACAAUUAUUCAUAUGGAUGGAGCAAAGAGGAUUUUGCGUUAUGUUAAAGGAACUAUUGGUUAUGGUCUUCUAUACAAGAGAUGUGAUAGCUUUAUGUUGAGUGGAUUUACUGAUGCUGAUUGGGCUGGAGAUACAAACGAUCGUCACUCGACUUCGGGAUAUUGUUUCAGUAUCAAUUCAGCAAUGGUUUCUUGGUGUAGCAAAAAGCAAGGUGUUGUUGCUUUGUUGAGUAUCGAAGCCGAGUAUCUGGCAGCAACUAUGGCUGCACAAGAGUGCAUUUGGUUGAAGAGGUUGAUUGGAGACAUAUGCAAAGUUAAUUAUGCUGUAAAAAUCAAGUGUGAUAAUGAAAGUGCUAUUAAGCUUGCAUCGAACCCGGUUUUUCAUGCUCGAACGAAGCACAUCGAGGUUCGACAUCAUUUUGUUCGAGGAAAGGUUCUAAGUGAAGAGAUUGAGCUUGUAAACAUUCGCACCAACGAUCAAGUGGCUGAUAUUUUCACUAAGGCUUUGGUGAAGCCUAAGUUUCAUCAAUUUAGAGAUGCUCUUGGAGUUCUUGAUCGUAAGCAUGCACUAAGGGGGAGUGUUAAAAAUUAGUGCAUCUUACUAGAUUUUUUAAUUUACUUGUUUUCUUUAUCAAAUAAGUUGGUUCCUAUUUUAUAGGGAUAUGAUCAGAUUAUGUUUUGUUAGUUGAGAUUUUAGUGGGCUAUUAGUUGCAGGUUUUUUAGCUUUAACGUUACAUGUAGUUAAGCUAUUUAUAUGUCAUUUUAUCUAAUGUAAUUCUGUGUGUUUUUUUUUUAGUAAUCAAAAACAUUCUUCAAUACUUUGAGCUUUUCUUGUUAUUAUUUCUUUCAUUACCUCGGUCAUUCUUUUUUGUUUUACUCUCUACUAUCCAUUAUUAUCAAAAUUUCACAUCAAUUUCACAAUUUAUUUACUUUAGUUAUUAUGUACAAAAUUAACAACCAAACAUCACAAUUUAGUCAUUUUUCAUAAUUUAAGCUUAAAAUCUAUAAAUUUAACACCAAUUUCUUCAAGAAAUCAACCAUGAAAUCUAUAAAAAAAAUUUAACAGUUUUGCAAAUUGAUACAUAGGUUAUUUAAAUCAAACUCUCAUGACCUCAGAAACACAAAAAAAAUUAUACGAAAAUGAUUUAGAAAUGCAUACCAAUUGAGGACCGAAAGCUUGAAGCUCAAAAAUGGCUUUUCCCCUUGAGGUUUUAUGUUGAUUAGAUGAAGAAGAAGAAGAAAUAAAGAUGACAACUUGCACUAAGUCACCUUUAUAUACUUAGAUUAAAUCUUAAUUAAUCAAAUUUAAUUAAUUAAAUCUUAAUUAAUUAACCUUAAUCACAAUUAAUAAAAAUUGGUGGAUGUUAACAUCAUCCUACACUAUUUGAUAUAACCAAAUGAUCUAUUUACCAUUUUGAACCUUUAGCUAAUUAGAAAUCUAUAGCGAUAAGACUUUCAAAAUUUAGUCUCUGUAUCUUAAUUAAGCAAUUAAUAGACAAAGUUGAAGGUUUAAAUUUUAAUGUUCUAUUAUACCAACUCUGUAAAUAUUCAUAUUUAAUAUUUACAGACCUGAAUUACGAAAAUGAGAUUUUGAAAUUGUAUUUUCCAGUACCACUGAAAAUCGGACAAUUACGUAACCUAUUUGCACCAAUGGGCCAAACAUGGCAAAUACUUGACAUGUAUGUCUUAAUAUCCUCAUCUAUUCUCUUCAAUAUAAUAACAUCCAAUAAUUGUUCCAUCCACUGUAACUAUCACGAAGAUUAGAUUGACCAAUACAGCCUACAAUUUGAAGAAGCGCGAUAUUUUCAUUCUAGAGAAAGAUAUAAUUGAAACAAAAUUGAAAUAAAGAUUUCAAUACAGAAUCAACAGACAUUCCAGCUAAUACUUAUCAAUUAUUUGCAGCUUUAUUGCUCCAACUAAGAUGGUUUUUAGUCGAAUAUGGUAAAUGAAAUCAAUGAACACCAGCUACUUGAUGAACGAGUGAAUCAAAGUCCUGAUAUGUGCCGGCUUAUUGGUGAAAAAAUACAUGGGCUAGUUUUGCAGCAAUUCAUGAUCUUACAUUUUAUAACCUUUGCUUACAAUUAUUCACUGACUAAUCAUUCAAUGAAUGUAGGCCUCAAAUUUAGCCACUAAACUUUAUUCUUUAUUUUUAGAUACAUAUUAUUUGAUCACUUCAUACAGCCUAUUACUCAUAAUAACUUCCAAUUUCCCUUCUUUAGGUUAGUUGCAAAUGUACAGCUUUUUCUAGAAGAAGAAAAUUGUCAAGAGCCACCUGUUCAAGAGAGGCGCAAACAAAAUGUAAAAAUACCUGACCUACUUACGGUACAGCCAAGUAAUCAUGUCUUUCUAUGCUAGAUCAUUAAAUCAAUGACUACAAAUUUCAUGCCAUGGUCGUGUAUCAUUUAUGCCAUUGAUGCUGCUAUUUUCUAUUCUAAUGCAUAAUAGGGAUUUAGUGUUUUUACCGUUAAAAUUGUGUCCUUUAAUUUUGGCUCUUUUCAGUUGUUGAUCAUGUCCACCUAUGCUUUAUUUUACUACUAUUGCUUUCUGUAAUGAUAGAUGAUUGAAUCGGUAGAAUUUUAUUAAUCCUCAACAUGUUUUAUCUUGACAUAUGGAUCCUAAGCAUUCCUUGGAUUGUGCCCUUUUUGUUCAUUUAUUUUUUCUUGGAACCUUAUUACAUGUUGUACCACUCCAGCUUUUUGGAGACAAUGAAGACGACUAACUGCUGAAUUCUUUCUUCUGCAGAGGAACCAAUGGCACGAGACUCAAAAAAUCCUACUCUUUUUUAUACCUUCCUCACCUCUUUGUGACAUUAUAGCUGAAAAAUGAUGUAUGCUAAUACAUGAAAUGUUUCCUCUUGCCUUUCUUUUUGUAGUACUAAAACUACAAAUAGUGUUUGCAAAACUCUUUAGAGAAAAACAAAUGUCUGUAAAUCUCUUUACCCGUAAUCUUAUCUUUUCCUCAUUGUAAUAGUUGGAAAACUUUUUAUUUGAAAACGAUGUCAACUACUGGGAUAAGUUAUUGUAAGCAUCUUAAGUGUUUCAUAUUAAAAACAAACACUGUUAUUGUUUAUUUUGUAGUCUAAAUUAUGAUAAUUUCUGCACAAAAUUCACAUAAAUGGUUACCCUCCCGAAGCAGAGCGAGGGUGAUGCAUACUAGUUAUUAAGAAAACAGGACCUUGUAGGGCUUAACUGUUGAAUCAAGAAAGAAAUUUCUUUUAAUGCCUUCAAUUGUAACAUCCCGAUUUUGGGCCUAGUCGAAACAAUGGUUUCGGGACCACAAAUCCGAUGAGGAAAAUUUUAUUUUUACUAUAUUAUUAUGGCCUAUAAUUUCACGGAAAGAUUUCUUGAAAAUUUCGUUCAAAAAUUUUGACGUUAGGGCACUCAAUUUAGCCAAAAGGACUAAAUUGUAAAAAGUGCAAAAGUUGAGUUUUAUUGGUUAAAGGUACUUAAUUGCUAUGGAAUUAUAACUUAGGGGUCCUUAUAUGGUAAUUAGACCAUUAGUUAGUGAUGGACAAAAAUGAACAUAAGUGAAAUAGGAUUUUUUUUAUGUAAGGGUAUUUUAGUCAUUUAGUAAAUAAAUAGAAUUAAAAGGGAAAAAUAUGUAAAAAAAAUUGUGUUCAUCAUCUUUGCUAGGUGCCAAAAUUUGAAGGAAGCCAUAGCUAGGGUUUCUUCACUUUCUCAAGCUCAUAAUCGAGAAGAACGAAAUUUGGAGGUAGAUCGGGGAAAGAAAAAAAUUGAGGACUAAAGUGUUAGAUUUGAUCACAUUUUUGUACCGAGGUAAGUUUACAGUAAAUAAAUGCAAUAUUUCAAUAAUUAUUAUUAAUGCUGUAUUUUUUAGCAAUUAUGUAUUUAUUUCAUGAAUAUAUUUAAUGUUGACUCAAGUAUGAGAUGACAGAGAAUUAGUGACACAAGCCUCAUUGAAACACUAGGAAUGUAUUGGAUACAAAUGCCAUGACAUUUGGGUAAAGAGGUCCCAUGUAAGACCAUGUCUGGGACAUGGCAUUGGCACCGAGAUGAGAGGUCCCCCGUAAGACCAUGUCUGGGACAUGGCAUGGGCACCGAUAUGAGAACUCCCAUGUAAGACCAUAUUUGGGAUAUGGCAUUGGCAGUACAGGAAACAUCCCAUGUGAGACCAUGUCUGGGACAUGGCAUGGGCACCGAUAUGAGAACUCCCAUGUAAGACCAUAUCUAGGAUAUGGCAUUGGCAGUAUGGGAAACAUCCCAUGUGAGACCAUGUCUGGGACAUGGCUUUGGCAUGUUAUUAUCAGAUAUGAGACCCAAGUAUCCUUAUUAUUCCAAUGUGACUCAACGGGCUAGAAAACAGAUUAUGUUCUACGAAAGUUCAAGUAAAAGUAUAAUUAGCAACUUCAGGUGAGUUAUAAGAGUUAAGAACAUAUUAUGUUAUUAGUGAGAACCAAUAUUUUAGCAAGAGAAGAGUAAGUUGUAAUCUUAAGCUAUCUAAGUAGAUAAGUAAGUAAACAAGUAAAUGAGAGUCAGUAAAGAGAAAACUUAAGAACAUGAUACUUGUAUAUCAUUAUUUAUGUUAAAUGAUGUCAUUUAUUUAUUUGUAAACUUACUAAGCUUUAUGCUUACUUCUUUUAUUUCUUUUUCUUUCAUAUAGUAUUAUCAAGCAUAGUCGGGAUCUUGAAGACGUCGGAGAGUGUUCACACUAUCAACCACCACAACUCGGUAUUUUAAGACGAUAAAUAUUUUGGGCUAUGGCAUGUAUAGGGACUUGGUCAUUUCAAUUGUAUAUUCUUAAAAUAUGACCAAAAGAUGAUAUGUAAAUGCUUGAUGAUGAAUAGUUAUUAAAAUGGCUAAGUAUGAAGGUGUUUGUGGUUAUAAAUGUCUAGGUUAUAAAUUAUGCAUAGAAAUCAUGAAAGAGUAAAAAUUUGUAGUGAAUCAGUUUUGAGACAGCAGUAGUGACGUGAAUUUGAAAAAUCACCAAGGAUAGUAGAAAAUGAAUUAGAGAGUGGAUGAGAUAUAGAAUUAAAUCUUAUUGAGUCUAUUUUUAUAGAAAAAUAACAGUGUAGACAAAGAAAUGAUAUAUUCCGAGAUAUUUGCAUUUUAGUUAGACAAGGUCAAAGUUGUUUUCGGAAUCCCCUGUUCUGAAUUUGGAAAAUCAUUAAAAAUUGUAAAAAAAUAUUUAUGAGUUUUAAUUUAUAUGUAGAGAUUCCUUAUUGAGUCUAUUUUCUUUAGAAAGAAUUUAGAACACUAUAUGAAGUAUGUACAAUGAGAUAAUUUAAUUUUAGUGACAAGAGGUUAGGACAGUUGAUUAGUGAAACAGGGGAGACUUUAACUAAUAAACUGUACUAAUUGGCUAAACCAAAAAUUCUGAAAAGUUUACAGUAAAAAUUUAUAUGAGUCUAGUUUCAGGGAAAAUUUAUGGAUCUCAAUUUCAAGUUUCAUAGCUCGAGUUAUAAUUAAUUUAGUAACUAUUGUGCAAGUGAAUAGACUUACUAUGAACAGUGAAUUAACUUUUAAAACUAAAUUUUUAUGCCCCGAACUUUUAAGUUAGUCAAGUAACGCCUCAUGCUCGACUCCGGAAAUGGACUCGGUUAAGGGGUGUUACAUCAAUUUUUUUUAAAGCUGAUUUUUUUUUUUACGAAUUAAAGUUUUGAUUGUAUGUUAAUUGCUUGAGGGAAGGUCGGAUACUUUAUUAUCCCUAUUUUUAUUUGUUAUAUAUUUUAGCCAUAAUGAUUUUUUUGGCUCUACAACUUUACCAAAAAAAUCAUAUUAUCUUUCAUUUAAUUUUCAUCUCUUUUAACCCUUUAACUUGUAUUUUUUUAUCAAAUCACCCCAAAAUGGAUCGAAAACUUAACAUUUGUAAACUUUGAUGAUGUGGCAUACACAUUAAUUGUCACAUGGAUGACAAGUCAACAUUUUUUAAAAAAAACUUAAAAAUAUUAAAGAAAAUAUUUUUGAUAUUUUUAAUGAUUUUUUUAAUUAAAAAAGUUUUUAUAUAUUUUUAAUUUUUAAAAAUUAAUUAAACACAAACAUAGAAAUUCGCAUCUAUGUGUCACAGGCCACAAAUUAAAGCCUGCGACCAUUUCGCAUAGAACACCCCAUAGAGGUCAAUUUAUUAAACGUGGUUCAUUUGACCCGCAUGAACUGGCUCGAAUCGUGGAACCCGUAGAGAAACCCAUCUACUUUAAGCCUUGGUGGUCUAGUGAAAUACUCCAAUAAAACUAGAGUUACUAGGGUAAAUAAUGUAAAUCUUAAAUGGAUAAGAUUGUAUAGAGUUUAAAUUCCUUAUAACUCUCAAUUGUAGAUAAGCGGUAACAUUAAUCAUCGAUGUAACUCAAUCUGUAUCGUUGCUUCUAGGAAGCUCAACUAUAACUAGAGGUCUCCCUCUUCAUUUGUAAUCAUUCCAUUCAUAGUUGUGAAUAUAUUUGAGAGCAUUUACUCAAACACCUUGUGUGCAUUGCUUUUCUUUGGCUAUUCUGCUCUUUCGAGCUUCUGUCUUUGAGUGUCACAUCCCAAAAUUGGGCCUAGAAGAAAUAGGGGGAAAAUUGAGUUUUAAUUUUUUUUUAACAUAGGGUAAGGGAAGUAGAAUGCCUUAAAAUUAAUUUUUUGCUAUAAAUCUAAUAAGAAUGAGUUUGUUGGUUUAGUGCUAAGGUCAUAGCCUACCUAUAGGUUCCAAGUUUGAACCCCUUGGUGAGCAUUCAACCAAAAUAUUUUUAUUUUCUUGUUUUUACCGCACCAAAAGUGACGAAUUUUAAAAUAACCCAGCCCAAAAACUAUAUUUUUUUAAAAUUUAGUCCUUAAUUUAAAAUUUUUCCCAAACCUACAUAAAUUUUUAAAACCUAUUCCAAUUAGGAAAGAUAAGUAUUAUAAAUAAACAAUUUCAAAACAAACCCUAGAAUUUCAUCUAGCAAUUUUUCGAGAAAACAUCCAUAAACACUUUAUUUUCCAAAUCAAACUUUCAAGCGAAAGGAAUCGAAAUCUUCAAAAUCAUCCCUCAAGUAGAUCUUCAAUCUCUUCUCCAACACUAAGGUUUUAAGUCUUCAAAAUAGGUGUGGGAACUAAACCUAAAUCUUUGUGUAUAAUUGAAUCUAAUAGCAUGUAGAGAACCAGUAUUGGCGAACCCUAGGAAAACCCCCCUGUAUGUGCGAUCAUGUAGGUGCGAGCCUGUAGAUGCGAAACCCCUUACACAUGAAAACCCCAUGCAUGCGAACCCUUACGUGAAACCCCCCCUUUCAUGCGAACCCUGUAUGAAUACCAUGCAAACCCUAGGUUGUUAUGUGGAUACUCAUACUGUGAACACAUGUGCACAAACAUAUAGGAAUAUUCAUGUGAACCCUACUAUUAGAUGCGAACCCCCUUAUACGUGAAAACCCCCUUGCAUGCGAACCCUAGUUAGUAUACAUACGAGUCUCAUAUUUACAUGCGAACCACUACUAGUGCGAGUCAAUUAUAUGAUACCACAUGCGAACCCUACUAUUACAUGCAAACCUUUAUACAUGUUAUAUUCUAACUUUUUUUGUUAAAAUAGGUGAGACUUGUCUAGUAUUACAGACGACCCUACAUAUACCUAAUUUGCGAACUCAUAUGUUAAAAGUAUGCAAAACUAUCUAUGUUUGUUAUGUGAACUCACAUGUUAGCAGUAUGUGAACCUAUAUAUAUCAGUUAUGCCAACUCACAUGUUAGCAGUAUAUGAACCCAUAUGUCUGUUAUGCAAACUCACACGUUGGCAAUAUGUGAACCCUAUAUACACCUUUAUGCAAACUCACACAUUAACAGUAUGCGAACCCUAUAUACGCCUUUGUUGAUGUUAGUUCCCAUGCAUCUUGUGGUGCAGCAAUCGUGGCCAUGCAGGUCACAUGGAGAAAAGAAGCAGCACAUGAAGGCAGUAACUGGAGCUUGUGGAUGCUGUCCAAAUUCAACUUAUUUUGUUGGUUUGAUUUUAUAGUUUGUAACUUAGUUCUUUUGGAACUUUCUUGGUAAAACUUUCGAUGUAUUUUUUAUGUUGAUUGACUGAAAAUUCAGCAAAGCAACUUAUGCAAGCUAGUUUAGCAAUUUUCAAUGUAUUAAGUGGUGUUAGGUAAGUGUUUAGGUAGUAUUUUGACUUGUAAGCUUAACUCAUGUUUGAUAUAUGUAAUGGCAACUUGCCAAUGCCUUGUUAAUGAAAAAAUUCAGCUUGUUUUCAAUUUCUGUUCUUAAAAACAAAAAGGUUUCUACUUUGUUUCUUCUCCAAGUCACGAGGCUUGCUGACAAAGCAAAGCUAAAUCAGCUUGCUCACUGCCUUUGACUCCAACAGCCUUUAUACAAACUCACACGUUAGCAGUAUGCGAUCCUUAUAUACGCCUUCAUGCAAACUCAUACGAUUAGCAGCAUGUGAUCCCUAUAUUUAUGCGAACCCUUCUAAUAACAAAUAUGCGAACCUUAACUUGCGAACCCUAGGCAGGAACCCUACACUCGCAAAGCCUUCUUCUGAACCUGUACAUAUGCUAGAUAACCAAGCCUAUUAGUUUACGUUAAAUCACUGUACAUAUGAGAUUGUUUGUUUACUUGCACAAAUUAUAUGUGUAUUUACUAUUCGAUACAAGAGUACCUAUCGACCUUUUGAUGAGAAUUCAGAGAUUAAUGAUGAUAAUUCCAACAAUCGGUGGAAGAACAAGUUAAAUCGAGAAUUGGUGUAAUUUAAGGUAAUAAAGAUUAAAUUUUCAGUAAUAAAUAUAAAAUUGUUAUGGAAAGAAAUGAUGGGUAAAAAAAUGAGAGUUUUAAACAGAAGAGAGGAAAACUUCAAUUUAGGGUUGAAGAGGAACUAAAAAUCCAUGUGAAAUUAGGAAAAAAAUAUUAAAUACCUAGGAUUAAAAAAUUUGAGGGGGCUGAAUGGUAAAAUACCCUUUUUGCUUAAAAAUGAAAAGAAAUGGAAAUGGGGAUUGAGUUUGGCAUGACUUGAACCUUGGAAGCAAAGGAAAAAAUUGCAAAGGCCAUACCAUUUGGGUUGCUACCUACAUUUGGCAUAUUUUUACACUAUUUAAUAUAUAUCCUAGCUUAGUUUUGAUCAUAGGUUGUUGAAAAAAAAACAAGGGGUAAGAGUGUGGCUUCAACCUUAGUUCUCUAGUUAGUAUACUAAGCUCUUAACCAUUAAGAUUAAGGCUCAUCUCUUAGUCAAUUAAUUCAUCUAACUCUAUAUAUUUUGGUGUGUUACAUCUUGAAUUAAAAAAACCCAUAAAAUGCAUGUAGACUUGUAUUGCUUGGUACUUGGUAGUAUAUAUGUAGACUUGUAUGUUGAUUAAGCCACCUUAAUUAAGACCAAUGUGUUAGACUUGUCUAUGCAUUGAACAAUUUAGAAGAAAAUGAAGAAAAAGACUCUAAAAGCACUUGAAAACAGAUAAAACUCAUAUGUCAUUGACUAGUUAAAUGUGGUCACCCAUAAUAGACCCUGUAUUUGACUUUUUGUUGAGGGAGAUUGACUCCUUUGGGAGAAGUCUCCUGAGUGUUGUUUGUCAAGCAGUCAGGGUUGUCCUAAACAACUAAAGGUAUUGUCCCCAUGUCGAGAUUUUAUCCCUAGCCUCUGCAAAAUAAUCAUGGAGAAUAUGUGCGAGAGAAUUCAAACACCAACCAAUGCAUGUGUAGCCUUUACCUUGCCACCAUCUUUGGGAACCCAUAAGGAUAAAAUCCCAACGAGAGAAUAGUAUCAUCUAUUGAGGGGUCUGUCAACCCAAUAAAUGAAAUUUAAAUGCAUACUUUUUUUUUAAUGAAAGUAAAUAUCAUAUUUAAUUAGAGAAAAGCAAUGAAAAAUCCAACAAUAAAAUCCUUAGCAAAAGAUUAAAACACAAUUGUACCAUAAAUUAAAUAAGAAACUAAAAAAAUUCAAAUCUAACGAAGACAAUAACUUGAUUCCUCAAAGCCACCAUAAACAGUAAUUCAUACGAAGGCCUGUUGCUCAUUUUAUAGGUUUCCAUUUUGAUUUUGCAAAAGAAGUUUGAAUUCCGAAGCGAGCCUAGUACAUGAGAGAAAAUUGUCGAAACCGUCUUUUUGAAAACAAAAAUUUAGUUGUCGACUUUAAAAAUAAAACUGGAGUCGCCACCGAUCCUUUAUUAGGGUGUGAUCGGCUCACCUUAAAAAUUAUUUUGGUCUACGAGCUUUAAGAAAACGAGUCCGGGAGUAAGUUACGCAUGAGGAAGGGUUAGCACCCUCGUAACGCCCAAAAUCGGUACCAAAUCGAUUAUUUAAUGUCUUAGUGUCGUGGACUAAAAAGAAGUUAAAAAAACCAAAUGAUGAAAUCAGAAAAGGAUAAUCAAUUGUUCAAGACAUGUAAAGAAAUCGAGUCCCAAUACGUUAGGGUACAAUUUCUCAAAAUUCCCGAACUUUGAAUAUCGCUUUUAUUUUAUGCGAAAACAUUCAUUGUGAGAAAGUAACAUGCCACACCCAAUACGUUAGGACACGACAAGUUAAGUUCCAAAAAAUGAUUUUUAUACUCAUGCAUUUUGAAUAAAAAAUAUUCUCGAUUAUUUAAAAUUAACAAAGAAAAUCGGAACCCAAUACGUUAGGGCUCAAUUUUCUCAGAAUUCCAAAUACCGAAUUGUGCCUUUUAUUCGAAAAUUCUUAUUUCGAGAAGUCAAAAUAUCAUGACCAGUAAGUUAGGACUUGACAUUUUUUGAUUCCCGAGAACAAGCUUCUAUUUGAAAUUUGCAUGAAUUUAUUUCAAAAUAAAUACCUGGUUUUCUAAAUUCACCAAGAAAUAAUCGCAAUCCAGUAAGUUAGGAUACUGUUUUUCUCGAGAAUCAUGAAUGCCAAAUAUUUUGGAAUUUUAUAAAAUAUGAUGAUUUUAAUGCUUUGACAGAACCAAAAUAUAUUUUCUUUAAAAAGUGUAGAAAAAUACUAAUGUAUCACAUAAAAUCAAUAUUUUAAUUUUAAAUUAUAUGCAUAUAUGUAUUUUCAAAAUAUAAGUAUGAUACAUAAAUAAAUUUUGAAAAUAUAAGUAUGAUACAUAAAUAAAUUUUGAAAACAUGUAUAUGCACAUAUUAAAACAAGUAUAUAUAAGUAUACACAUAUAAAAUAAAAUAAUGAAUGAGAUAUGUAUAUCAAAAUAAAAAUUAUCAAAAUUUCUACAAAAAAAAAUCAUGUAUGUAUAUACGUAAUGAAAAUUGUAAAAAUAAAAAUAAAAAAUAUGCAGAUGUGUAUAUAUUUACAAAAAAAAAUUUAAGUAUACAUGCUUUAGUAAAACAGAAAUAAUAAUAGUAUAUGAAGAAAUUAGGAAAAUGUGUAUAUAGAUGUACAUAUAUAAAAAAAAUGCAAAAAUAUAUUUACAAUAAUUUUGAAGGGCGUACGUGUAUAUCAAUAUCUAUUUAUGCAUAUAUAUUAUAAAAUAUGAAAGAAUAUAUAACUAUAAUAGAAAUAUAAAUGUAUAUACGUAUAUAUGUAUAUAAAAGCUAAAAAAGAAAUAAUAACAAUAUAUAUAUAUAUAAAUAUGUAUAUGUAUUAGAGAAAUAUUUAAUAUAUAUAUCUAUUAGCAUACAUAUGCGUAUGUAUGUAAGUAUAAUUAUAAUACUAUAUAAUAUAAUAAUAAUAAUAAUAGUAAUAAUAAUAAUAAUAAUAAUAACAAAAACUACAAAAAAAACCUUAAAAAGCACCAUUAAGGAUUAAACUGAGAGCUAAACGAAGUUAAAAGGCCAAAUUUAAAAAUAGAAAACACCAGGAAGGACAAAGUGAUACGCGCGCCAUGAGAGGAGGACUUAAAAAACAAUUUUCCCAAGUCGCUGAAGCACUGUGCAGUGACAUGGAUUAAAUCGUCACGCGAGCAAAAUAUUUGGGCCGAAUUUAAAAAGGAAAAAAAACUUGAUUGAAACACGUAGCAAAAGGGGAAGGGCUAAAAUAUAUAACAAAAAAACACAAAAAGUCAAUCUGGUAAAUCGAUGUUGGGUACUCUAAUUUUAGGAUUCAGAAGGCUUAAGAGUGUUUUCGCAUCAAAAUCGUACUAGGUGUGUCCCCAAAACACAAAAAGUCAGGUUUCGAUAAAAGCCGAAAAUGCAUCCAGUCGAUGCCACACGGACGUGUGCCUGGUCGUGUGGCUAGCCGUGUGUGAGACACGACCUUGUGGUGGUGUGAGUGUAGCGGUAUGGGCCACACGGGCUAGGCCAGUCUGGGCAUAUAGGCCCACAAUUUUAAAAUUUUCCUUAAGGCCACAUGGUUCGUUUCGAAUGAUUGUGGACCUACCAUAGGGUCGGUAAUGGCUAAUCAAACACUAAAUUAUGUGAUAUGAUAUUUUGAUAGUCUGCAUUGUGUAGGAUAUCGAUAUGUACAUCUGUUCUAUUUAAGUAUAUAUAUGCUAUCUGUAUAUGAGCAUGUUAUGCAUAAUAUUACUGUAUCUAUUAUUUCUAUAUUCUGUAUCUGUGAUUGUGGUGGGUUUUGUAUAUGUAGAGGAAGUGAUCUGUAUGGUGACACUUCCCUUAUAUUCUGGCAGUUGAUUGUAUAUUAUCUGUAAUGUGUUGUAUUGACACUAUAUGGUGUGUAGGGAUGGGUAGGUGUUUUAAACCUCAUAUGGUGUGAUGGGAUGGCCGAAGAUGUUGUGUAGAGGAUGGGGGUAAGAUUCUACAUAUCUGUACUACUUAUCUCAUUCUGUUAUCUAGAUUUGGAAUGGAUAUAAGUCCGAAUCUGGAUCUGACUGUAUAUAAGACUUCUGUUUGUAUUGCAUGUCUAUUUUUGUUGGGUUACACACUGAGUUUAUGAAAGCUCACAUAUGUUUGUCUGUUCUAUUCAGGUCUAUAGACUUAGGCGAAUCAGUGUGACGGAGCCUCACAGUGACCACGAGAUCGUAAACUGUUUAAGAUUAUGGUUUUUAUUUAAUUUAAGGAUUAUUUCUAGAAGUUUGUAAUAAUUGGACUUUCUAGACUAUUUGACUUUUAUUUCAAUUUUGGAGGCAUUUUAACUUUUAUGGCCACGUUUGACCAAAAUCACGGUUUUACUAAAAUAAAGGAUUUUCUAAAUACAUGAAUUAGAUUUCCAAGAUUCAAUGCUUUUUGAAAACUUCGACCUUAGAUUAUGUAUUGGAAAAUUAAUUAAUUAAAUAACGCUUCUAGUAACAAAUAGUACACUUGGGGUAUUUAUCAAAUGACUAAAUAAAGCUUUAUCAAAAUAUCACUGUUUUCAAAACCAUUCCAUGUAACACUCUUGGAUUCAGCCACAAUGUCUAGGCCGAGAUUAGGGUGUUACAUUUAAUGCUAUCAGAGCCAGGUUGCAAAACUCAAGCUAUGAAUUUUGGGUUUCAAAAAUUAUAUUUUGAAAAAGAACAGGUUUUCAAAUAAUUUGGAUCAUUCUGAGUAAGUAUGUGGUACACUGAGUCUAUGGUAUUGAUCCUGUAAGUACUUUUGAAAUUAGAUAGAACUUUCUGAAAACAUUGUAGUUAGUACUUUCUAAAACUAUACUGAAUUAGUUAAAAAUAGAAACCUCUGAAAUAUGUUCAAACUUCUGCUAAUUUGAGCAUAAAAUAUCUGUUAAUAAAGAUUGGAACUGAUGCAUAAAAUUUUGUAAUGUAGAUAAAUUUGAAAAUAUACGAUGAGCAAUUGUGGAACUCACGGUCAUGGUAUUCGUGGGCGCGUAGGGUCGUAGGGGGCUGGAGCUGAGUCUUUUUCUCUGGGCAGUAUGCCAAACUUAGAUAUGAGUGAGACACCGGUUUCACCUGCCAUUGAGACAAGGUCUCAAAGUCGCUUGGCUAGGGACGACGCACUGUCUCAAGCCAUGUUGAGGGUUUUGGAGAGGGUCACUAGACCUCAUUCUGGAUCUGUGGGUCGAUAACUGAACGACUCCGAUCCAAUAGAGCUGAGCUGUUUAGGUGUGUCAUUGGAGUCACCCCUACUGUGGCCGAGUAUUGGUUGGAGGCCACUGAGAGGAUUAUGAACGACAUUGACUGUACUCCUAAGUAGAAACUUAAGGGUGCAGUCACUUUACUUUGUGAUGAGGCAUAUCAAUGGUGGUUGUCGAUUGAGGAGGGUACUCAACGGGACUGUCUGAACUGGGAUUAUUUUAAGACUACCUUCUAGGGGAAGUAUGUGGGUGCGAGCUAUGUUGAUGCUUGUAGGCGUGAGUUCAUGAAUCUCACGUAAUGUGAUAAAUCUGUGGCUGAGUACGAGGUUGAGUUUCUGAGGUUGAGCCGCUACGCUUGAGGCAUAGUGGCGACUGAAUAUGAGAAAUGCAUAUGUUUUAAGGAUGGCUUGAGGUAUAAUCUGAGGGUAUUGAUUGCUCCACAGAGGGAGCGAGAGUUUUCAGUUCUUGUGGAUAUGGUGAAGAUCGCCAAGGAGAUUAAAUGCAUAGAGCGCUAAAAUAGGGAUCAUGAGUGAGGCAAGAAUAAGAGGGAUUCAGAGCCCUCUAGUUCUGUUUAGAGGCCUAAGAAACAGGUCAGACCUGAUUGGCUUGUUAGAGUAGGGGUUCCUAUUGCUUCUACUAGGAUUUAGCCAUGUGGUGAUUGUUUUAGGCGCCAUUCAGGUGAGUGUUGGAGGAGGUUAGAGGCUUGCCUGAGGUGUUGGUAUUUGGAGCACCACAUUAGAGAAUGUCCACUCCAUACGGAUUAGAUGCAAGCUUCAGGACUGAGUUUUAUAUAACCUCAGAGGGCAGUUCAACAGCCACCUAGGGGCCGUGGUCCGACUAGGGGUGGUAAUGGUAUGGGCCGAGGACAAAGAGCACUGGGAAAAGGUGUUAGUCAAACUGAGGCAAGGCAGCCUGCACUGGUUUAUGUUGCUUGAUGCCAAGAGGAUAGAGACGCUCUUGAUGUGAUCACAGGUACGUUCUUUAUUUUUGGUGUUCCAUAUACUACUCUGAUAGACAUAGGUUCUACUCAUUCCUAUGUAGGUAGUACUAUUUCCAAAAAUUUAUUGAUUUCUGGUGAGGGUACUUCUAGUGAAAUUAUUGUACUGAGUCCGUUGGGGCAGUCUGUUCGAGUAAGUAGACUUUAUAGGAAUGUACAUUUGGAAGUACAAGGGAUUGUGUUUUUGGCAGAUCUGGUAAGGGUAGUUCUAGUGAAAUUAUUAUACUGAGUCCUUUGGGGCAUUCUGUUCGAGUAAGUAGACUUUAUAGGAAUGUACCUUUGGAAGUACAAGGGAUUGUGUUUUCAGCGUUUUAUUCACAUAAAAGCAGCAAAAUUUAGCGGCGUUGUCUACAGCGGCAUUUUUUACGGUGCUUGUGAAAGCGCCGCUAUAGGCCUAAAAACACCGCUAAAAGCUUGUUUUGCUGCAGUGAAUUAAUAUUAUUAUAAGUGUAUUUUCACCUUUUCAUACUUUUAUAUAAUCUUUAAGUAAAACGAUUGAAAAUUAUUAUUUGAGAAUCAAACACAAGAGUAACAAUAUUCAUAUAGAAAACGCUUACCACUCCACUAAUAAUCAUUUGUUGAUGUAUUUUUGGUAAAAAGACCCCUCCAAUCCCUCUUAAUUUCACAAUUGCUCAAAUUAGUCCCUCUCAUAAAAAUUGGAGCAAUUUAAUCCCUAUCAAUUUUGAAAGUGAGUAACUAAGGACAAUUAAUUAUGGUGUUAAAUUCUUCCAUCAAUUGUACAUAAUUUUGAUUGGUAUAAGAAUAAAUUUAGCCUUCAAUGUUUAUAUAUUUUGUCAUUUUGGCCAUAAUUUAAAAAAAAUUCAAGAAAUUGAACCUCAACAUUUACAUAUUUACACAAACGUUGCGGGAAAAUUUUGUUAAAUUAAGACCAAAUUGCAAGUGUAAGUUUUGAGGGCUAAAUUUAUUAUUAUACCAACCAAAAUCAUGUACAUUUUAUGGGAAAUUAACAUCCUAAUUAAUUAUUCUUAGUUACUCACUUUCAAAAUUAAUAGGGACUAAAUUACUCUGAUUUUUUUAGGGUGACCAAUUUCCUCAAUUUGGAAUUUGAGAGAGACUAUUGAGAUCUUUUACAUAUUUUUUUAUAAAUAUAUAUAUUUAAUAUAAAAUAUAUUUGUUCACACACAUCGUGAGUAUGAUAAAAUAUUUUUAUUGUUAAUUAGUUGGUGUCAAAAAUUAACUCGACGCCAACUCAAUAUUAAUGAUAACAAUAUGAUAAAUAAUUGAUUUAUUUAAUAUUCUUAAUUUAACAUAUUGAUAUAAAUUUUAAGACAUGCUUGUCUUGAAGAAUUGUGAUUAUACUUUUCGAGUAUUGACUCAGUUUUCCACAAUUGUGGGUCUCUAUUUAAGACAAACAAUUUCAACAUUUCUUCAUAUUGUUUAAUCCAAAUGCAUUAAGGAUUUUCUUAUAUCAUUGUUUCAAAAAUGAUAAAAAAAAACAACGUCGACAUUGAAUUUGCUGUUUCACAUUCAAUUUUUGGAGAAGUAGAAUCUUCUAACUUAUUUUCCAUCAACUUCACUUCAAUUUUCAAUCACAAUCAAUUGCAUUCAAGAGCACCACAUAUUUUUUGGAUGAAACAAACCUAUCAAUUUUAAGAUAAACGGGUCUUUAGGGUUAUUAAUUGAGGGCCUUUUCCACAAUUGUCAUCGUUAAGCAUUUUUCAAUCUUGUCUACUGUGAAUAUCGUUUUUAAGCAUUUUUCAUUGAAAUAACGAUUAAUAGACAAAUAAUAUUCAAGUAAAACAAUUUUUGUAUAUUGGUUUGAAAGGUUUUCUAAAUAGUACAAGGACCUGAAACAGAACCACUGGACAAAGCUAACCAAAUCUAAGAGUUGGAAAUAUUUGGGAAUGAAUAGUUUAAAUUGUGAUUAUUUCUUCGGGUUCCUGUCAAAGAUAUCAGCUGAGCAAGAAGGCAGGGUAAUGUGCCAAUGAUAGAACCUUGAUGAACAACGAGCAAAUGUCAACCUAAGCAUUAAAAGGGGAUCAUUCUCAAAAAAUGACAUUCUACAUGUAACGCCCCAAAAUUUUAAUUUUGGGUAUUGUGAAUGUAUGACACAAAUAUCUGUCUGCUUUAGUGGUUAUGUGUUUUGGGUGUGUUUGGGAGGUCUCAAGUUCAAGUCAAUACUUGGGCAAAUUUUGGUAAUUUUAUGAAUAAGCCCUAUCUCUGGUUAUAGGCUUUUAAGUAAAAGUUGGCAAAUAAUUAAUAGAAUGGGUCUGUUGGUCUAGUGGUUAAGUGGAGUGUUGGUGUGAAGAAGGUCAUGGGUUCAAAUCUUUGGGACGGCAAGGUAAGUCGUUUUACUCUCCAUCUUUCUGACGUUUUCUCUCCCCCAUGUCUGCCGAAUUUUUUUUCUUUCUUCUUUACUUGUUACUCGGUUAUCUUUUCUUUUCUUUCCUCUACUACUGUCGAAAUUCCCUUGUUUCCCCUAAACCAUUCUUUCCUCUUGAUUUCGUAGCUUUAAGCAGCACUUGUUCAAAUUUAGUAAGUUGUUGGGUAUCAUUUUAAGAUAUUAUUUUGUAUUCAAUAGUCUAAUUUUGGGGUGUUGACAGUAGCAUUUCACGAGGAUUAAGGCUCUCCUCGUGAUUUUUGCAACGUACCGAUUUUAAGUUUUGCGGUAAGUGUUCAUCAUUUUAUGGGUAAGUAUUUUGGUUUCGGGAUUUUAAUUACUCACAAGGUAAGACUGAUUAUGGUGUUAUUUGCUCAAUUAUACGCUUAGGAGUGCUCGGGGACUAUUUUAGCAUCAAACAAAACCAAGUGUGCACCCGAAUCGCAAAAAUAAGGGAUUCGGCGAAAAGCCGAAAUUGCUUGCUGUUUGGACAGCAGCAGUAGGCUAACUUUGAAAAAUCAGCAUAAAUUGUGGAAAUCGAAUUAGAGGAUGAAAAAAAUAUGAGAUUAAAGCUUAUUGAGCCUAGUUUCUCAUAGAAGAAACGGUGUAAGUAAUGAAAUUGUAAAUCGUGAGUUAUAAUAGACUUAGUGAGACAAGGUCAGAAUGAAUUUGGGUUCCCCUGUUUUGACUUUGGAAAAUUAUCAAAAAUUGGAGAAAAAUAAUUAGGGGUUAAAUUUUACAUGCUUAAACUAUUAAUGAGUCUAUUUUCAAUAGAAACAAAUGAAAAUGUCAUCCAAAUUUUGUACUAAGAGAUAACUCAUUUUUAGCAAAGAAGAGUCAAAGUUGUCAGACAACAGAAAAGGGAUAAGUUUAAAUAUUUUACUGUACUUAUUAGCUGAACCAAAAAUUUUGGAAAUUUAUGGUAGAAAGUUAAUUGAGUCUAGUUUCAAAGACAUCAAACGGAUCUUAAUUCGGAAUUCUGUAGCUCAAGAUAUAAAUUUAUGUUUAUCUUAUUAUCUUUCUUAUUUUAGAAUUGAUUACAUGAAAGUUAAUUGCUAAUAUUAUUAGUUAAUUAUUAGUUUUCUUCAAAUCAAAUUAAACCCCGAAAGGUAUCUCUUUUUUUAUAUUAGUUUUAGUUAUCCAUUAAAUUUGUUUCUUUGUAGUAAAAUUAAAUUAUAGAAAUAACAUUAAAAUUUUAAAUAAAAAUAAUUCACAAUAAUUUAUUAUUUAAAAAACGCCCUGAAAUUUAAAAUUAUUGCUAUAAAUAUAUCAUUAAAUUAUACAGAAUUUAAUUUUUCUUUCAAAUACUAAAGUUAAUAAGGAAAGAGAAUAUAGUACAUAUCAAUAAAACUAUUAAAAAAGAAAUAUUGUUUAAAAUCAAUAGCGUCUAAAAAUUGUCAGAAUGAAAUAUUUGAUUUUAUAAGAUUUCAUUACUCUAAAAAAAUAAAAUAUGACAAUGCUUAAAAAUUUUAUUAAAAAAAGUUUUAAAUUUUAUAUAAAAUUUUAAAAAAUAAAAAAUAGUACUAAAAAUUUUUAUAAGCAAAUUUAAAUAUUAAUUAGUAAAUUUUUUUGUAAUAUUUAUAUGUAUUUUCAUUUUUAUAAAUACUAUUAAAACUUUUUAAAAAAAAAUUGAAUGCUAUUUAAAAACAUUAUUAAAAAAUAAAAUAUUAUAUGAAAGUUAAAAUGACCUAAAAACAUAUUUUAAAAAUUUAAAUACUUUAUACAAUAUUUAAAACUGCUUAAAAUUUCUAAACCCUAAAAAAUAAAUAAAAUAUAAUUUUUUUCUAAGAAAUCAAUAAAAAUAUAUUUAUAAUUGAACUGUCAACAAAAUUGUGGGAAAUAUUUAAAUUUUAUGAAAUUUUAAACUUAAACUGUCAAUAAUAGAAAAUUGCCUGAGUGACUUGGGAUAAGAGGUUCAACAUUUCUGGAUCGCAUUGCAUUUAAGGCGGGUCUUUAGGGUUAUGCUUUAGUUUUUUAGAACAUUUUCCACAAUUUGCCAUCAUUACUUGUGAGUGAUUUGUGGGGUAAGAGGUUGAACACUUCUGGAUCACAUUGCAUUUAAGACUGGUAUCAUUCAUAAAUUAUAUAUCUACAACAAGAAUGGUAGCCUCUUAUAUUAUAUUCAUGUAUCUAUUUUGCAUCUUUCAUUAUAAUAUGAUUUAGUAAUUUUAAUAUUUUUAUAGAAUAAUAUGCUUUAAUUUUUUUUGUAUCAUUCAUAAAAAUUAUAAUAAACUUACAAAAUGAUUUAAUGAUAUUUAAUUAUUAACGGAAAAAAUUUAUAUCAUAUAUAUUCUGUAUAUAUUAAGAUUUUGAAUGAUUAAUUAUAUAUCUACAUAUUAUAAUAAAUUCAUCUUUCAAAAUUUUCCUAAACUAUAUUCAUAAUAUUAUAAAUAUAUUAUAUCAUAAAUAUUCUUUCAAAUGUUUUUUAAUGUUUAAUAAUAAGUUAAUUUAUAAAAUAUUCUUUCAAUAAAUUAACGUGAUGAGAUCGUUAGGUGCUUGGAUUUGGUGACGGGGACGAGGAGAAAAGGGAUGGAAGUGAAGAGAAAUGUUGGGAAAUUGAAAGGGUUAGCAAGGGAGGCCUCCGUGAAAGGUGGUUCUAUAGAUGUGAACCUUCAAGCUUUUGUGGAUGAUGUUGCUCAAGGUUGUUGCAAGUAAAUUUAAAAAUAUUUUUUUAAUUAUUUUUUGUUAAAAAAUAUUUUUUUCUAUGUAGCAUGCCACAUUAGCAUACUACCAUGUGGUAACUUCUAGUGAUUUUCGUAUGUAACAUUAGACAAAUUAAUCGUUAAAUCGUUCAACUGACAGAUUUCGUUAAAGGAAGAGGUCAAUUGAUUUUUUUGGAAUCAUUGAGUACUCAAUUGGUGCACUAUUUUCAUAAAGACUAAAUUAAUUUUUUUAAUUUGUUAUCGCUGAGGGCUACAGUAAUAAAAAAUUUUGAGGUAAAAUUAGAAUAACGUCCCAAAAAUCUUAUAUUUAAUUUGUAAAAUUUUACCAUUAAUAAGUAUUUGUUUUAGUGGUUAAGUAUUUGAGUCGUGUUUAUAAUAUCUUGGAUUCAAGUCCCUACGUGAAUGGAUUGUUUUUUUUGUUUUUAAUUUUUGCAUGGGUCGGGUAGGUGGUUGAGUUUGAGUCCAUUUCGAACUUUGGAAAAAGGUGGUUAGUUAUCUGAGAUGGGUUAGUGUUAGUAGAUUUGGAUUUGGUUUAUUUUAAAAUUUAUUAAUUAAUUUGUUAAAAAAUUAAAUUAGUUUUUUCCUAAUUUUUGGCUCACCAUUCUUUCUCUUGUUCUUCUUUAUUCUUUCUUUUUCUGCUACCUUUCAAAUCACGUCGAUUUGUUCCUAUUUUGCUUUUGAGUUUUUCUUUUCUUUCCUUUACGCUCCUCUACGAUCGUGUCUUAAUUCCUUCAUUAUUUUCUCGUUGUUGGCGUUGCUCGUUCGAGAGUGGGUUAGUUUCCGUUUUGAUGUGUUUUUACGAGGUUAGUAAAAGAAAUGCGUUAAUUUUUGGAUUAUGGAGUUGAUCGUUUUUAAUCAAUUCUCCAGUAAGUUGACUCCUUUGCUGUUGUUAUGUGCUAGGUUAAGAGAUUAAUUCUGAUUUGGGCCUGCGUGGUUGUGUAGAUUUUCCAUGUGAAUUCGUUUGGUAUUUUUAGGAUAAAUCAUUCUUUAAGUCGUAUUGCUACCAUCGCUAAUGUGAUGUUUUAAUUUAUGCAUUUAGGAUUUGGUAGUUUUAUGGGUGUUUUCGUAUAAAAAUCAAACCAAGUGUGUAACGAAAAACCCGACAACAACGAGCGACGAAAGUCAAAAAAUUGCACUGUCGACACCACACGGCCGUGUGUCGGGCCGUGUGACAAGCCGUGUUUCAGACCGUGUGCGACACACUGUUUGGGCUAGUUAAGCCGUGUGGAACACACAGGUGUGUGUGAGGACGUGUGCCACGCCAUGUGAGCCACACGGGCUGGCCAUUUAGGCCGUUUGAGACCAAAAUACUAAGGGCACGUUUGGUUUGCUGUAUUGGAUUAGAGGUGUAUUGGAUUAGAGGUGUAAUGGAAUAGAUGUGUAAUAGCAAAUCAACUGUUUGGUUGAAUGUAAUGGAAUAGAGGCGUAAUAGUAAAACUGUGUUUGGUUGAAUGUAAUAGAGGUGUAAUAGCAUAAUGGAGAAAACUAAAAUGACCAGAAUACCCUUAGCAUAAAUUUGUUUUGGUAAAUGAUUAUUGUUAUUGUUAUUUAAAUUUUAAUAAGAUUAUUUAUUAUCAAAAAUAAAUAAUUUAAUCAUAUUUAAACAUAAUUAUUAUUUAAUAUAUUUUAAUUAAAAUAUAUAAUUUAAUAAAAUUCUUAAUAAUUAGCAGAAAUUUGUUUUGGUAAAUUAUUUUAUUUAAAUUUUAAUAAGAUUAUUAAUAUCAAUAAUAAAUAAUUUACUCAUAUUUAAACAUAAUUAUUAUUAAAUAUAUUUUAAUUAAAAUAUAUAAUUUAAUAAAAUUCUUAAUAAUUAAUAUUCUUAUAUGAAUUUACUCAAAUCAUAAUAUAUGAUACUGUAAAAUAUAAAUUAAAAUAAUAAUUAUUAAAUAUAUUUUAAUUAAAAUAUAUAAUUUAAUAAAAUUCUAAUAAUCAAUAUUCUUAUAUGAAUUUACUAAAAUCAUAAUAUAUGAUACUAUAAAAUAUAAUUUGAAAUAAUUAAUAUUAAAUAUAUUUUUAUUAAAAUAUAUGAUUUAAUAAAAUUUAAAAUAAUUAUCUAGAUUCAAAUUUAAGAAUUAUUUACAUGAACAAAAAUAUAAUAUUUGUUUCUAAGUUAAUUAUUUUAAUAAAAUAAUUAAAUAUUUAUAUAACGGUGUUCUCAUCUUUUGGUAUUUUUAUAUGCAAUUUUAAAGAUUGAAUCCAAACUUAAAAGAAUAUUUAUUUGUAAGCAUUUCACCGGUUUACUUCAACUCAAUUAUUGAUUAAUUUUUAAUAAACAUAAAUUCAAUCACUAAUUCUCUUGGCUCCUCUGUUUCAAUAUAUGAAACAUGACUCAAUCACUAAUCCUCAUAACUCAAAGGUGAGCCAGAUGGUCCAUCAGGGGGUGCAGAAGCAGCAUGAGUCAAAGCAACUAUGGCAUUUUUCCAGAAAGAGGAGCCAAGAGAAUUAGUGAUUGAUCUUAACAAUGGCAGAUCAUUAAGAUCCCGGGUCUGGCUGUCCAACCGAUCAACAUAGACUACAACAUCGGGGGGACACUUCUUUAUGUAUUGCUUUAUAGAAGCUAGGACUUUGUGAUUGGCACCUUGCUCCAUGGCAGAAGAUUUCAAACCUGGGGUAUCAAUGAUUCUCAGUUUAACACCAUCUACCAUUCCAGUAAUCUCUUUCACUACUGUAGUGGCAGGUUCAAAUGCAUGAAUUGAGGUCUUUGACUCACCAAAGAUUGAAUUUAUUGUGGCACUCUUGCCCACCCCAAUCUUCCCAAGCACAAGCAUGUUUAUGGAGAAGCUUAAAUCAUCUUUACCCUCUGUUUCAAGUUCCAAAGCUUUCCUCUUCGCAGAAUCAACACUAAACAGUUCACUGGUUUGUCUCCUUGCAACAUGUGCCAGUCUAUAAAGAACCUGUGCUGCUAAAGAAUCUUCAGUAGAAAGUCCGAGCCUUUGAAGAAUCCUCAAAAAUUUGACUCUUAUAAGCUGUAACUUUUCCAAUUUUAUUUUAUCUUCUUCUGUCAAGUUGUUGUCAGAAUCUCCCCUACUUGUUACAGCAGGACUAAAUAUGUUAGGCCUGUUUGAUCGAGGUGCGGAUGUUGCAUUUUGCAGUGAGGAUCCUAAGCCUGCAGGACGUUCAACAGUGAAAAGCCUAGAUCCAUCUUGAGAGGUUAUAGUAAUGUUGCCGCCAUCAGAGCCAGCACCAGUUGCUGCUUUCAAGAGGGCUGCCAAAGCAGCAGAAUCAAAUAACUCCUUCCCCUCUCCUUCUUCAUCCGUAUCCCCUUCUUCAUCUGAAUCAACAGCAUUUGUCUGUAUAUGAUUAUGAGAAGUAUCAGCACCCGAGUGAGAACCAAUGGCAGAUCCUCGUUCUAGCUCCUCCAAGAAUUGCUUAGCAGCUUCAGCAUUCUUAAAGAACAUACUUUCAGCCUCUCCAUCAGUCUCUGAGCCUUCAUUCUAAUGCUGCUUCUCUUCCAUUUCACCUUCAAAACUAACUUUUCCAGCCACUGUAGUUUGCUCUACUGACUCAGGCCAAUGAGAUUCUUCUCCUGGCAGGGUUACUGACCUUUUGCUUUGAGAAUCACUAUCUAAAUUCUCUGUUUCAUGAGCUGCCAUUAUUUCUGUAGGUUGAGCAGAACUAUCCUUUGCCUGAAUUCCAUCUCCACCCCCUCCAUCUACUUUCUCAGCAAAUGCUUGUUCCAAAAUAUCUAUGAUCUCCUCAUCUUUGAGAUCAUUUAGCUCAGUCCCAGAAUUGUCUUUACCAAGCAUAACCCCACUGGCAAUAUCAGCUUUAUUCUCAGCAUCAACAGCCAACUCGUCUCCGCCGGAAAACUUCGAACCAUCAGCAUGAUUCAAGCCGUUAUCCAAGCUCGCAUUAUCGUCAACUGGAACCACCUCUGUCUCCUUCAUCACCAAUGUCUCAAUGCCUAAAGCAGCUCCAGUCAAAGGUUUCGCAUCGACAGCCAACUCCUCUUCGCCAGAAAAUUUCGAACCAUCGACUUCAACUACCUGAUGAUCUACUGUUUCUACAAUCAUAGGAUUGAAACCCUUAGCUCCACCAUCUAACACCAAAUUAUUCUCAAAAAUCCCAAUUCUACCUUCCUCUCCACUUUCCAUUGAUAAAACAGAUUGGUCGACUUCUCCAAUGGAACCCAUUUCCACCUUAUCGUCCUUUUCACCAUUACCAACACUAUCAACAUCAACCUUCCCCAUCGAACCCUCACCUCUAUAUUCCUCUAAACCAUUAUCGCCAUCCCCAAACGAGUCCUCAUUCAAAAUCACAUUCGAACCAUCAGAACCAACAAAAGGGGCAUCACUAACAUCCCUCACGGUCGGAAUUACUUCAUCAGGGUCAGCCAUAAAUGGCCUCUCGGGUACUGUUUCAAACUUCCCCUCACCAUUCUCGUUACUAUCAUUAGUUUUACCAUUCCCAUUAUCUUCCAAAGUACGUUCACUUACUGAACUAGUUACAAACUCAGAAUCAUCAUUCGAAGUUAAAGAAGAAGAAGAGGAAGAAGAACCUGGAGAGGUAGAGAGCGACUGAGAAGUGAUUUCCGGGGCAGAAAGCAAGGCGUCCAUGGUUGAAAGAGAGGAAAGGGAGAUAGAGAGAAUUGGGUUUUAGGAUAUGGAAUGAAUUUUGAGUGGCACACAGAGGGAGCAAAUCGGCAGAAAGGGUAAAACAGGGAGGGGAAACCGAAGGGGCAACUAAUCUGCAGAAAAGAGGGGGAUUAGAAAUCGGUGGUUUUCACCGAUUAGGAAGGUAAAGGAUUACACCCGUAUUAGAAAUACAUCAAACCAAACGAUGGAAUACAGUCGCAUUAGGUGGGGCCCACCGAUUAGGGGUGUAUUGGCUAUGCCAAUACACCCAACCAAACAUGGUGUAAAUUUUUCCCUAGGGUUAUACACAUCGUUAUGAUCGAUCGUAGGCCUUUCGUGGGGUCGAUAUAUAAUCAAAUAGACUGUAAAGUAUGAAAUCCGGUCAACUAAUAGUAUAAAUUCUGAUAUCUGUUCAUAUAUUUGAGAUGUUAUUUGUUCAAUAAACCUUGUAAUAGGCUAUGAGAAACUUGAGAAAUAUUAUGUAUGCUUUGUAUCUGUUAUGUCAUACAUGUAUAAUGUAUUAUGUCUGAUUUUGUUCUAUUCUUUUCUGUAUUUGCAUCUGGGGUGGGUUAUAUUAUGUGGAGGAAGCGUUUCUUUGAAUGGCGAUAAUUCGCCUAUUACACUGGCAGCUCAGCUACAAAUAUUCUGAAAAGUGUCAUAUCAACACUAAGUGGUGUGCAGGGCUGGAUGAGUGUUUCAUACCCCAUAUAGUGUGUUGGAAAGGUCGGAGAUAGUGUUAGCGGAUGGGGGUAGGAAUAUAUGUCUGUAUCUGUACUGCUCUAAUAUGAAUAUGUUCUGCUAAAUCUAUCUUAUACAAAAUAAAUAUUUAAAGUUAUUCGUUAUACAUUGAGUUUUGUAAACUCACUUUCUAUUUGUUUGAUAAUUUUAGGUAUUCCUCAGACUUUGGCAAAUCGGUGUGAAAGAACUUGGUUAAAUUGAUUUAGUUUCAUUAUCUAUUAUAAUUAAAUUUUGGGUUAUUGUGUUUCAUUAUUUUUGGACUGUUGGGAAUUUUUGGAUUGUUUUGGUUUUUGAGAUUUUAUUUUCAAUUUUUGCAUGAUACUAUUAAAAAUGUUUUAUUGGAAAUGUUUGUUUUCCUGCAAAACAACUAAUUUCAGACAAAUAAACUUAGUUUUCCAAACAUAAUGAUAUGAGAAUUUUCGCUUUUAAGUAUUCAUUUUAGAAAAUGUAAGCAAACAUCGUUUCAACUAUAAAGUUAAGUUAGAUGUAUUUUUCUCUUAAAUCGAGGUUUAAGUAAUAAAAGUUUACGACAUUUUUCCAAAUUUUACAAAAAAUUGGAUUUACAAUUGUUUUAUGUAACAUCUCCAGAUUUGGUCAUAACAUCUAGUCGGAUUUCGGGUGUUACAUUUAGUGAUAUCAGGUCAGGUUGCAAAACUCAGGCUGUGAACUUUUUGGUUCAAAAUUUUGUGAAAACUAUUUUUCGAGUAAAGUUUGUCGAAACCACUUUUUCGAAACAAAAAAUAGCGUCGACUUAAAAAAUGAAAAUUGGAGUCGCCACCAGUCUUUUUUAUUUAGGUGUGAUCGGAUCACCUCCUAAUUUAAUCAUUUAAAUAAAAGUUAAAAUUUACUAAAACGAUUAAUGGGUUUAAAAAACCUUUUUCUUUACAAACAUUAACAAUAAUAAACGAACAUCGAAGAAAUAGAAAAGAAAAAAGAAAUCGAAAAGAAAAAAAAUUAGAUUUCAAAUCACCUCUCAAAAAUUUAAUUGCUUUCUGAUUUCUUUGGUAUCUUUUUUUACUGAUUUCUUAUUGUUCGCGUAAAAAACUUACAAAGGUCUUUUCUUCCGUUUUAUAGGCAAAAUAUGAAAUAAAUAAAAAAAUACAAUAUAUGUUUUUUCUGUGUUGCUUUUCGUCCUAUUUGUAGGUACGAAGACCAGCUAGCGCUGUACAGAGGCGGUGCAGCACGUGCUUGGCUGAGGUGACUAGAGGCGUGCGGUGGCUGGGUCUGCUGUGUAGUUUAGGGUUUCUGUUGAUUUUUGGUUAUUGGGCUGGGGUUUAAUUUGGGCUUGGGAUUGUGUUUGAUUUUUAAUCUGUAAAUGGACUUUUUAAUAUUGGACUUUUAUUUUUUAUUUGGAUUAUUAUUAUUUUUUGUGUAUGCGGGUCCGGGCUCUACAAAGUUCAUUUCUGGAUUAAUCUGAAAAUUAAUUAUGUGAAGUACCGAGUCUCUGACGUUGAUCCUGUAAGUACUUCUGACUUAGAAAAAUUUUAGUUUAGAAAACUCUAAAAUGAUUAGAACUGUAGUUGGAUAGUUAGAGACAGAAACAUUUCUAUAAAUUCUUUUGAUAACUUUUUGAGUAUAAAAUAUCUACUAAUAAAUACUAAAAUUGAUACAUAAAAUUCAUAAUAUAGGUAAUAUAUACGAUGAGUACUCGUGGAACACAUGGACGUGGUAACCGUAGGCGUGGCAGGCGCCGAAGAGGGGCUCGAGCUGAGUCAUCCUCGAUAGGUACCUGAUAGGCUAUCGCUGGAGAGAGCAAUAGUCUUGAGAGAAGAAAUUUGAAGAUCGAAGUCGGAAUCUGACCUUUAAGGCCUUUAAUUGCUUGAAUAAUAAGCAUUUCCAAACUAAAAGGAUUACAAUUUCUUCAAGAAUUUGACCUGCAGACAUAGUUGAAACAUGAAGGUGUUAAAUUACCUAUUUUGUUAGUGUAAAUCAAAGAGGCUUUUUAUUUUUAUUUUUCGUUGUGAAAUAAUAUGGAUAUGUUAGAUUCUAAUCAUAUUUAAGUAUAUAUUAGUUCUUGAAGAGUUCUUAUUUUUGGUAUUUAUAUUGCAAAUAAUUUUUUUAAAUUAAGAAAAAAGGGGGGAGGGGCAAAUGUGUUUAAACUAAAGACAUCAAGGAGAGUUGUGUCAAAUUCCCAAUGCUUUUUGGAAUGAUCCCACUAAAUUGAUUAACAGACAAUUCCAAAAUUUGAAAAUUGCAGCAUUUGUCUAUACUUGAUGGAAUAGAACUUGAUAAUUCAUUUCUACUGAUCAAGUAAAGCUCUUUAAGCUUGGGAAGAUGGACACACAAAUCAUCAGGCAAGCCACCAGAAAGACUAUUAUCACGUAAAUGAAUCCUUUUCAAAGAAGAAAUGUUAAACAUGGUGCAACCUGGCCAGGUAAUUGAUAAAAUUUUGAUUUAAUCCCUUAAAAAAUAUAAAAAUAUAGACUAUUAAAAUGGUAAAAUUACAUUUUUACUAUUGUAAAAAUUACAAUUUAAUUUCACUCCUAAAAAGAUUUUCUGGCUUCGACCCUAAUAAAUUCUUUGGCAAAAGAUUAAAAUAAAAUUAUACCGUAAAUGAAAAAAGGAAACUAUAAGAAAAUCCAAUCUAACAAAGAAAAUAACUUGAUGUCCAAAAGCUACCAUAAACCGUAAUUCAUGGGAAGGCUUGUUGCUCAUUUUAUUGGUUUCCAUUUUGAUUUUGCAAAAGAAGCUUGAAUUUUGAAGAGAGCCUACUACGUGAGAGCAAAAGAAAAAAAAAUUGUUUAUUAAUUUUUAGGAAUACCGAAAUAUUAUAUAUAUGAUUAAAAAUGUUGAAUUAAAGAUAAAAUUAAGUGUGAAUUAAUAACCACAAGUGUACUUAUUACUCACCAUCUCUGUUAAAAAUGUUGGAUGUUGUUUAGCAACCUUUGUUUGAUUUUCUUCAGCUCAACCACAACAUCUUUCAUAUCUUUUCUUUCUUCUGGCAACUCAGCUGAACAAUUCAAAGCCAACUCCAUGAUAGAUGUAAUACAAUUUGCUUUAACGACAAUGUACUCAUCCUCUCUUCUUAAUAAAUCAACAUCUGCAAUUUCUAUCGCUCCUUUAGGCAAUGAACUUUCCAUCCAAUGCCUUAUACUCUCUUCUUCAACAAAAACAUUAUCAGUAGGCUUUUUCUUCGUGAAAGUUUCUAUAAGGACGACCCCAUAACUAUAGACGUCAGAUUUUAUAGAAACAAUUCCUGCUGAUCCAAAUUCUGCAUUCAAGUAUAAUUAGAACGUCAUUCAUCCUCAAUUAUUUCUAAAAUGCUUAUUCAAAUAUAUAUUCACAUCCACAUGAAACAAAAAUAUAAAAUGCAUAUUAGGAAAAUAAUCAUACAAAAAUAAAAAAGAAUUCACCUGGUGCCAUAUACCCGAUAGUUGCAAGAGUCAUGGUUUGCUUCAUUACUUCACCUUCCCCCAACAAUUUGGCAACGCCAAAAUCUCCAACAUGUGCAACCAUGUCUUCAUCUAGUAAAAUAUUGCUUGGUUUUAUGUCACAGUGAAUUAUAGGUGUUGGAUGUCCAUUGUGGAGGUGUUCUAUAGCUACCGCAACAUCUAUCAUUAUAUCGACCCUUUGUAUGAUAUCAAGGAAACAAUUUUCAGAAUGUAACCAUUUCUCAAGGUUUCCAUUAGACAUGUAAUCAAGCACCAAGGCUUUGAAGUCAACACUUGAGCAGCAAGUAAUGACCUUCACAAUAUUACGAUGAACUAUAUUACGCAUAGCAUCACAUUCAAUGUCAAAACUCCUAAAUGCUCCCUCUGUUUGCAAAUUGAAAACUUUUAUUGCAACUUCCAUUCCAUCUGAAAGCCUCCCUUUAUAUACAUAUCCAAAACUCCCUGAACCAAGCAUAUUGCUUUCCUCAAAUCCAUUAGUUGCUCGUGAAAGUUCAGCAUGUGAAAUUCUUCUCGGUGUCUUCAAAGACAACAAAUCAUCUUUAACUGGUAGAGUUGUACUCCUUUGGCAUCUUCUAUACAUAAUAGUUAAGACUAUUAGUACUAGGACAAUACCAAUUGUUGGUAAACCAUACCUAAAAGCAUGCAAUAUAAUCAUUUGGGAGUUUUUGUGGAUGUCAUUUUUGCAAGGUGGGACUAGCAAUCUAGGUGGACCACAAAGUGCACAAUUCUUCAUGAAUGAUGUGCUAGAAAAGUUUGAAAAACAUCCUUUGCUGGGAAUUUCCCCUUCAAGUCUAUUGAAAGACACAUUAAAAUACUUUAGAUAUAAAAGUUGUUCCAAAGAUUUGGGAAUGACUCCAGAGAAAUUGUUAUUGCAUAAAUCCAAGAAUUCCAAACUAAUCAACCCAUCAAAUGAUUCAGGGAUACGACCAUGUAGUAUAUUAUUUGAUAAAUCUAAUGAAACCAAAGUUUGAAGACCCCCAAAUGUGGAUAAGAUAUCGCCCAUGAGAAGAUUCCUUGAUAAAUUUAGUCUCAGUAGACUCCUAAAAUUUCCAACAUCAAUAGCAUGUGAAUUGUGAAGACGGUUUGAUGAUAAAUCUAUUUCUAAGAUAUCUUUAAGACUCCACAAAGUUGAGGGUAUUGUAGAACUCAAUUUGUUGGAAUCUAACCAAAGAUAUCUCAAAGCAGAAAUAUUACCUAAACAAGAGGGUAUGGAUCCAUGCAGCUUAUUCAACCCUAAAUGCAUCUCGUAUAGUCUCUCCAAACCACAGAGGCUUUCUGGGAUAGGCCCUCCUAAUUUAUUAGAGGAAAGAUCUAGACCUUGCAGAUUCCGCAGUCCUCCUAUUGAUGCUGGAAUGAAUCCACUUAAUUUAUUAUGGCCAAGUUCUAAAACCAAUAAGUUGGUUAAGUUACCUAUUUCCAUAGGAAUAAUGCCUUGAAGCUCACAAUUAUAGGCAAGAAAGAAUUGAAGGGAUUUUGAAAGGUUCCCGAUAUAAGUAGGAAGAACACCACUCAAUGGAUUUCCCGAAACUCCUAUGGCUUUCAAAUUCCUACAAUUCGUCAAAGAAGAAAGAAAGCUCCACUCAUGAUCAGUAGCAGAUCCUGUGAUCAAAUUAUUGUCAAAGAUUUUGAGCACUUCAAGGUGUUUUAAGCUGCCUAGCGUUUUAGGGAUUGGGCCAGAGAAUAAGUUAUGUGACAAGGAUAGAAUCUUUAGCAUGGAAGCAUUGGAGAUAGAGUUGGGAAUGUUUCCGCUAAGUUUAUUUCCCCACAAUAAAAGAAUCUCAAGCUUUGGAGCAUUGGUGAUGGGUGGUAAAUUACCUGUAAAAUAGCAUCUUUUAGUAUACAUAUUCACAAAAUAUAUAAUACAUUAAAAUAAAAACUGUAAAACUUUAAAUCAAUUAAGAAUAAAAUUUUGGCAUGGAAAAAUGUGAUGAAAUCAAUUAGAAAGUUGAGACAUAAUAAGAAGUUUUGAGUACUAAUUAGUCUUUGUGAUUUGUAUAGACAAAACAUAUAAUACACUAAUAAUUUUUUAAAAUAUUGUAAAACUUGAAAUAAAAUAAAAAUAAAAGUUUGGCAUGAGAAUGUGGCAUCUAAUCAAUCUUAAAAAUGAGACUCACACUGAAUAAUAAUUAGUUAUGAUUUGGGAAACAAAAAUGUUAAAGCCAUUGUUUUUAAUGUAAACUGGUAUGAUUCUUAUCUAUUGGGUUAAUUAUUUAUUUUUAUUAAAUUAUAGUGUAAAAUUUAAAUAUUAUUAUUUGCUCAAAAUUUUUGUAUUUUUCGUAUAUUUGAAAUUCAAUCUUUAUAUUUUUUAUUUUCUGUGAUUUAGUCUCUCUACUUUUUUUAUUAAAAAUUUUAGGUUCAUUUAUUAACACUGUUAAAAAGUUUUUGUAUUAGUAUGACAUUUUGAAAAAUAAAAUAAACUUGAUAUCUAUGUUUUUAAUUAUUCCAAAUAUUGUUUUACUAUUUCAAGAUAAAUUAUUUGUGUCUAGACCAAUAUCUUAAGAACUAUUGUUGCAUGUUUAAUUAUUCUAAAAAAUUAUUGAUUGAGUCUUAGCUUGAUUGGCAUGUGCAUUGUUGCCAAUAUAAGAGAAUGUGGGAUCAAAUAUGCUGAAGUUCAUUAUCCUCCUGUUAUGAAUUGGGGAGUUGGUAAAGUAUUAAAUUUUGAUAUAUUUUAAAAUAUUAAAAAUUUAUUAAAAUAUUUUUUAUAAAAAUCGGUUGUACCACAAUAUACAAUUUUAAUAUCAAAUUUUUAAUAUUUUUAAAAUAUUAGCGAAUAUAUACUUUAUUUCAAGUUACACAAUUUUUACUAGUUUUUAACUUUUUUUAAAAUUUUUAUCGUCUUUUAUAAUUUCUAAUAAUUUUUUACAAUAUUUAACAAUUUCUAACCAUUUUUAAUAAUUUUAUUACUUAUUAAAAAUUAACAAAUUAACUAUUUUUUAUUUUUUUAAAACAAUUAUAUAUUUAUAAUGUAGUUAUUUUUUUAUAAUUUUAUUUGAAAUUUUAAAGUUUUUUUGGUUUGUUUUCUAGAUGAUGAUGCCAUCAUGAUGUCAUCAUAUGCCACAUGGCAAUUUAUGAUUAGUUGAAUAUCUCAAUUUAUUUUUUUAAUGUCCAAUGGACUAAACCAAGAACACUUGAUUAUGUUAGAGACUACACUAGGAAUGUUUGAUAACAUUAGGUACUAAAGUAGGAAAAAAAAAAAAAGGAGCAAUACGAUGUAGGGAGUAAACUGUGCAUUAAGCCAUUAAAAAUAUAUCUAUAAUAUAUAUAAAUGCAUGGAUUUUGAGAAACUUUUGAAAUGAUAAUUAUAUAGUCUUUGUUUUUUUACUAUAUUAUUGAAUUUGUUAUUUUAAAUAUUUUUUUAUUACUUUUAAGAUUUAUCAUAUGUAUGGAUAAGAAUUUUGGUUUUACUAAAAUAUUUGGUUAAAUAAAUUCACUUCAUAAGAAGAUUUAGCAUCCUUGUAAAUAACAAUUUUGAUUCUAUUAAAAAAUUAUUUUAAAAUAUAUAUAAUAAAAUUUUAAAAUUUAUAUUGAAUUACUUUAUACUUAAAUUAUUAUUAGAAACUUUAUCAUACACAUACGUGUAUGAGAACUAUGUAUUUAGAACAUAAAUUUGUGUUUUAAAAUAACUUAUGAUAAAUAAUGAAAUGUAUAAUUUGAAACUAUUUAAUAAAAACACAUGGCUUAUCUACAAUAUUAAAAUAAAAAUAGCUUAAAUUGUAAGCAAAACAUAAUUUAAACAUAUGAAUACAUUAAAUUAAGAAUACUAAAUGAAUACAGUUAUUUAUGAUGGUGUUGUCUUCAAUUCCUAAGUUGGUGUCAAGUUAAUUUGUGACAUCAUAAAUUUAAGGUUUUAUGUAUUGAUGUGGAUUCAAAUAUCACCAUUUUUUUUAAAAUAAAAUUUAAAAUAAAUACAUUUUCCACAUUGGUUUCUUUUCUUCUACAGACAAAGGAUUUCUAAUGAUUUUUUUUUUAAAAAAAAUUACUUAUAUAAAAUAGAUUAGUUUAUGCAAUAAAAAUAAUUUCUUUUUUAAAGUUUAAUAGAAAUUAAAAAACAAAAAAAAAAUCAAUUCAUAUAAAGCUUAUUGUUUAUUAUCAGAUUAAAAUGAUAAAAGUAUACGAUAAACCCAUACUUGACGGAAUGUUACCAGAUAAUUCAUUUUUAUUCUAGUAAAGCCCUUCAAGCUUGAGAAUAUGUUGACACAUAUCAUUAGGCAAACUACCUGAUAGGUUAUUGUUGGAGAGAUCAAUGGCCUUCAGAGAAGAAAUGUUGAAGAUCGAAGUUGGAAUCUGACCUGUAAGGCCUUUAAUUUCUCUAAUAUUAAGCAGUUCCAAACCAAGAAGAUUACCGAUUUCCUCAGGAAUUUGAUCUGCACACAUAGUCGAAAAAUCAAGAUGUGAAACUACCUAUUUUGUUAGCAUAAGUCAAAGAGGUUUUCUUUUCUGUUCUACAUAAUUUGCAGAUGUUAGAUUUUAAUAUUUUUAAGCAUAUUUGUUUUCAUCAAAUUAACUAUUUUGAACUAUUUUGCCUUGAAUGAAAUAAAAUGCUCAUAUUUUUGUUAUCUAUUACUAAUCAAACUCUUUUAUAAAAAAAAAUACUUUAAACUAAAGAAACCAAGAAAAUUCAAUACCUUCUAAGUUAUUCAACUCCAAAUAUAAUUCUUUGAGUCGUGUCAGAUUUCCAAUACUUCUUGGAAUGAUCCCCCUCAAUUUAUUAUCGGAAAAUGCCAAUAUUUUAAGGUUGCUGCAUUUGCCCAUACUUGAUGGAAUGUUACCAGAUAAUUCAUUUUUAUUCAAGUAAAGCCCUUCAAGCUUGGGAAGAUGUUGACACAUAUCAUUAGGCAAACUACCUGAUAGGCUAUUGCUGGAGAGAGCAAUAGUCUUGAGAGAAUAAAUGUUGAAGAUCGAAGUUGGAAUUUGACCUGUAAAGCCUUUAAUUGCUUGAAUACUAAGCAUUUCCAAAUUAAAAAGAUUACCGAUUUCUUCAGGAAUUUGACCUGCUGACAUAGUCGAAACAUCAAGGUGUUAAAUUACCUAUUUUGUUAGUGUAAAUCAAAGAGGAUUUUUAUUUUUCUCGUUAUGAAAUAAUAUGGAUAUGUUAGAUUCUAAUCAUAUUUAAGUAUAUAUUAGUUCUUGAAAGAAAGAGUUCUUAGUAUUUAUAUUGCAAAUAUUUUUUUUAAAAUUUAAAAAAAGGGGGGGGGGCAAAUGUGUUUAAACUAAAGAGAUCAAGGAAAAGGCAUACCAUCUAGGUUAUUUAACCCCAAGUAUACUUGUUUAAGUUGUGUCAAAUUCCCAAUGCUUUUUGGAAUGAUCCCACUAAAUUGAUUAAUAGACAAUUCCAAAAUUUGAAGGUUGCAGCAUUUGUCUAUACUUGAUGGAAUAGAACUUGAUAAUUCAUUUCUACUCAAGUAAAGCUCUUUAAGCUUGGGAAGAUGGACACACAGAUCAUCGGGUAAGCCACCAGAAAGACUAUUAUCACGAAAAUGAAUCCUUUUCAAAGAAGAAAUGUUAAAGAUGGAAGAUGGAACCAGGCCAGAUAAUUGAUUGAAUCCCAAGUUCAAGAUCUCUAGAUUGGAUAAGUUGACAAGUGUUUGAGGGAUUGUGCCUGUGAAGUUAUUAUUUCUCAUUUCCAACCUUUGAACUCUGUGCAAGUUCCCAAGCCAUGAUGGAAUUUCCCCAUUAAGACGGUUGUAGCUUAAUCGAAUGAUCCUCAAACGAUGCAAUUGGCCCAAUUCUUUAGGCAGAUGGCCAUAGAAAUUGUUGUUGCUCAGGUCGAGAGAAAAUAGAAAUGAAAGAUUUCCAAGGUGUGGAGGGAUAGUACCCCUAAGAUUCAUGUUUGUAAGAUUCAAAGCUACAACUCUUUCAUGGAUGAUGUCACAAGAAACACCAGCCCACUUACAAACAGAGGUAGAGUUCGUCCAAUUGUUUGCCAACACAUUUUGAGGAUCGACAAUGCGAUCUUUAAACUCAAAGAGUGCAAACUGAUAGGAGUUGAGAUUCCGGACUGUCAUAGCCAAGGAAACAAUGGAACAUUGUAUGAAUAAAAGUGAAAGAAGAUGAAAGCAAGUGUUGUAGUUCAUGAUGGCAAGACGAAAUAAGCCAGGAAAAGGGAAGUUGAAUUGAUGAAGAAAUACCCAGCCAACAUGCUUAAAUAGGCUUCAACCCUUGCACACUUCUCAUACAUAAAGUUCACUGCCAUUACAACAAGAAAACUCGUAUCUCCAUUCAUACCUAUCCAUACUUUAUUUGACUAACUUUUCCCUAACAGGUGUUCAGUAAGGAGACAAAUCACUUUGGAGCUAUUCACCGACUUCUCCAACCUUGGUUUCAAACUCCUAGCCCAUCAAUUCACUUUAAUUGAAACGAUAUACACGAGUCUUUCGGCUUAUAUUUUUAACUUACUACUUCUCUUUUUAAUUUAUUUUUUGUUACUUCUCAUAAUAUUUUUUGAGAAAUCCAAUAUUCCAGUCUGAAAUUUCUUCAUUGCCACGUCUAUCUCCUCGGUAAGUUCGUGGCUAGGCGGCCCACUUUGGGGGCAGGAUUGUAAUUUUAGUUCUAUCCGACUCAUUUUACUAUUUAGAAAUAUAAAAGUAAUAUUAUAUUAAUUUUUAUAUUUUUAUAAAUUUAAAUUUAAAUUUAAUUUUUAAACAAUAAAACGAGUCAUUUUUAUUUGCCUAGGCUAAAUUGAAUCAGGAGUGAAAAAUUUUUUAAUCAUAAUUUACUAUUAUUUUAAUUAAUUAAAUUUUAAUUUACUAUAACUAGUAGUUGCAAAAAAAAUGACAUUCCUUUAGAAAAAUGAGAACUUAUGAAGCAUUCAAUAAGAGUUGUUGGAAUACAUGGUAACGAAACCAUAAUUCGAUAUAAAACUAUAUAAAUAAUGUAAGAUUUGUGAUACCUAAAUUGUUAUGUUUUCUAUAAAUAUAUGGAGAUUUUUUAUUAGGAAAUAAUUUUAUAUAUCAACAUUUGUUAUUUUCUUUUGAUAGAAAUUUAAUUAUGUUAUCUGUAGAAAAAAAUAUUUAUAGAAAUAUCAUUAGUAGAAAAUCAUAAAUUUGUGUGUGGCAAAAAAUUUUCACCACCAAGAAAGGGACAAAUUAAACAACUUGAAAGUCAUUGGUUGUUUAAAAUAUUAGAUAAUAAUUUUAGUGAAGAAUCAUUAAAAUUAUGACAAAAUAACCCUAGAUAUUGUAGUAUUAAAUUAGAAAAUCUCAAUAAUAUUAUUAGAGUAAAACCUAUGAUGUAUCUAAACAAGAUAUAGAAGAAUUUGAUAUACAAAUUAAGGGUAGAAAUCAUACGGAAAUAAUAAAAAACAAGAAAAAGCUAGUAUGGUCAUUAAUUAUAAAAGAUUAAAUCAAAAUAUUAUUUUUUGUAGUUACUUGAAUUAAUCAGGAUAAACAAAAAAAAAUAUUUUAGUAAAUUUGACUGUAAAUCAGGAUUCUAGUAAAUCAUGCUAACAGAAAAAUCUAAACCUUUAACAGCUUUUAGUGCACCCAAUGGACAUUAUUAAUGGAAAGUGAUGUCAUUUGAAUUAUGCGAUGCACCACAAAUCUUCCAAAGACAAAUGGAUUUUAUAUUUAAUAAAUAUAAAAAAUUAUGGGUAGUUUAUAUAGAUGAUAUUUUGAUAUUUUCAGAUACACUAGAAUUACAUAAGAAAUAUUUAAAUAUUAUUUCUUAAGAAUUCAUAAAAUAUAGAAUCAUAUUAAACCCUAAAAGUAUGGAGUUAGAAAAAAGAGAGGGAAUUUUUAUAAUAGUGGAAAUAAAAAAUUGUCCUCAAAAGAUUGAAGAAAAAAAGAAGUUACAACAAUUUGUAAUAUAUUCCUCCCAAAUUUUCAGUUGCAAAUUUAUUACAGAAUUUCUUUGCCGACAAUAAGAAAAGAGCAUAUUCACAUUUUCGUCGCAAUUUCAACUAACAACCAAUCUGUUUCCCACUUUCCUUUUUCGGCCAAUUUCAAACGUAACUGUUUUUCGAAUUUUCCUCUUUAUUUCAUUAAUAAAAUGAUCAAUCUAUUUGUUUUUUAAAUAUAUAAUUUUAUUAAUAUUUUUUAAUUAUAAUAUAAGAGUUGUUGUUUAUUUAUAGUUUUAUUACAUUAUUUAAUCUCUUUUUUAUAUCAAGUUUUUAAAAUUAUAAUAUAAGAUUUAUUUUAUCAAAUUGUGGCUUAUCAAAUGUUCAUCUAUUUUAAUAAUAACUUGAGUUCGAAUCAUUAUCAUACCAGAAAGAGUUCCCUUUAUUCUUUAUCGUAAAUUUUAUAAGAAAUUAUAUUUUAUUAUAAUACUAUAUGUGUUAGAAUAAUAUUUUAUUGUGGAUGCCCAUAAUUCUCAAAGUUGUAACCUUGAAUGUAGUAACCUCAAUGAAAUUAUGAGGCUUUUAUAUUGUAAUCAAGCCUCUAUCUAUUCUUUGUAUUCUUUGUAGAAAAUAUGAAGUUGAUUUUACUUUAUUAAAAAAUUUAAAAUAAAUUAUCUUGUUUUUUUUUAAAUGAGUUAACCAAAUUAGCAUAUUUAUUUUGAUCUAAAAUUAUCCAAAAUAAUAUAAAAUAUUAUAUUAAUAAAAUUAAAACUAUGAAAUAAUUUUUUUUAAAGAUUAUUAUUUACUUUUAUCAAACAAUACAAUUAUAUUCAGUACUUAUAUUUACUAGUUUACCAAACAGUUUUCCAAUAUGAAUUCAACACUUAUCAAAUUCAGUAUUAAAAAUUCAGUGCUUAAUUUUUUAGCACUUAACUUUUCAAUUCAUCAAGCACGUCUAAUUCAAUUUAUACAAUUCCCUAUUUGUAUCUCUAUGAAUUUAUAAAAUCCUUCUCGCAUUUAGUUGUUGGGAUCUUUAUAUGAAGAUAGAUGCUUUUAUUUUUUAUUGGUUCAUUUUUAAUUGUAUUGAUUUAUUUAAUUUUAAUUUUGAUUAAUAUAUAUGAUUAUUGUGGAAUGGGAGUAAAAGUAUUUACUUCUCAUAAACUUUGAAAUAUUCACCCUGUCUACAUAUUAAUUAUUGUAAAAUUUGAAUUGAAAUUAUGCCAUAAAAGGUGGAGGUUAGAAAACCUCUUAUUGAGACCUUAUAAUAUUUUGUAAUUUUUUGUGUUAUGGUAUAUAAAAAAAUAUCUAACCAUAGUGAUUGAUUAGUAAUAUAAAUUUGUUAUUUGUUAUGUUUAAUAUAUAUUUUAUUUAUACUUAUUCAUUUUAUUUUUAUAUGAGUAAAUGAAGUGUUUGAAGAUUCGAAAUUUUUAUCAUCCAUGUUGAAAAUAAGUGCAAAAGUGUAUAUUAUUUAAAAUAAAUUACGCAUUCAUUAAUGUUAUGUGAUAAAAUCAUUACAUUUUCUGAAGAACUAAUAUUGCAUCAAACUGUAAAAAGCUCUUGAAGAGCUAAUAUUUAUCUCCCUGUGAUGCAAAAUCUUGUAAAACAUGAUAUUAUUUUUCAAAUCAAGAAGAUUUAUGUUGAAGGAAAUAUUUAUGUGUUUUACAUUAAAACCAUGGAUAGAAAUGACAUGAGACACUCAUGUAUUUGCAUUAUAAAUAUUCCUUGAAGGAAUACACUUCACUUGUAUGAUUGACAUAUGAGAUAAUAGCAAGAAGUUUAUAGUGUUGGUAUGGCCGGCUAGACCAUCUCAAGUCAAUAAUGAUGCAAAAUAAUUUGAAGAGAAUUUAUAUGAUUUUAUUGAAGAAUGAGAAGUUAUUUUCAUUUUGAUAAUUGUCAUCAACAAUAGUUCUUUGGAAAAAAAAAUAUUGAACUAACAUCAACUAAAGUUAGAGGUUGGUUCAUGGUUGCAUUUUUUGAUGAUAUCCAAAUAAUAUAUGAGCUCAUGUAUCACAUGUAUGCAACCCAAAGUUUACAGUAUUAUUUCUUGAAAUAAUUUGAUUCUACACAAUCUCUAUAGCAUGCAAUUUGUGCUAACAACACUGGUGCAUUAUAUCCUAAGCUUGAUUUUCGUAGUUUUAGCUGAGAUAAUAUUAAGUUGUCUAUGCCUAUAUAUAUUAUACUUAAUGGUUAGCAAAAUUAUGCCUCCAUUUAAUUGCUUAACCAUUAAUAUAAGAAUAGCUUUAAAAUAAGCAUGUAAUUUUAUUUGCAUCGAGCCAACAUGUAAGAAAUAUUUGUCCCAUGAGAAUUAGCUUUUAUUUAUAAGCCAAUAGGUUUCAUUUAUGACUAUUUGGAUGUAAAAUAUCUAUUUUAUAUUCCACCAUAAUGCACUAAGAUGGACCAUCAAGUAUGAAGUUGAGAAAAAUUAGAAUUUUUAUUUGAUGGUAAAAGUUGAAAAGAGAUAUAUAUUUAUAAUUUUGAAAAAAAUAGUCAUGUUGCAAAUUUUCUCAGUAUUAGAGGGAGACAAGUUGGACAAAUACGUAUAAUUAUGUCAUCACUUUUUGUGAUCCCUCACUAAUCUUAUGUGCACAAAGUUUGAAGGAAAAAAAUAAUUUGCUAGACAUGUUUAGUGAUGACAUUUAGAGAUUGUAUAUAUUGGAUGAUACAUAUACCAGCUAAAAUGUUCCAAAUAAUUAUGCGUCCUAGAAGGACAAAGUGAUAAAAAUAAUUUUUGGGCACGCUAGAAGGAUGAAAAACUAGUUGGUUCUAUAAAUAAAAAAAUUCUUGACAGAAAAGAGUAAGAAAUGAAUAUGGCCACACGUUAAAGGAGACGAGUACUCAUGAAGAGACCCAAGGUAUAACUUUUAAUAAAACCCCAAAAGAGGUUCAAUACAUGAAAUUAUGAAUAUAAUAAGUGUAAUAACCAAAUUUUUCCCGGGCCCAAUGCCAAACAAAUAAAACCCAAACCAAAUAAAUAAAAUAAGAGUCCAAAUUAUAGUCCGUUAGGGCCCAAUUCAGACCAGCCCACUAUUCAAUCAGACCAGCCGAACAACAAAAAAAAACCUAGUAGCCCACAGCCCAACUAAGCCUAAAAAAUUUUCAGCAAAAGAAAAAACCCUAGCUGCCAUGCUAGCCGCUGCUCCUGCCCUAGCCUCUGCCCACUAUCGUACGCCACCUCUGCCAUCACCAUUAGCCUCUGACACCUGCAAAACAGCAAACAACAUGCAACAACAGAGAAGAAGACGACAAGCAAAAAACAAAUCACUAAAGGACAAAAAUAAUGAUAACAAAUAGCCUUAGUUUGGCUAUAAAAGCAAAAAAAAUGAAAACUUUGUACUUCUUUGGCAAGAUUAAUACAAAAAAGAAAAGAUUUGAACUUUUUAGGGUGAUAUUUCAUUUUUUUUUACGCUUUAGAUCUAUUUUUUUAUUUCAUCUUCAUCUACGAAAAUAAUAGAAAAAAGACUUUGAUUUCAAGGUGAUAUUUUGUUGUUUUUUUAGAUCUAGUGUUUUUUUAUUUAUUUUUAUCUACAAAAAUAAAAAAAGGAAAAGAGAAACGUACCUAAUUCACCCCGUGGCUCCGUCGACGGAAGUCCCAUCGCCAUCGUCGGAAUCGGGCUUAAAAGGGGAAGGUUUUUAUUUUUCUUUACUUUUUUUUGGAUUUUUCGUCUCAAGAAAUGGACUAAGGGAGGGGAAAUGGCCAAAAUGGUCUUUUUCCGAUGAACUCUGGCAACCACAUGUGGCAGUUAACAGUGCCGGUGCUCGGUGGCUGCGGUGGAGCCAUGGUGGUGUCCCAUGGCCGGAUCUAGAGAGGAAGCCUUUAAGAGGGAGAGAGUUUCUAACAUUUUUUUUAUUUUCUAAGGCAGAAAUGAAUUUUUGAAAAAAAAAAGUUGGGUUUUAUAAGUGCGUGAAAUGGCGCCAUUUUGCGCAAGUGCACAUCGACGUCGAAACGACAUCGUUUACCCCUUUACCCGCUUGCCCGAGUCUGGCUCGAUGAAGGUCCGCAUAUUUUCAUGCCUGAUGGGUUAUUUCCCUGCCCGAUCCUUCCGAUUUUGGGCUUCUUCUCAAUCUGGUCCUGAUCCUACUUUUUCCCGCCUUUUAAAUUGUACCAUUUAAUUUCAUUUCAUUUUCAACUCGGUCCCUCGGCUGACCAAAGGAAAUGAUGCGCAUAAAGUUAAGGGAUAUUUUCCCUUUCAAUCCCCAAUAUUUUUAGAGCGAUGCAUUUUAAUCCCUAACCUUUCAUUCCAAUCUUUUACACAUAUUAUUUCAUUUUAUUCGUUUAUUUAUUGACUUAUCAUUUUUACCCUCUUUUUAUACUUAAAAAUAUAUAUUAUUUACACUAUUACUUGCAUUUUUUUACUAUUAAAUUAUUAUUUUUAAUGUAUUAUAUUCCCAUUAUUUUACCAUUUUAUUUAUUUUGAUACUUUCAUGUCACAUUUAUUUAUUUUAAUAUUGCCAUUAUUUAUUUUAUUUUAUUCUUAUGUUUUUUAGUAUUUUAUUAUUUCUUUUAUUGUUCACGGUUUUUUUUUCAUGUUAUACAUUUUUAUCUUUCUAAUCAUGCAUUUUUCCUUUUUUUAUUUUGUUUUAGGUUACGUUAUUUAUUAUUAUUAUUAUGAUAAUAUUAUUAUAAUUAUAUUACCAUUAUUAUAGAAUUCCUUUAUUUGUAUAUUCCAUUAUAACUAUUAUUAUUAUUAGUAGUCUUUAACUCACUUCUAUUUUUAUUAUUAUUUUUUAGAAUAGUAGUCAACAUGCUUAUCCUUAUUGUUAUUUGGUGUUGUUCUUAUGAUUUUAUCAUCAUUAUUGUUGUAUUUCAUUUUUUGUUCACUCUUUAAAUAUUUUGUUCAUAUAGUUAUUUUACACUAUUGCAAUAUUGUUGCAUUACGCAUUAUGUUUCUUAUAUAAUAAUUAUUUCGCUUUCACGCGAUGUUCGAAUCAAUUAAACAUGAAUCUUCUCAAUUAUUACAUUAAUUGUUACUUAAGUUCAAAAAGAAAAUUUUCAAAAUAAGGCAAUAUUUUGCGUUUUGGAAAUUCGAGAAAUCAUACCCUAACUUACGAGGUUUCGAUUUUCUCGUUAAACUUAAAUAGCAAAAUAUUCUUUUAAAUUUCAAAAUGCAUGCAAUUUCAAUAAAAAUCAAAGGCAAGCUUAUUCUCUAAGGUUCCAAAUAUCGCGUCCUAACUUACGGGAUGUGACAUUUCGUUACCUCGAGACGAGUAGGUCUUCAACUCUCUUUUCGAUUUAUUCGAGCGUUUUUAAUAACAUUAAUAAAAAGGGAUCGUAUUUUAAAUUUCUAUUCAAGUUUUCAACCUUGGACAUUAAGACAUUACUUAAUCAACUAGGUACCACCUUUGGGUGUAUUGAGGGUGUGUUUUCUAGAUUUUGUAGACCAAAUAUUAUCGUUUUUAGUAAAUUUAAAUUUUUAUUAAAAUGAUUAAAUUACAAGUGUUGACACCAUUUUUUUGAUGAAAAACGGGGUCGACUUGGGUUUUAAAAAAAAUGAAAAACGGGAGUCGCCACCAAUCCUUUUUGAUAAGGUGUGAUUGGGUCACCUUGAAAAAUGGUUGUUUUUAAUAAAUGAUUUGAUUUUAUUAAAACAACGGUUUUGGUCCAUGAAAUUUAGAAAACGGGUUCGGGAGUCGAUUACGUACGAGGAAGGAUUAGCACCCUCGUAACGCCCAAAAAUUGGUACCUAGUUGGUUAGCUAAUGUCUUGAUGUCGAAAAUUGAGAACUUGGAAAAAAUUAAAAAUACGAUCCUUGUAUUAAAAUGAAAAUUUUAGGAAAAGGGGGGCAUACUUCACGCUAAUCGAGAAAGAGAAUCAUAUCCAGUAAGUUAGGACACAAUGUCUCGAAUUCCCGAUACGCGAAUGAAUGCCAAAAUUUUACUUAUUUAAAAGACAUUUUAGCCGUCUCGAAUUUAAAAAUGAAAUCACGACCAGUAAGUUAGGACGUGAUUUUUUAAAACUUGAGUUUGAAAAGAUUCGUGCAUCUAGAUUUAUCGUGAAAAUCAAUACCCAGUAAGUUAGGGUACGAUUUUCUUGAAUUUAAACACGAAAUGCCAUUUUUUAAAACAAAUUUUGUUAUAUCGAGUGAAAUAAAAACACAAAGUCGUAGUAAAAAAAUGUGUAAGCAAAUUACAUUGUUAUGCAUGGCAAAAUCAUAAUGAAUACAAAAGUAUAAAAAUGAUACGAGCAAUAACAACAAUAUAAAAUAAAUAAAAGUCAAACCUACAAUAAUAUUAAAUAACAAUGUAUAUAAACAAAUAAAAUUAAAACAUUCAUUCAAAAUAAUAAUGAAAAUGAAAUAAAUAAAUAGUAAAUACAAAAUAAAACAAUAGUAAUGAAUAAAAAUAAUAUAAUAUAUAUAUGUAUGUUAGAAUUAUAAAGUAUAAAAAUAUACGUAUGUGUAUAUAAGAAUAUGUAAGCAUGUAUAUACAUAGAUUAUAAAAUAUAGAUAUUUAUAUAAAAAUGAGUAUUUGUAUUAAAUAAGUUGAAAAAAAAUAUAUAUAUACCUACAUAUAUAUAAAAAAUUAUAUAAUAAUAACAAUAUAAUAAAACACAUAUAUCUAAAAUUUACAUAAGUAAAUAUAAAUAAAAACAUACUAAUAACAAUAAUAUUAAUAGUAAAAUGAUAAUACAUAAAAAUGAUGAAGAAAAUAAUAAAAAUGCUUAAAAGGGGACUAAAUCGAAGUAAGAACCAAAAAAAAGGGGCAAAAUCGAAAUAAAGACAAGAGGGACUAAAUUGUAACGCGCGCUGAAAGAGGGGGACCAACAGGGUAACUAAACCAAAGCCUCAAAACGCUGCUCUGUAAAGGACUGAAAUGAGACAAAAAUAAAAUUUUGUGGCCAAAUUGCAAAUAUGCGAAAAACUUCCAUGAAAUCGCUACAAAAUCAAAGGGACUAAUUGCGCAAAUAGACCCUUAAACAAAAACGCGCGGAUCCUUGGGUGCGGGUCGGGUCGACGUGCGGAUCCCCUCACCAAAACGGCGUCGUUUUGUGUUUAAUAUAAAUAUAAAAAAAGGGCUAAAAAAACAGUUUCAUCAUUUUUGUUGAAAAACUGAGAGAAACCUCUCUCUUUUUUCCCUUUCUCAGGCUCAGAUUCCGGAGAUGGCCCGGCCUAGGCUUCUGGCGAAUCUCCGCCGUAGAGCCACCGUGUGUGGCGGCCGGAGGUCCAAAAUCGGACCUUUUCGGUCCCUUUUUGAAACUAAGAAUCCCUAGGGUACGGAUCUGGGACCAAACCCCCGAAAAAAAGAAUCGGAGACCUAAAGAACGAGGGGAAACCGCUCGUCUUCUCUCCUCCGGCGCGGCGCAGGUAAGGUUUCUUUUUCCUUUAUUUAUAUUACGUAAAAAACAUACAAAAAGAAAAAAAAGAAAAUAGAGUUUAAAAAAAAUCUAAAACAGAAAUGAGAGAAAAUCACCUCUCAAGUUUUCUUGUUUUUUAUUUCUUUUUGCUAAUAUCUGUUUCUUCUUUUUACAAAAGUUGAUGGAAGAAGAAAAAAUUACAUUUUGUUGGCUUUUUAUAGCCGACUUCUACUACUGCCUGUGUUAUUUGCUCUCUGUUUCUUUGUUUUGUUUCUUCUUUGCAGGUGACGGUGCAAGUGGUGGUGGUGACGUGACCGUGGCAGUGGCGGUGUGAUGUUGGCGGCGGCGGCAGGCCAAAGGUCAAUAGGUGUGGAGCCUAGGGUUUUAGUUUUUGAAACCCUAGGCAGAUUUUUUUAGGGGAAUUGGGCCUUAGCUAUUGGGUCGUUCGGGUUUGGGCGUUGGGUUAGGCUAGUUGGGCUUUGAGGUUGGGUUGUUUUGUAAUGUGCUUUGGUGUUUGGGUUGGUAGGUGGUGGGUAAGGUUUAUUGUUUUGGGUUCUUGGGCCUGGUUCUGUUUGGUUAGGGUAAUGGGCCAUUUGGGUCUGGGCAUAAAAUUGGGCUAUACAACAAGGUGACCCGAUUACACCUCAUCAAAAAGGAUUGGUGGCGACUCCCAUUUUCAUUUUCAUUUCUUUUUAAAUCAAAGUCAACCCGUUUUUAAAAAAAUGGUUUCGACAAUAAGAUAUAUUGAUUAGUUAUGUCAUAACUAAAGAUGAUGGAGUUGACAAAAGGAAAUUGUAGUUAACAACGAAUAAUCUACGUAGAACAUUUCAAUAUUAUGGAAAAAUGAGUAUUUACCAACCUUCUUUUAGUCAAAUUAUGCAAGCCUAAAAUUUUUAGCUUAAUUUGAGUUUGUUGACUAUGUCUAAUUCAAGUUUUAUUAUUAAGGACUAAAUUGUAACUUAAAAAAAUUAGAAUACCAAUUUAAAGAGACAAAAAUUCAAAACCCCAAAACCCACAUGGGCAUGUGGGUAAGUGACACAGGCGUGUGGAGACUGGAGCUAUCACACACGGGCGAGUGGGACAGAAAAAUAUGAAAUAAAUUAAUCCACUUAAAUUUCAAACAACCAUGCUAUACUACCAAACCAAAUAAUGCUAGAAGCUUUGAAUAGGGGUGAAUCGAAAAAAAAAUAAAAGAAUUAGAAUUAAAUUAUAAAAUUUUCAGAAGUUAUCAUGUAUUAAUUUAUUAUUUUUUAAAGGGUCUUAAUAGAAUUUUUUUUCCAUUUUGGUUUGGCCAAUACCCCUGUCUACCUCUUUCAAUUUGCUUCAACCCUAAACCUAAUAUUCGAUUUGUUGUGGAAGUUUGACGCAUAAAAAUUUCUUUUUUAGAGGUUUAAAUUAUAAAUUUUUGAAAGUUUAAAAUAAAUUUUCAUUUUUAUUAACAAAAUAUAAAAGAAAAAAAACAUGUGUAGACAAACCAAGAAACCUUUGGGAUCAUACGGGUGAUUUUGAUGAUGUUAAUGGUUAUUUUGAUGGAGAGGGUGAAAAAGAAACAAAUGAUUCAUAUAUAUAAUAUAAUUAUGAAAUUCAAGCCAUAUAUUGUAUGUUUCAUCCAUAAAAAUUUCAUGGGAGGUCCGAAGGUAAUUAAAUGACUUGUAGGCUUGCUGAAUUUCUUUGAAAGGCCCAAUGGCAAUUUAACAUUCACAAAAUAAUCUCUAAAUACUGUAAAGACAAAAUCAAAUCCACAGCAGCAUUAGAGUUGAUUAAGCUAAGCAUUGGCAAAUAUUACUUUGAUUUUGCAUGCAAUAUUAGCAAAACCCCCUCUUACAUUAGAUAAACAACAUACUCCAUGAAACAUUGAUAGCCCAAAUACAAAUUUCAUCGACAAAAAAGUCUCUUUGUUUUGUAGAACAUGAUAGUAAAAAUGUGGAGUUUCGUUCUUCUUAUUGGCCUCCUUUAGUUUUCCUUGAUCAACAACCACUAGCCAAAAACACAAUUAGAUUAGAUUAUGAAUGAUACUGACAUUAUUAAAUAUAAAACACUCUAAAUAACUCUAAAUAAAUGGAAAGCAGCAAAUUACCUGACGAGGCAAGCUAGCUCAAUUAAGACCAUUGUGUUAUACUUGUCUCUGAAUUGAAAAAUUUAGAAGGAAAUAAAGAGAAAGACUUAGAAAAUAUUUGAAAACAGAUAAAACUUAUAUGUCAUUUAAAAUAAAAAUUUUGUAUUUAAGCCGUUUAAAAUUUUUAAGAUUUUUGAAAUUUUAAAAUGAUAAAGGUAAAAUUGUACUUUGGCACACCAAAAAUGAUAAAACUUUGAUUUAAUCCUUUAGAAAUUAUAAAAAUAUAGGCUAUUAAAAUGGUGAAAUUACCUUUUUACUAUAGUAAAAAUUACAAUUUAAUUUCACUUUAAGAUUUUCUGACUUCGCCCCUAAUAAAAUCUUUGGCAAAAGAUUAAAAUAAAAUUAUACCGUAAAUGGAAAAAGAAACAAAGAAAAUCCAAUCUAACAAAGAAAAUAACUUAUGUCCAAAAGCUACCAUAAACCGUAAUUCAUGGGAAGAGAGCAAAAGUAAAAACAAAUAGUUUAUAUGAUUAAAAUUCCAGAAUAGGUUAAAAAUGUUGAAUUAAAGAUAAAAUUAAGCGUGAAUUAAUAACCACAAGUGUACUCUUUACUCACCAUCUCUGUUAAAAAUGUUGGAUGUUGUUUAGCAACCUUUGUUUGAUUUUCUUCAGCUCAACCACAACAUCUUUCAUUUCUUUUCUUUCUUCUGGUAACUCAGCUGAACAAUUCAAAGCCAACUCCAUGAUAGAUGAAAUACAAUUUGCUUUAACAACAAAGUACUCAUCCUCUCUUCUUAGUAAAUCAACAUCUGCAAUUUCUAUCGCUCCUUUAGGCAAUGAACUUUCCAUCCAAUGCCUUAUAGUCUCUUCUUCAACAAAAACAUUAUCAGUUGGCUUUCUCUUUGUGAAAGUUUCUAUAAGGACGAUCCCAUAACUAUAAACGUCAGAUUUUAUAGAAACAAGUCCUGCAGAUCCAAAUUCUGCAUUUCAAGUAUAAUUAGAACAUCAUCAGUCCUCAAUUAUUUGAUAAAUCUAUGUAUAUCCACAUACACGAGAAACAAAAAUAUAAAACGCAAAUUAGGAAAAUAAUCGUACAAAGAUAAAAAAAGAAUUCACCUGGUGCCAUAUACCCGAUUGUUGCAAGAGUCAUGGUUUGCUUCAUUACUUCACCUUCUCCCAACAAUUUGGCAACGCCAAAAUCUCCAACAUGUGCAACCAUGUCUUCAUCUAGUAAAAUAUUGCUUGGUUUUAUGUCACAAUGAAUUAUAGGGGUUGGAUGUCCAUUGUGGAGGUGUUCUAUAGCCACCGCAACAUCUAUCAUUAUGUCGACCCUUUGUAUGAUAUCAAGGAAACAAUUUUUAGAAUGUAACCAUUUCUCAAGGUUUCCAUUAGACAUGUAAUCAAGCACCAAGGCUUUGAAGUCAACACUUGAGCAGCAAGUAAUGACCUUCACAAUAUUACGAUGAACUAUAUGAAGCAUAGCAUCACAUUCAAUGUCAAAACUCCUAAAUGCUCCCUCUGUUUGCAAAUUGAAAACUUUUAUUGCAACUUCCAUUCCAUCUGAAAGCCUCCCUUUAUAUACAUAUCCAAAACUCCCUGAACCAAGCAUAUUGCUUUCCUCAAGUCCAUUAGUUGCUCGUGAAAGUUCAGCAUGUGAAAUUCUUCUCGGUGUCUUCAAAGACAACAAAUCAUCUUUAAUUGGUAGAGCUGUACUCCUUCUUUGGCAUCUUCUAUACAUAAUAGUUAAGACUAUUAGUACUACGACAAUACCAAUUGUUGGUAAACCAUACCUAAAAGCAUGCAAUAUAAUCGUUUGGGAGUUUUUGUGGAUGUCGUUUUUACAAGGUGGGACUAGCAAUCUAGGUGGACCACAAAGUGCAUAAUUCUUCAUGAAUGAUGUGCUAGAAAAGUUUGAAAAACAUCCUUCGCUGGGAAUUUCCCCUUCAAGUCUAUUGAAAGACACAUUAAAAUACUUUAGAUAUAAAAGCUUUUCCAAAGAUUUGGGAAUGACU